UAAUCGUGUGCCAUUGUCAAGGCGACCCUGAUGUAUCUUUCUAAGCUGUAGUUUAAUUUCUACGUGGCCAUCUGUCGCCACUUUGGUUUCUAAAUUAGCUCACCUCGUGGAGGUUGUAACUUGUCAGGACCUAGACAAAUGCCCAAUGAAGCAUUCCUGACUCCUCCCUUCCAUGCUUGUUUCCGUGUUCACAAUUUAAUAAAGUUGGAAUCCUAGUGUCUCUUCUGUAAUCCUAUUCACAGUACUACUGUGAUGUGCACCCAUUUGUCAUCCUGGUGAACAUGGUCAUGUACACGGAGACACAACCUUGCAGUUUAAAAUGCAAAACUACGACACUUGCAUUGGAUCGGAGGGAGUUAAAAACACAACCGUAACUUGUUCUUGCGAGUGCACACGGAGACACAAAACGAUCUCACACAAGUCGGGUACAGAGACAGCAACAAACGCACGCUCUUGAAACGAAUACGGAUACUGCAGCGGAUUGCAUUAGCAGCUGAACCCCCGCCAAUAUUCAGUGUCAGAAGCCGGCGAAUUUGGAUUUCAUGGCGGUGACAUCAUCUUCGCCCAUGAGGAAGGUCUUGGUGAGCACCUCCAUGGGCAUGGCCGGCUCGGUCGCGAAGAGCGCGAGCGUGGGCGUGACCAGGCCCGGCGACUGGGCGUCGAACAUGGCCAUGAACACGGCGUCGCCGGUGCCAACGUUGAGCUGGUAGUGCUGCAGGCCGCGGGGCACGACGUAGAGCUCGUUCUCCUUCACCACCUUGGUGAAGAGCCGGUUGGUCGCCGAGGUGAAGCCGACCAUGACCUCGCCCUUGAGCACCAGCACGAGCUCGGAGCCGCGAGGGUGCGAGUGCGGCGGGUUGAGGCCGCCCACGGCGAGGUCGGUGCGCGUGAUGGAGAGGCCCAGCGUGUUGAGGCCCGGGAAGACCGACACGGUGGCGCGCGUGGAGUUGACGCCGAAGGGGUUGGUGUCGGUUCUGGGCGCGGCGACCAUGGCGUCGGAGAAGAAGUCGUCGUCCUCCACCGUCGACGGCGCCUUGCAAGGGAACCCGUCGACCGCCGUGGCGGCCUUGAGGUCGGCCACGCAGAAGUCCUGGAGCGGCGGCGGGUCCGAGAGGACGGCCGGCGCCGCGGCGAGGGCCAGCGCGAGCAGCAGCACGUGGAGCAUCACGGAGCGAGCCGAUGCCAUUACGCGAGUUGCUCCCGGCCUGGUGUUUGGUUCUGUGGAAUGGCAAUGUGAUCUUGGUGGUGACAUUGUGGUGCAGCUCGUUCACUAUAAAUAGAUCGCGAUGAACGCAGCAUCCGGAUGCACGGGUGAUGACUGAUUGACCGAUGCUGUUGCAGGCGGUUUACUGGGUCGUAAAGUGCGUGCAUGGCAGCCAGUGAUAACGGGCGGAAGGGGCUAUGUUGUUCGUCGUCGCCGUUUGUCGCUGUCGAGAUCAUGAUACCAUUGGGCCCCGUAUGGGACUCACUCAGAUUUCCCGCAGCGACGGGUUCUGUUGUUUGUGUGCGGCGCGGCGCAGGUGCCGAAUGGCUGGACGCCGGGCGCGCCCGCGGACAUACACCUUUCUUUUUUUGCGGGUGUAUAAAAAAGAUGCCAAUCGGAUGCGGUGCUCUUCGAAUCUAGCUGCUGCGACGUCUGCUGCUUCCAUUUGUGGCGCGCUGGUGACCCCAAACCUGCCAUAUUUCGAAAUCACUAGUUAAAAGUAUUCCUUUGUAAAAUUCAUUCUCAUCUUCUUUGGUGAUGACAAGUGGCGCGUUGUAUGCGUGACAUUUGUCACAAUCCGAGAGUUCUGAGCUUUUUUUAGAUUCCUUUAAAACAUUUUAUCAUUUAAACUGUGCGUUCAAAUCAUGAUUUUUUUUCAUCACUGUGUUUCUCACAUCGAGAUCUAUGAACUAAAUCCCACGUUAAUGGGUUUGGAUGAUUUAGAAAAAACAUAAACCAAAAAGAGCUGGAACAGAAAAACGGAAACCAGAAGCACAACUAUUUUUUUAAAACUAACCUGAAGCACAACUAUGCUUCACACGCAGGCACAUUUUGCACUUCACUUCUAUUAGAAGCACACUUUUUUCACACGCAGUGCAAAACUGUGCUAUUCACUUGUUGGGAGUAUAGUUUGUGAAUACUUUUCACUUUUCAAGAAGCACAGUUUGUGUGCUUCAUUAUAAAGCACAGUUGUGCUUUCAAACAACGUGCUUCCGCAAAGGCCCAAACGACCAUAUUUUCUUCAAGAAAUCUAGGGAAAAUCAAGCAAAAUCUGAAGAAGAAAAAAACACGCGCAGAGAAAAUUGUGCUGUCUGUCCUAACAUGCCUCCGCAAAGGCCCAAACGGUCCAUAUUUCUAUGGGUUGUCUGGGCCGUCAUAAAUAAUACUACAUGUGGGCCAGCCCAGUUUCUAUGUUUUUGCAUGCAGUUGCUCCGUUUGAUUCAUGGUGCUGCGUUUUUUUAUUUGGUUUCUUCUUCUGUGAUUUCCGUUUGGGUUUUCUGUUUGGGUUUUCCUUUCUAAUUUUAUUUUGUUUUUUGCUUUUUAGAUUUGGUUUUUCUUCCUUGUUUUCUUUCUUAAAGGUUUAUGUACUAUAAAUACUAGCAAACAGCACAUGUUUCGCAUGUAGUGCCAACUGGCCAAAGGGGUGAGAAACUCAACGCCACUCUUACUCCAGGCUUUCUUUCCGCACUACUAUGGAUAAUCAAAUAAUGGGAAAUUUUGGAUUCAAUUGUCAACUGGUCAUUAAUUGCAUUAAGAAAACUUAGCAGUGAAUACUUUUCAUAAUUUCAUAAUAAUUUAUCACUUAAAACUAUGCCAUCAAAAAUAGAUGUGACAUGUUUUUUUUGCUGGAGAAAUAGAUGUGACAUCUUUGUGUAGUAACAAAAUCUGGACAUUGGGUAAUGCACAUAUACUCAAUACCUUCAAUAGGCAUCAGGUAGAUGCACUAAUUGGCUAGAUCUAUAAUUUUUUUAGGGCCUCACUGUGUGUAACUCGGCUCAUUAGGAAAUAAAAGUUCUGGAAUGGAGAGAAUAGAUUUUUUUUUUCAAAAUACAAUUUAAAUUUAUUUUAUUUUUUUAAGGUUCUUGUUUAUUUUCUACAUGCACAAUAUUUAAUAAUCUAGUGUUUUAAGCUUGCAAGGACAUGUGCAUCCAGACUGUUUUUAUCAGGACAUGCAUCUGGACUUGUUAAAUUUGUGGUACAUUUUCUUUCAUGCCUACAUGCAUUUUCUAAUGUUUCUUUGUAGAUUUUCCUUUUGAGGCAAAUUGUAUCGAACCCUCUACAUCAUUCCCUUUAACUCAGGGGAGCACGUCGAUUUUUUAAUAUUUUGUGCGGGCUCUGCUCCGUAGGCAUUGCCAUGGUCCAAGGUGCAGUGGUUUUUUACUCAACAAAAGCCCGCCACCUGACACAGCGGGACAGUGCAACACUUAUGGCAUGUACAAUGCAUAGCUCUAGGAUGAUGCCCAUUACGCCAUGUAGGAUCAGAUGUCAGAAAAAGUAGGUUCGGCUAAAGAAGCAGGAUCUUCCGCAGGAGGCGGAUACUUGAGGAGAAAAAGUAUGGUUCAGUGCAUAAAGCUGAAAAAAUUGAAGUAAAAAAUAAGAAUGUAUGUGUAGUGAGAGUCUACCUUUUAUAUUUAAUGAGGUCCACUAAUAGUAGCUAGCAUUGAAGAGAAAAAGUCAAUAUAGACGCGACAUGCUACUUUUUAUCAUGGGGCGUCUGUAUCCACAUACCACCAUUGCACAUGCUCUAACUCCUACAACGAAUCCCAGGGAUGUUGGCCGUUGGACCACACAAUCCAAUGGUAAGUAAACUGCCACGUUGUUGAGGAUUUCAACCCGUUCCACUUUCUUUCUAAUAAACAUAAAAGUUUUGUAAAUACACAAUAUUUUUCCUGUGUUUCUUGAAAUAGUUUUUUAUUUGAAUUACUUUUAACAAGUCCAUUGGUCUUUUUUUCCAGAAAAAGCAAUGAGAAAAAAAUGCAAGGCAAACCUGUGUAACUAAGCACGCCAGAAUGGGACGGCCUAUUAUCAACUUCGUACAGGUCUCUCCUCCCCUACUAGACGCCAAUGCGCCUCCACUAGGAGGUCUCGUAAAUACAACCCAAACAUGGGGUGGAUACAACGUUAUUUGGACCUGUCCAGACUGAAGGAAAUAUACCCUAGAGGCAAUAAUAAAGUUGUUAUUUUAUAUUUCCUUAUAUCAUGAUAAAUGUUUAUUAUUCAUGCUAGAACUGUAUUAACCAGAAACUUAGUACAUGUGUGAAUACAUAGACAAACAUAGUGUCCCUAGUAUGCUUCUACUUGACUAGCUAGUUAAUCAAAGAUGGUUAAGUUUCCUGACCAUAGACAUGUAUUGUCAUUUUAUAAACGGUAUCACAUCAUUAAAGAAUGAUGUGAUGGACAAGACCCAUCUAUUAGCUUAGCAUUAUGAUCGUCUAGUUUUAUUGCUAUUGCUUUCUUCAUGACUUAUACAUAUUCCUUUGACUAUGAGAUUAUGCAACUCCCGAAUACCGGAGGAAUACCUUGUGUGCUAUCAAAUGUCACAACGUAACUGGGUGAUUAUAAAGAUGCUCUACAGGUGUCUCCGAAGGUGUUUCUUGAGUUAGCAUAGAUCGAAAUUAGGAUUUGUCACUCCGUAUAUCGGAGAGGUAUCUCUAGGCCCUCUCGGUAAUGCACAUAACUAUAAGCCUUGCAAGCAAUAUAACUAAUGAGUUAGUUGCAGGAUGAAGCAAAACGGAAUGAGUAAAGAGACUUGCCGGUAACAAGAUUGAACUAGGUAUGAUGAUACCGACGAUCGAAUCUCGGGCAAGUAACAUACUGAUAACAAAGGGAAUGACGUAUGUUGUUAUGCGGUUUGACCGGUAAAGAUCUCCGUAGAAUAUGUAGGAGCCAAUAUGAGCAUCCAGGUUCCGCUAUUGGUUAUUGACCGGAGAUGUGUCUCGGUCAUGUCUACAUAGUUCUCGAACCCGUAGGGUCCGCACGCUUAACGUUCGAUGAAGAUUUGUAUUAUGAGUUAUGUGUUUUGGUGACCAAAGUUUGUUCGGAGUCCCGGAUGAGAUCACGGACAUGAGAGGAGACUCGAAAUGGUCGAGAGGUAGAGAUCGAUAUAUUGGACGAAGGUAUUCGGACACCGGAAAGGUUUUAGGACGUUUCAGAUAUUUAUCGAGGAACCGAGGGGUUACCGGAACCCCCCGGGGAAGUUAUGGUCCUUAAUGGGCCAUAAGGGAGUAGGAGAGGGCAGGCCAUGAGGUGACCCCCCCCCCCCCCGACAGUCCGAAUUGGACUAGGGGGAGGGGGCGCAACCCCCUCUUUCCUUUCCCUCUCCCUCUCCUUCCCUCCUUCCCCUUCUUGGAAUAGGAAAGGGAACCCAACUAGGAUUGGGUUGGCGCACCCCCUAGGCCGGCCGCCUCCUCCCCUCCUCCUUUAUAUACGGGGGCAGGGGGCACCCCAAAGGCACAUCAAUUGUUCCUCAGCCGUGUGCGAUGCCCCCCUCCACAGUUUACCACCUCGGUCAUAUUGUCGUAGUGCUUAGGCGAAGCCCUACGCGGUCACAUCACCAACACCGUCGCCACGCCGUCAUGCUGACGGAACUCUCCAUCGACCCUCUACUGGAUCAACAGCUCGAGGGACGUCAUCGUGCUGAACGUGUGCUGAACACGGAGGUGCCGUACGUUCGGUACUUGGAUCGAUUGGAUCGUGAAGACGUUCGACUACAUCAAACGUGUUACAUAACGCUUCCGCUUUCGGUCUACGAGGGUACGUGGACACACUAUCCCGUCUCGUUGCUAUGCUUCUCCUAGAUAGAUCUUACGUGGUCGUAGGUAUUUUUUUUGAAUUACUACGUUACCCAACAAUGGUAUCCGAGCCAGUUCCAUGCGUAGAUGAUAUAUGCACGAGUAGAACACAAUGAGUUGUGGGCAAUAAUAGUCAUACUGCUUACCACCAACGUCUUACUUUGAUUCGACGGUAUUGUUGGAUGAAGCGGCCCGGACUGACAUUACAUGUCCGUGUUCAUGAGACUGGUUCUACCGAUGUGCUUCGCACACAGGUGGCUAGCGGGUGUCUGUUUCUCCAACUUUAGUUGAAUCGAGAUUGACUACGGCCGGUCCUUGUUGAAGGUUAAAACAGCACACUUGACGAAAAAUCAUUGUGGUUUUGAUGCGUAGGUAAGACGGUUCUUGCUAGAAGCCCAUAGCGGCCACGUAAAAUUUGCAACAACAAAGUAGAGGACGUCUAACUUGUUUUUGCAGGGCAUGUUGUGAUGUGAUAUGGUCAAGACGUGAUGAGAUAUAAAUUGUUGUAUGAGAUGAUCAUGUUUUGUAAAAGUUAUCGGUAACUGGCAGGAGCCUUAUGGUUGUCGCUUUAUUGUAUGAAAUGCAAUCGCCAUGUAAUUUCUUUACUUUAUCACUAAGCGGUAUCGAUAGUCGUGGAAGCAAUAGUUGGCGAGACGAGAACGAUGCUACGAUGGAGAUCAAGGUGUCAAGUCGGUGACAAUGGAGAUCAUGACGAUGCUUUGGAGAUGGAGAUCAAAGGCACAAGAUGAUUAUGGCCAUAUCAUGUCACAUAUUUUGAUUGCAUGUGAUGUUUAUCCUUUAUGCAUCUUAUUUUUCUUAGUACGGCGGCAGCAUUAUAAGAUGAUCCCUCACUAAAUUUCAAGGUAUAAGUGUUCUCCCUGAGUAUGCACCUUUGCUAUAGUUUGUCAUGCCGAGACACCACGUGAUGAUCGGGUGUGAUAAGCUCUACAUUCGCAUACAACGGGUGCAAGCCAGUUUUGCACGUGCAUAAUACUCGGGUUAAACUUAACGAGCCUAGCAUAUGCAGAUAUGGCCUUGGAACACCGAGACCGAAAGGUCGAACGUGAAUCAUAUAGUAGAUAUGAUCAACAUAGAGAUGUUCACCAUUCAAAACUACUCCAUCUCACGUGAUGAUCGGACAUGGUUUAGUUGAUAUGGAUCACGUGAUCAUUUAGAUGACUAGAGGGAUGUCUAUCGAAGUGGGAGUUCUUUAGUAAUAUGAUUAAUUGAACUUUAAUUUAUCAUGAACUUAGUCCUGAUAGUUUUUGCGUAUCUAUGUUGUAGAUCAAUAGCUCACGUAUAGCUCCCCUGUUUUAUUUUUAAUAUGUUCCUAGAGAAAACUAAGUUGAAAGCUAAUAGUAGCAAUGAUGCAGACUAGGUCUGUGAUAUGAGGAUUAUCCUCAUUGCCGCACCAAAGAAUUAUGUCCUUGAUGCACCGCUAGGUGACAGACCUAUUGCAGGAGCAGAUGUAGACGUUAUGAACAUUUGGCAAGCUCGACAUGAUGACUACUUGAUAGUUUAGUGUACCAUGCUUUAUAGCUUAAAACCGGGACUUCAAAAACGGUUUGAAUGCCAUGGAGCAUAUGUGAUGCUCGAAGAGUUGAAAUUAGUAUUUUAGACUCAUGCCCGUGUCGAGAGGUAUGAGACCUCUCACAGUACUUUUCCUACAAGAUGGAGGAGAAUAGCUCAACUAGUGAGCAUGUGCUCAGAUUGUCUGGGUACUACAAUUGCUUGAAUCAAGUGGGAGUUAAUCUUCCAGAUAAGAUAGUGAUUGACAAAGUUAUCUAGUCACUAUCACCAAGUUACUAGAACUUCGUGAUGAACUAUAAUAUGCAAGGGAUGAACAAGACAGUUCCCGAGCUCUUCACAAUGCUAAAGGUUGUGGAGGUAGAAAUCAAGAAAGAGCAUCAAGUGUUGAUGGUUAACAAGACCACUAGUUUCAACACAAAGGGCAAAAGGAAGAAAGGGGAACUUCAAGAAGAAUAGCAAGCAAGUUUCUGCUCCCGGGAAGAAGCCCAAGUCUGGACCUAAGCCUGAAACUGAGUGCUUCUACUGAAUGGUCACUGGAAGCGAAACUACCCCAAACAUUUGGCGGAUAAGAAGGAUGGCAAAGUGAGCAAAGGUAUAUUUGACAUACAGAUUAUUGAUGUGUACUUUACUAGUGUUAAUAGUAACCCCUAGGUAUUUGAUACCGGUUCAGUUGCUAAGAUUAGUAACUCGAAACAGGAGUUACAAAAUGAACAGAGACUAGUUGAGGGAAAAGUGACGAUGUGUGUUGGGAGAGAUUCCAAGGUUGAUAAGAUCACCAUCGCAUACCCCCUCUACCUUCGAGAUUAGUGUUGAACCUAAAUAAAUGUUAUUUUGUGUUUGCGUUGAGCAUGAAUAUGAUUGGAUCAUGUUUAUUACAAUACGGUUAUUCAUUUAAGUCAGAGUUGUUAUAUUUACAUGAAUAAUACCUUCUAUGGUCAUACACCCAAUAUAAAUGGUUUAUUGAAUCUCGAUCGUAGUGAUACACAUAUUCAUAAUAUUGAAGCCAAAAGAUGCAAAGUUAAUAAUGAUAGUGCACCUUAUUUGUGGCACUGCCGUUUAGGUCAUAUUGGUGUAAAACGCAUGAAGAAACUCCAUGCUAAUGGGCUUUUGGAAUCACUUGAUACUUGCGAACCAUGCCUCAUGGGCAAGAUGACUGAAACUCCGUUCUUCGAAACAAUGGAGUGAGCCAAUGACUUAUUGGAAAUAAUACAUACUGAUGUAUGCGGUCUGAUGAGUGUUGAGGCUCGCGGUGGGUAUCAUUGUUUUCUGACCUUCACAGAUGAUUUGAGAAGAUAUGGGUAUAUCUACUUAAUGAAACACAAGUCUGAAUCAUUUUGAAAAGUUCAAAGAAUUUCAGAGUGAAGUGGAAAAUCAUCGUAGCAAGAAAAUAAAGUUUCUGCGAUCUGAUCGCAGAGGCGAAUAUUUGAGUUACGAGUUUUGGCCUUCAAUUAAAACAAUGUGGAAUAGUUUCACAACUCACGCCACCUAGAACACCACAGCGUAAUGGUGUGUCCGGACGUCAUAACCGUACUUUAUUAGAUAUGGUGCAAUCUAUGAUGUCUAUUACCGAUUUACCGCUAUCGUUUUGGGGGUUAUGCAUUAGAGACGGUUGCAUUCACGUUAAAUAGGGCACCAUCUAAAUCCGUUGAGAUGACACCAUAUGAACUAUGGUUUAGCAAGAAACCUAAGUUGUCAUUUAUUAAAGUUUGGGGCUGCUAUGCUUAUGUGAAAAAGUUUCAACCUGAUAAGCUUGAACCCAAAUCGGAGAAAUGUGUCUUCCUAGGAUACACAAAGGAGAUUGUUGGGUACACUUCUAUCACAGAUCCAAAGGCAAUAUAUUUGUUGCUAAAAAUGGAUCCUUUCUAGAGAAGGAGUUUCUCUCGAAAGAAAGUGAGUGGGAGGAAAGUAUAACUUGAUGAGGUAAUUGUACCUUCUCCCAAAUUGGAAAGUAGUUCAUCACAGAAAUCAGUUCAUGUGAUUCUGAUGCUGAUUAGUGAGGAAGCUAAUGAUGAUGAUCAUGAAACUUCAGAUCAAGUUAUUACCGAACCUCAUAGGUCAACCAUAGUAUGUUCCGCACCAGAGUGGUACGGUAAUCCUGUUCUGGAAGUCAUGUUACUAGACCAUGACGAACCUACGAACUAUGAGGUAGCGAUGAUGAGCCCAGGUUCCGUGAAAUGGCUUGAAGCCAUGAAAUCUGAGAUGGGAUUCAUCUAUGAGAACAAAGUGUGGACUUUGGUUGACUUGCCCAAUGAUCGGCAAGCCAUAGAGAAUAAAUGGAUCUUCAAGAGGAAGAUGGACACUGAUGGUAGUGUUACUAUCUACAAAGCUCGACUUGUCGCAAAAGGUUUUCGACAAGUUCAAGUUGUUGACUACGAUGAGAUUUUCUCACUCGUAGCGAUGCUUAAGUCUGUCCGAAUCAUGUUAGCAAUUGCCGCAUUUUAUGAUUAUGAAAUUUGGCAAAUGGAUGUCAAAACUGCAUUCCUUAAUGGAUUUCUUAAAAAAGAGUUGUAUAUGAUGCAACCAGAAGGUUUUGUCGAUCCUAAAGGUGCUAACAAAGUGUGCAAACUCCAUCGAUCCAUUUAUGGACUGGUGCAAGCCUCUCGGAGUUGGAAUAUACGCUUUGAUAAUGUGAUCAAAGCAUAUGGUUUUAUACAGACUUUUGGAGAAGCCUGUAUUUACAGGAAAGUGAGUGGGAGCGCUACAGCCUUUCUGAUAAGUAUAUGUGAAUGACAUAUUGUUGAUCAGAAAUGAUGUAGAAUUUUCUGGAAAGCAUAAAGGAGUGUUUGAAAGGAGUUUUUCAAAGAAAGACCUCGGUGAAGCUGCUUACAUAUUGAGUAUCAAGAUCUAUAGAGAUAGAUCAAGACAUUUGAUAAGAUUUUUCAAUGAGAACAUACCUUGACCAUAUUUUGAAGUAGUUCAAAAUGGAACAGUCAAAGAAAGAGUUCUUGCCUGUGUUGCAAGGUGUGAAGUUGAGUAAGGCUCAAAACCCGACCAUGGCAGAAUAUAGAAAGAGAAUGAAAGUCAUUCCCUAUGCCUCAGUCAUAGGUUCUAUAAAGUAUGCCAUGCUGUAUACCAGACCUAUUGUGUACCUUGCCAUGAGUUUGGCAAAGGGGUAUAAUAGUGAUCCAGGAGUAGAUCACUGGACAGCGGUCAAAAUUAUCCUUAGAGGACUAAGGAAAUAUUUCUCGGUUAUGGAGGUGAUAAAGAGUUCAUCGUAAAGAGUUACGUCGAUGCAAGCUUUAACACCGAUCUGGAUGACUCUAAGUCUCAAUCGAUAUACAUAUUGAAAGUGGGAGCAAUUAGCUAGAGUAGCUCCGUGCAGAGCACUGUAGACAUAGAAAUUUGUAAAAUACAUACGGAUCUGAAUGCAGCAGACACGUUGACUAAACUUCUCCCACAACCAAAACAUGAUCACCCCUUAGUACUCUUUGGGUGUGAAUCACAUGGUGAUGUGAACUAGAUUAUUGACUCUAGUAAACCCUUUGGGUGUUGGUCACAUGGCGAUGUGAACUAUGGGUGUUAAUCACAUGGUGAUGUAAACUAUUGGUGUUAAAUCACAGGGCGAUGUGAACUAGAUUAUUGACUCUAGUGCAAGUGGGAGUCUGAAGAAAAUAUGCCCUAGAGGCAAUAAUAAAGUUGUUAAUUUAUAUUUCCUUAUAUCAUGAUAAAUGUUUAUUAUUCAUGCUAGAAUUGUAUUAACCGGAAACUUAGUACAUGUGUGAAUACAUAGACAAACAGAGUGUCCCUAGUAUGCCUCUACUUGACUAGCUCGUUAAUCAAAGAUGGUUAAGUUUCCUGACCAUAGACAUGUGUUGUCAUUUGAUAAACGGGAUCACAUCAUUAGAGAAUGAUGUGAUGGACAAGACCCAUCCAUUAGCUUAGCAUUAUGAUCAUCUAGUUUUAUUGCUAUUGCUUUCUUCAUCACUUAUCUAUAUUCCUCUGACUAUGAGAUUAUGCAACUCCCGAAUACCGGAGGAACACCUUGUGUGCUAUCAAACGUCACAAUGUAACUGGGUAAUUAUAAAGAUGCUCUACAGGUGUCUCCGAAGGUGUUUGCUGAGUUGGCAUAGAUCGAGAUUAGGAUUUGUCACUCCAUGUAUUGGAGAGGUAUCUCUGGGCCCUCUCGGUAAUGCACAUCACUAUAAGCCUUGCAAGCAAUGUAACUAAUGAGUUAGUUGCAGGAUGAAGCAUUACAGAACGAGUAAAGAGACUUGCCGGUAACGAGAUUGAACUAGGUAUGAUGAUACUGACAAUCGAAUCUCGGGCAUGUAAUAUACCGAUGACAAAGGGAAUGACGUAUGUUGUUAUGCGGUUUGAUCGAUAAAGAUCUUCAUAGAAUAUGUAAGAGAUAAUAUGAGCAUCCAAGUUCCGCUAUUGGUUAUUGACCAUAGAUGUGUCUCGGUCAUUGAUACGUCUCCGUCAUAUCUAUAAUUUUUGAUUGUUCCAUGCCAAUAUCCUACAACUUUCAUAUACUUUUGGCAACUUUUUAUACUAUUUUUGGGGCUAACAUAUUGAUCCAGUGCCCAGUGCCAGUUCCUGUCUGUUGCAUGUUUUUGGUUUCACAGAAUAUCCAUAUCAAACGGAGUUCAAACGGGAUAAAAACGGACGGAGAUACAUUUUGGAAUAUUUGGAAAAUUCCGGAAGAAAAAUCCACGUGAGACGGUGCCCGAGGUGGUCACGAGGUAGGGGGCGCGCCUGCCCCCCUGGGCGCGCCCCUACCCUCGUGAGCCACCCAUAAGGCGGUUGAAGCUCUUCUUUUUCCGCAAGAAAUCUAAUUUAUGGAAAAAAAUCACGGCGAAGGUUUCAGGCCAAUCGGAGUUACGGAUCUCCAUAUAUACACGAAAUGGUUAAACAGAGCCAGGAGAGAACGCAGAAACAGAGAGAGACAGAGAGACAGAUCCGAUCUCGGAGGGGCUCUUGCCCCUCCCGUGCCAUGGAGGCCAUGGACCAGAGUGGAAACCCUUCUCCCAUCUAGGGAGGAGGUCAAGGAAGAAGAAGAAGGGGGGGGCUCUCUCCCCCUUGCUUCCGGUGGCACCAGAGUGCCACCGGGGGCCAUCAUCAUCACUGCGAUCUACACCAACACCUUCGCCAUCUUCACCAACAUCUCCAUCACCUUCCCCCCUCUAUCUACAGCGGUCCACUCUCCCGCAACCCGUUGUACCCUCUACUUGAACAUGGUGCUUUAUGCUUCAUAUUAUUAUCCAAUGAUGUGUUGCCAUCCUAUGAUGUCUGAGUAGAUUUUCGUUGUCCUAUCGGUGGUUGAUGAAUUGCUAUGAUUGAUUUAAUUUGCUUGUGGUUGUGUUGUUGUCCUUUGGUGCCCAUCAUAUGAUUGCACGCGUGGAUCACACCCUAGGGUUAGUUGUAUGUUGAUAGGACUAUGUAUUGGAGGGCGAGAGUGACAGAAGCUUCAACCUAGCAUAGAAUUUGAUGCAUACGGGAUUAAAGGGGGACCAAUAUAUCUUAAUGCUAUGGUUGGAUUUUACCUUAAUGAAUGUUAGUAGUUGUGGAUGCUUGCUAAUUGUUCCAAUCAUAAGUGCAUAGAAUUCCAAGCCGGGGAUGACAUGCUAGCAGUGGCCUCUCCCACAUAAUACUUGCUAUCGGUCUAGUAAAGUAGUCAAUUGCUUAGGGGCAAUUUCGCAACUCCUACCACCACUUUUCCAUACUCGCGAUAUUUACUUUAUUGUUUCUUUAUCUAAACAGCCCCUACUUUUUAUUUACUUGCUCUUUAUUAUCUUGCAAACCUAUCCAACAACACCUACAAAGUACUUCUAGUUUCAUACUUGUUCUAGGUAAAGCGAACGUCAAGUGUGCGUAGAGUUGUAUCGGUGGUCGAUAGAACUUGAGGGAAUAUUUGUUCUACCUUUAGCUCCUCCUUGGGUUUGACACUCUUACUUAUCGAAAACUGUUGCGAUCUGUAACAUCCCAAAAUUCUAAAUUUUGGAAUGUUAUAAUAAAUAGAUAGAUUUGUUUGUUUGUUUGAAUUUGUUGUGUGAUUGAUUGAGUGAAAUUUGAAACUUUUUGAAAGUUAAAUGAGAGGGAAUAAAAGGACUUUCCCAAAUUUUCAUUUUUGCUUUCUGAUCUCCGUGAAUUCAAAUAUUUCUCAUCACAAAACCCUGGAGAGAGGUUAACAUGACUUCUUCCAUUUAAAUGAAAAAGGGGUGUUGAAAAUAUUUGAAUUUCAUUUGGAAAUAUUUUCUAAUUCAUAAACUUCAUGCAACUCAGUGAUUUUCACGAGCGAAGAUAAAAUGACUUCUUCAAAUUAUAUGAAAUAUGAGUUGGGAGUUUCAAAGAAUUAAAUUCAAAGUUCUUUUGAAUUUAUUUUCAAUUUGGAGUUAUUUGAGUUUUAUUCAAAUUAUUUUUCUCCAAAAACAAAAUAUAUGGAAAAUAGGGUAACAUGAUUCCCUACAUCAGAAAAUUGGAGAGAAAUUAAUUUGAAGUCAUUUUGGUAUUUUAAAAAUGAUUUUUGUUGAGUUUUAUUGCAACAGCAACACUAUUUGAGUUUUGUAAAUUUUUGAGGAUUUUAUUUGAACUUGAAAAAUAGUUCAUGUUGUAGGAAAUCUUUUUCUGAUCAUUUUGAUAUAUAUAUGUCCUAUAUAAAUAUUUGUAUUUAAUUAUAUUUUCUACCUCUCACCAUUCAAUAAAAAUAGAAAAAAAAGGACCCAGGCGCCAGCCAGGCCAACCGGCCCAGCCAGCGCCGAGGCGGCCCAGCCAGCCGACCGACCGACCGGCCCAGCCGAUUGAGCCCACCAGGCGCCCGUGCAGCCCAGCGCCCGAGCAGCCGAGCCCCCCCCCCUCGCCCGAAACCCUUCCGCAUCGGUCGCCCGCCCGACUCCUCUCUCUCCCCCUCUCGCUGACACCGGGCCCCACCACCUACUUCCUCCUUCCGCAAGUCACGCAGGGCAACGCCGCCGCUGUAUCCCGGAGAUCUCGGGAUCCUCUCCCCCGNNNNNNNNNNNNNNNNNNNNNNNNNNNNNNNNNNNNNNNNNNNNNNNNNNNNNNNNNNNNNNNNNNNNNNNNNNNNNNNNNNNNNNNNNNNNNNNNNNNNNNNNNNNNNNNNNNNNNNNNNNNNNNNNNNNNNNNNNNNNNNNNNNNNNNNNNNNNNNNNNNNNNNNNNNNNNNNNNNNNNNNNNNNNNNNNNNNNNNNNNNNNNNNNNNNNNNNNNNNNNNNNNNNNNNNNNNNNNNNNNNNNNNNNNNNNNNNNNNNNNNNNNNNNNNNNNNNNNNNNNNNNNNNNNNNNNNNNNNNNNNNNNNNNNNNNNNNNNNNNNNNNNNNNNNNNNNNNNNNNNNNNNNNNNNNNNNNNNNNNNNNNNNNNNNNNNNNNNNNNNNNNNNNNNNNNNNNNNNNNNNNNNNNNNNNNNNNNNNNNNNNNNNNNNNNNNNNNNNNNNNNNNNNNNNNNNNNNNNNNNNNNNNNNNNNNNNNNNNNNNNNNNNNNNNNNNNNNNNNNNNNNNNNNNNNNNNNNNNNNNNNNNNNNNNNNNNNNNNNNNNNNNNNNNNNNNNNNNNNNNNNNNNNNNNNNNNNNNNNNNNNNNNNNNNNNNNNNNNNNNNNNNNNNNNNNNNNNNNNNNNNNNNNNNNNNNNNNNNNNNNNNNNNNNNNNNNNNNNNNNNNNNNNNNNNNNNNNNNNNNNNNNNNNNNNNNNNNNNNNNNNNNNNNNNNNNNNNNNNNNNNNNNNNNNNNNNNNNNNNNNUACUGUUUUAUUAUGGUUUUGUCUAUCCAGUAGCAUAUACUUCUUUAUUUUUACUUUAUUUUUAAAUUAGGUUUUUAGCAAAACAGUAUUGUUUUAGUUAUAGUUUUGUUUUAGUCUUUUCUUUAUUGUUUUUAUUAGUUUCAAAUUAUUUCUUUUUGUCACUCUUGAAAAAUUUAGAUUUGUUUCUGUUAGUCAACAAAAGAAAAUUUUGUUUUUAUUUUAAAAAUUUGUUUUUCUUAGUUUUGUAUGAAAACUUGUUUAGAUCAUAGUUAGUGUUUCAUAAAAUCUUUUUUUUGUUUCUUUUUGCUAUUAAAAGUUUAUGAAAAAUACUUUCUGUUAAAAUUAGUUGUUUUAUAUUUUCUUUUAUGUUUAUUUAUUAUAUUGGUAUUUUAUUUGUUGUUAAAUUUUACUUAGGACAAAGCUAUUUUGGGUUAUGUCUUAGAAUUUUCUUUAGUAGUUUUCUUGUGUAGUUUUCCUUUGUUUUUAUUUGGUGUCCCUUGAUUUGCAUUUUUUUUGGUUUUAUUAUGAGUGUUAAAAUUGUUUGCUAGGGUGUUUGCUUAUAUGAAUGCCAUGUUUGACUAUAUAGAUUUUCAACGGAGUGACGAUUAGUUCUACCAAGUCAUUUUCUGACAGCGUUGUUAUCUUCAUCAAGUAUUACCAGGCAAGUUCACUUUGACCAUAUUUUCAUACCAAUGUUUUUAUUGCAUUUAGUGGCACCAUUAUUUCAAUCCCUCCAGUAGUGAUAUUGAAUUCUUGUAGUUGAGUAGAAUGCAUGAGGUAGGAACCCACCUCCCUGUUACCAAACCCGGGACGUAUAUAGUUUUAAUGCUACGCUGUAGUAGACGGGGUUUGGUAUGAGUGCUCGGGAGUGGUGUGAGAAUGAAGGACUUUACGUCAAAGACGACAACUCCAUGAUGACAUCUGCAAGGACUGCACCUUCAAGGCCUCAAGACUUCAAGACUCGAGACAAGAAUUCAAUACACACUACUGGGUGAAGGACGGUUGACGGGCACCCUGGAGAAACCAGUGGUUGGCCGGGAUGCAUGGAGAAGCGCCAUGACAUCUUGCGGAAAGCUUCACCCAGACUCAAAGAGACGGAAGAAUACUUCAUGCCCGGAAGCUUACCUGUGCAACCGCAAGUCACUAUGGGCUCUGGCUUGGUUGACCUUAGUUGUGACUCUGGCUGGGACGGUGCUAGCAGAUGUAGAACUACGGUAGGAUUGGAUGAGCACCGGACAGUGGUCAGAGGAACUCUUCGGAAGACCAUGUUUCGGUCAUCUUGUUCUCAAACACCCUGAAGUGCGAGAACGUAAAGAGAGGGAUCGAAUCUUGCGGGUAAAGUGUACAAACCUCUGCAGAGGGUUUAAACCUAAUCGAUUAGCCGUGUCCCCGGUUACGGACAAUUUGAGCCUCUGGACUUGGAUCUAUCUCGGAACUCUCAACACCGGACUGAUAACUUAAUUGUGGGCAACUUAUGAUGAUUUUGGGCUAUGAGACAUCGGUUGGCGGAACCAUGUCAUGAUAGAAAACUCCAUAGUACAGACUUCAUUUAUUCCUUUGGUGUAGGGAAAACAAAUCAGCUUUUACGCAAACAAAACUCAGACACAAAGCCACAAAGCCAUAUUGCAUAUAGUAUAGUUUUAUCAUCUGUUUUCUCAUGUUGUGAUCUUGCCGGUACAUUCAAUGUACUAACCUACACGGCUGCAACGUAUCAUGUUGCAGAUACUUUCUUCCGACGAGUAAGAGUACGGUACAGGGUUACGGUCUACACUCAACCUGCCGAUGGCGUUGAUGGGACUCCACACCCGACUAUUUGUUUCCGCUGUGACUUAUGAGGUAUAUAUCAGUUUUACGUUAUUUAUACAUGUGAUUGCACUUUGAUAUAUACAUUGAUGUACUGUGUGUGCCAGCAUACUGAUCCAGGGAUGGCACGGAUACACAGAGGCUUGACCGUCUGAGGUCGGGUCGCUACAGAAAUGGUAUCAGAGCACAUGUUGACUGUAGGACGUGACCCUAGAAAUCGGAAAGCCCUUGGACAGGAUUUCUCAAAAACUUUAUUUUCAAAAAGACUCUUACUCCUCAUCUUUUCUGAUUUUAUCAAAUAGACACUCUCACCUCAAAUAGUUAGAAUAUACACCUUUCCCUUUUGACCACACGGAAGAUCAACUGAAGUCGCUCCAAGAAUUAAAGAUAUCGGACAACUGAUGGCCAUUUCAGAGUAAACAGGAUUUCACCAUGCGUUGGAAGAAUUGCAGCUGCAACAAUUGAAGACUCCGAAGACUUGAAGAAUUUGAAGUUCCUGAAGAAUUAUUUGACCUUUAGAGACCAAACCCUGUUAUACACCUACGUUAGAUGCGACGAUUUGUGAGCUGUCAUUUGUUUGAUGUUUUCCGACAGCCACAAAGUAAAACUUGUUUCUUCAAAAACUAUCGUUUGUAUUGUGUGUAUCCCUCCCCACCUCUCUCAUAUCUCAUCCCAAAACUUUUGGACCCCAUAGAUGAUGAAUGAAGUUGGACUGAUAUUCUCUGGACCGAAGACUCAGCCGGAGGCAGAGCUAUGGAUUCAGAACAUGGAGAAUCACUUCGGGAGCAAUUUGGUUUCAAGGAAGAAUGAAGUAUCGUACGCUCUUCAGUACUUUGAAGGAAGUGCUGCAACCUGGUGGAAAAUGCAUCAAGCCAUACAAGGAUUUAAUGGAGCAAGAACUUGGGAGGAAUUCAGGAAGACCCUGUUGAGAUCACGUCUCAUCCGGAAGCACUAUGAUAACCCGAAGAAGAAACUUUGUGCCUGCAAGAUUUGCGGAGAAAUAGGACACACCCAGGAGGAACACAAGGAUGGAUGCCCUCAUUGUGAGGAGAAACACCCAGCUGAGGAAUGCCCAACUAGUCAGGUGACUUGUUUCUUGUGUGAAGGAACCACCCACUACCCGACUCAGUGUCACAUUUACCCCAUGGUGCAACAAACUAUUCAGGAGCAGGAAGAAGGAACGAAAGAAGCCCUCCGAGAAGUUAUGAAAGAACCUGUGAUGAAGGAAUGUGUUGAAGACCCUGAUGGAGAAGGCCUCAACAGAUUUUACUCCAAUGCCUGCUAUUCAUGUGGAGAAGAAGGACAUUUUUCACAGUAUUGCACCAAGGAAAGAAAAGAGUAUCUGGGAUACUUCCCGACGGAAGCCAUAGAGUUUGAUCCACAGGGAAUAAAAGGUUUGAUCAGAACGAAGAAACCCCGGAAGAGAAAAAAACAAAGACACCCUCAGAACAACCCAAUUUUUGCAAAGAGGGACAAGAGUCAUAUUACCUGUUUUGAAUGUAAGGACGUCGGGCAUUAUGCCAAUCAUUGUCUUGAAAGGAAGCAAGGAACUCAAGGAGCAGGCACCAUCUCCAAGAAGCCCAAAGACUUAUCGAAAGUUAUGUGUUUUCAUUGCAAGGAAGCAGGACAUUAUGCUACUAAAUGUUCCUACAAGAAGGAAGCUGGGGUUGAGUAGUUGGAAUUUUGAUAUGGAUAAUAAGAGUGGUAGAAACCAAUUUUUCUUUUCAUGAUUACAAUAAGUUGAGUUAUGUAAUGGGUGCUCAGAGUUUGUAAUGGAUUCAUGAAAUCAGUAAAGUUAAGGUGACAUGUUUUCAUAUGUUUAAUUGUAUGAGUUGUUACUCUAUGAACACGGAUUUUGACCAUUUUCGAGGAUAUGAGAAAUAUGGUCUAUGGAUGGAUUUGUGAAUUUCAUUUUAAGGGUGAUAGUACCCUAUGAAGAACACUAGACCAAUGGAAAUGGAAAUGUGUCCCACAGGUUGGAGUUUGGAAAAAAAAUGAGUUGAAGUUUUAUCUUUGAUAUGAUGGUAUUAAGAAAUGAAAUGUUAUUGGAUUUAAAGUGGUGUAAUGUUGGAAAAUGGAGCAAUUGUAACUCCAAGGAUGAGUGAAAGUGGUACAAGUGUUGAAGUGGGCUCAUAACCCACAGGCCCAGGAAUUAAUAAGGAUCAAGUACCCACUGGAGAAAGAAAUUUUGGGAAUAGACUACGAUUUGAUCAACCGACGAUUCUAUAGGAGUUUACGCAAAACCUGAUAGUUGUUAAGGAACGAUAGAUGUUUGUUUGGCCUGCAGAAUCAAUGGAUUUUUCCGAACUUGGUUCGUCGACAAGAGAAAUUCUGCAAUGCUUGUGAGGAUGACCGAGUGUUAGAAUGCGAGAUUCGCUAAACCAUGUACAAGGUAAUGAUUUGGGUGCGGGAUGGAUUGAUCACCAUUCCGACUUACUCUUAUUAUUCGCUUUGCUAUAUGGGAUGGUAAACCUGAGUGACUUACCUAUAGUAGAGAGACAACGAUCAAAACCUUGUUUAAACCUUAGAAUGGUAUAGGUAUUUCUUUUCCCCUUGUACAAGGCAGUUGUUGCCAACCGUAGAAAAUAUGGUGAGGUUCAACCCAGACCCGUUUUCUGCAGGAGAAACCAUAAAUUGUCGACCACCAUGAGAUAUCGAUAGUUGUUUAGAAUUGGUGCUAGACCUAUCGGCUAUGAAGACCCAAUCUCGGAAUAACCUUACCAAGAUGAAAGGACAAAAGAAUUGAGGAAAAGCUUAUGCCACUACCGAAAGAGCCCAGAGAAGGAUUUAUCCUUACAAUCUGAGAAGACCAACACUGUCAACGAUAAGGAUGGAGUAUAUGAGUUUUGAUGGAACUGUAACGAUGCUUCUAAGGGUGGUAGCACCCGAGACCCCGGAGAUGAUCGAUGGAUUUUUGAAGACCCCCAAACCCUAACCUAUUUCUUGCUAGCCUCUCCGAAUCUCGAGGACGAGAUUCAUUUUAAGGGUGGUAGAUUUGUAACAUCCCAAAAUUAGAUGUUUUAUAUUUUCUUUUAUGUUUAUUUAUUAUAUUGGUAUUUUAUUUGUUGUUAAAUUUUACUUAGGACAAAGCUAUUUUGGGUUAUGUCUUAGAAUUUUCUUUAGUAGUUUUCUUGUGUAGUUUUCCUUUGUUUUUAUUUGGUGUCCCUUGAUUUGCAUUUUUUUUGGUUUUAUUAUGAGUGUUAAAAUUGUUUGCUAGGGUGUUUGCUUAUAUGAAUGCCAUGUUUGACUAUAUAGAUUUUCAACGGAGUGACGAUUAGUUCUACCAAGUCAUUUUCUGACAGCGUUGUUAUCUUCAUCAAGUAUUACCAGGCAAGUUCACUUUGACCAUAUUUUCAUACCAAUGUUUUUAUUGCAUUUAGUGGCACCAUUAUUUCAAUCCCUCCAGUAGUGAUAUUGAAUUCUUGUAGUUGAGUAGAAUGCAUGAGGUAGGAACCCACCUCCCUGUUACCAAACCCGGGACGUAUAUAGUUUUAAUGCUACGCUGUAGUAGACGGGGUUUGGUAUGAGUGCUCGGGAGUGGUGUGAGAAUGAAGGACUUUACGUCAAAGACGACAACUCCAUGAUGACAUCUGCAAGGACUGCACCUUCAAGGCCUCAAGACUUCAAGACUCGAGACAAGAAUUCAAUACACACUACUGGGUGAAGGACGGUUGACGGGCACCCUGGAGAAACCAGUGGUUGGCCGGGAUGCAUGGAGAAGCGCCAUGACAUCUUGCGGAAAGCUUCACCCAGACUCAAAGAGACGGAAGAAUACUUCAUGCCCGGAAGCUUACCUGUGCAACCGCAAGUCACUAUGGGCUCUGGCUUGGUUGACCUUAGUUGUGACUCUGGCUGGGACGGUGCUAGCAGAUGUAGAACUACGGUAGGAUUGGAUGAGCACCGGACAGUGGUCAGAGGAACUCUUCGGAAGACCAUGUUUCGGUCAUCUUGUUCUCAAACACCCUGAAGUGCGAGAACGUAAAGAGAGGGAUCGAAUCUUGCGGGUAAAGUGUACAAACCUCUGCAGAGGGUUUAAACCUAAUCGAUUAGCCGUGUCCCCGGUUACGGACAAUUUGAGCCUCUGGACUUGGAUCUAUCUCGGAACUCUCAACACCGGACUGAUAACUUAAUUGUGGGCAACUUAUGAUGAUUUUGGGCUAUGAGACAUCGGUUGGCGGAACCAUGUCAUGAUAGAAAACUCCAUAGUACAGACUUCAUUUAUUCCUUUGAUGUAGGGAAAACAAAUCAGCUUUUACGCAAACAAAACUCAGACACAGAGCCACAAAGCCAUAUUGCAUAUAGUAUAGUUUUAUCAUCUGUUUUCUCAUGUUGUGAUCUUGCCGGUACAUUCAAUGUACUGACCUACACGGCUGCAACGUAUCAUGUUGCAGAUACUUUCUUCCGACGAGUAAGAGUACGGUACAGGGUUACGGUCUACACUCAACCUGCCGAUGGCGUUGAUGGGACUCCACACCCGACUAUUUGUUUCCGCUGUGACUUAUGAGGUAUAUAUCAGUUUUACGUUAUUUAUACAUGUGAUUGCACUUUGAUAUAUACAUUGAUGUACUGUGUGUGCCAGCAUACUGAUCCAGGGAUGGCACGGAUACACAGAGGCUUGACCGUCUGAGGUCGGGUCGCUACACGAUCCCCUAUACUUGUGGGUUAUCAAGACCAUUUUCUGGCACCGUUGCCGGGGAGCAAUAGCGUGGGGUGAAUAUUCUUGUGUGUGAUUGUUUGCUUUAUCACUAAGUAAUUUUAUUUGCUAUUCUUAGUUGUUCUCUAUCUUUAGUUAUCGAUAUGGAACACGAAAUACCAAAAAAAUUAGGUGUACUUGCUACUCAUGGAGAUGAGGAACCUCCUAAAACCCUCGAUGCUCAAUAUGUGAAAAAUAUUAUGUACCACUUUGAUAAUCCUGAGAAAACCUCAUUCAAUCUGGUAAUGGGAGUAAUGUUGGAUCAAAGUGAAUACUUUAGGGAUUAUCGCUUGACACAAAAAGGGAAACUAUUAUGGGAUCAAAUUUAUAUAUUGAAGUGGUAUGCUUGGCAAGUAUGCUUGAGUUAUGAUAUUACUUGUUGCUCUAGGAUGAAGGCUCUACACCUUCCCUUUUCAUGUGAAUUUAAUGGUAAUGAAACCUUGGCUUCUUAUGCUAGAGGUAUAUAUGAUUACUAUGAUGUGGAACAAAUAGAAGAAUUUGUUGCUUUUAAGGGUGCUUAUGAAAUUGAAUCUUUGUUUGAAAAGAUUGAAGCUUAUGAUGAUGAUGUUUAUAGGCCUGGAAAUUUAGCUAUCUUAAAAUAUUGCUAUGAUAAUUAUGAAUAUAAUUCCUAUAUUAAUGCGCUUAUUGAGAAAGUCUCCUCUAUCCAAGAAGAGACUAAUAUUUUGCAGGAAUCUAUGGAAGAAGAAAUUGAUGAAACUGUGAGCUCAUUGGAUGAAAAAGAUGAGGAAGAGAGCGAAGAACAAAAGGAGGAAGAGCGGAUUGAUCACCCGUGCCCACCUUCUAAUGAGAGUAACUCUCCAACUUAUACAUUAUUUAAUUCCCCUUCGUACUUACCGAAGGAUGAUUGCUAUGAUGACUGUUAUGAUCCCUUGGAUUCUUUUGAAAUAUCCCUUUUUGAUGAUGCUUGUGGCCAAGAUGCCAUAUGAAUUAUGCUUAUGGAGAUGAACUUGCUAUAGUUCCUUAUGUUAAAUAUAAAAUUGUUGCUAUUGCACCCACGCAUGAUAGUCCUAUUAUCUUUUUGAAUUCUCCAAACUACACUAUAUCGGAGAAGUUUGCCCUUAUUAAGGAUUAUAUUGAUGGGCUGCCUUUUACUACUACACAUGAUGAUUUUGAUAGAUAUAAUAUGCAUGUGCUUGCUGCUCCUAAUUGCAAUUAUUAUGAGAGAGGAACCAUAUCUCCACCUCUCUAUGUUUCCAAUACAAUAAAAUUGCAAGAAACUGUUUAUACUAUGCAUUGGCCUUUACUAUGUGUGCAUGAAUUGUUCUUUUAUGACAUGCCGAUGCAUAUGAAGAGAGUUAGACUUCGUUGUUACAUGAUAUAUGUUACUUUGUGCUCAUUACUAAAUGCUAAAUCAUUGUUAAUUAAAAUUGGCUUUGAUAUACCUUGGGAUCCGGGUGGAUUCAUUACUUGAGCACUAUAUGCCUAGCUUAAUGGCUUUAAAGAAAGCGCUGCCAGGGAGACAACCCGGAAGUUUUAGAGAGUCAUUUAUUUCUAUUGAGUGCUUUCGUAUAUUUUAAAAACAACAAAAAUAAAGAGGGGAACCCAAAUUUUUUCAAAAAGGAAAGUGAAAGUGAGAAAGACAAGCAUUGUUGAAGUGGGAGAGCUCCUUGAACUUUGUUCAUGCUCACUGAAACUUUGUGAAUCUUGAUUACAGAAACUUCUCAACAAAAAUAAUUAUCCCCUUGUACAAUUCCAUUGUAUUAUAAAAAUAAUGUGCCAAGGUUUGCCUUUAGGAUGUUUACAUUUGCUUGAUGGUUCGUACGGUGCAGGACAGAAACUUUGGCUGAAGUGCGCAGUUUUACAUUUUUAGCUGGAACGUCAAAUGCUUCUGAUUCUUUUUGAACUGUCUUCCUAUACAAAUUGUUUAUGUUUCCUAAUUUUGGUAGAAUUUUUCAAGUAUCAGAAGUAUGGUGAAUGUUCAGAUUAUUACAGACUUUUCUGUUUUAGACAGAUUCUGUUUUUGAUGCAUAGUUUGCUUGUUUUGAUGAAAUUGUCAAUUUAUAUCAGUGGAUUAAGCCAUGAAAAAGUUAUAUUACAGUAGACACAAUGCAAAAACAAAAUAUGAAUUGGUUUGCAACAGUACUUAGAGUAGUGAUUUGUUUUAUUAUACUUACGGAUCUUACCGAGCUUUCUGUUGAAAUUUUGUGUGGAUGAAGUGUUCGAUGAUCGAGAAGGUCUCCAUGUGAGAAGAAGGAAGAGAGGUAAGAGCUCAAGCUUGGGGAUGCCCGAGGAACCCAAAGUAAAUAUUCAAGGAGACUCAAGCGUCUAAGCUUGGGGAUGCCCCGGAAGGCAUCCCCUCUUUCUUCAACAAGUAUCAGUAUGUUUUCGGAUUCGUUUUAUUCAUGCGAUAUGUGCAAUCUUGGAGCGUCUUUUGCAUUUAGUUUUCAUUUUUCUUUUAUGCACCAUGCUGGUAUGAGAUAGUCCUUGGUUGAUUUAUAGAAUGCUCAUUGCACUUCACUUAUAUCUUUUGAGUAUGGCUUUAUAGAAUGCUUCAUGUGCUUCACUUAUAUCAUUUGAAGUUUGGAUUGCCUGUUUCUCUUUACUUAAACAACCGCCAUUUGUAGAAUGCUCUUUUGUGUCACUUAGAUUUGUUAGAGCAUGGGAAUAUCUUUUGUAGAAAGAAUUAAACCAUCUUGCUUCACUUAUAUCUAUUUAGAGAGAUGACAUGAACUGGUCAUUCACAUGGUUAGUCAUAAAAUCCUACAUAAAACUUGUAGAUCACUGAAUAUGAUAUGUUUGAUUCCUUGCAAUAGUUCUGCGAUAUAAAGAUGGUGAUAUUAGAGUCAUGCUAGUGGGUGGUUGUGAAUUGUAGAAAUACUUGUGUUGAGGUUUGUGAUUCCCUUAGCAUGCACGUAUGGUGAACCGUUAUGUAACGAAGUUGGAGCAUGAGGUAUUUAUUGAUUGUCUUCCUUAUGAGUGGCGGUCGGGGACGAGCGAUGGUCUUUCCCUACCAAUCUAUCCCCCUAGGGGCAUGCGUAGUAGUACUUUGCUUCGAGGGCUAAUAAGCUUUUGCAAUAAGUAUGUGAGUUAUUUAUGACUAAUAUUGAGUCCAUGGAUUAUACGCACUCUCACCCUUCCACCAUUGCUAGCCUCUCUAGUACCGCGCAACUUUCGCCGGUACCAUAAACCCACCAUAUACCUUCCUCAAAACAGCCACCGUACCUACCUAUCAUGGCAUUUCCAUAGCCAUUCCGAGAUAUAUUGCCAUGCAACUUUCAUCAUCAUCAUAUACAUGACUUGAGCAUUCAUUGUCAUAUUGCUUUGCAUGAUCGUAAGAUAGCUAGCAUGAUGUUUUCAUGGCUUGUACUUUUUUGAUGUCAUUGCUAUGCUAGAUCAUUGCACAUCCCGGUACACCACCGGAGGCAUUCAUAUAGAGUCAUAUCUUUGUUCUAGAUAUCGAGUUGUAAUAAUGAGUUGUAAGUAAAUAAAAGUGUGAUGAUCAUCAUUAUUAGAACAUUGUCCCAUGUGAGGUUAUCAAAAUAAAAGUGGCCAAAGAAGCCCAAAAAAAAGAGAGAGGCCAAAUAAGCCUACCAAAAAAAUGAGAGAAAAAGAGAGAAGGGGCAAUGUUACUAUCCUUUUACCACACUUGUGCUUCAAAGUAGCACCAUGUUCUUCAUAUAGAGAGUCUCUUGAGUUAUCACUUUCAUAUACUAGUGGGAAUUUUCAUUAUAGAACUUGGCAUGUAUAUUCCAACGAUGGGCUUCCUCAAAUUCCCUAGGUCUUCAUGAGCAAGCAAGUUGGAUGCACACCCACUUAGUUUCAGUUUGAGCUUUCAUAUACUUAUAGCUCUAGUGCAUCCGUUGCAUGGCAAUCCCUACUCACUCACAUUAAUAUCUAUUGAUGGGCAUCUCCAUAGCCCGUUGAUACGCCUAGUUGAUGUGAGACUAUCUUCUCCUUUUUGUCUUCUCCACAACCACCAUUCUAUUCCACCUAUAGUGCUAUGUCCAUGGCUCAUGCUCAUGUAUUGCGUGAAGGUUGAAAAUGCUGAAGCGCGUUAAAAAGUAUGAAACAAUUGCUUGGCUUGUCAUCGGGGUUGUGCAUGAUGUGAGUAUUUUGUGUGGUGAAGAUGGAGCAUAGCCAGACUAUAUGAUUUUGUAGGGAUAACUUUCUUUGGCCUUGUUAUUUUGAAAAGACAUUAUUGCUUUAUUGGUAGGCUUGAAGUAUUAUUGUUUUUAUGUCAAAUGAUAGACUAUUGCUUUGAAUCACUCAUAUCUUAAUAUUCAUGCCAUGAUUAGAUAUGUGAUCAAGAAUAUGCUAGGUAGCAUUCCACAUCAAAAAUUAUCCUUUUAUCAUUUACCUACUCGAGGACGAGCAGGAAUUAAGCUUGGGGAUGCUGAUACGUCUCUGUCGUAUCUAUAAUUUUUGAUUGUUCCAUGCCAAUAUUCUACAACUUUCAUAUACUUUUGGCAACUUUUUAUAUACUAUUUUUGGGACUAACAUAUUGAUCCAGUGCCCAGUGCCAGUUCCUGUCUGUUGCAUGUUUUUGGUUUCGCAGAAUAUCCGUAUCAAACGGAGUCCAAACGGGAUAAAAACGGACGGAGAUACUUUUUGGAAUAUUUGGAAAAUUUCGGAAGAAAAAUCCACACGAGACGGUGCCCGAGGUGGUCACGCGUGAGCCACCCGUAAGGCGGUUGACGCUCUUCUUUUGCUGCAAGAAAGCUAAUUUUCAGGAAAAAAAAUCACGGCGAAGGUUUCAGGCCAAUCGGAGUUACGGAUCUCCAUAUAUACACGAAACGGUGAAACAGAGCCAAGAGAGAACGCAGAAACGGAGAGAGACAGAGAGACAUAUCCAAUCUCGGAGGGGCUCUCACCCCUCCCGUGCCAUGGAGGCCAUGGACCAGAGGAUAAACCCUUCUCCCAUCUAGGGAGGAGGUCAAGGAAGAAGAAGAAGGAGGGGGAUCUCUCCCCCUUGCUUCCGGUGGCACUGGAGUGCCACCGGGGGCCAUCAUCAUCACCGCAAUCUACACCAACACCUUCGCCAUCGUCACCAACAUCUCCAUCACCUUCCCCCCUCUAUCUACAGUGGUCCACUCUCCCGCAACCCGCUGUACCCUCUAUCUUGAACAUGGUGCUUUAUGCUUCAUAUUAUUAUCCAAUGAUGUGUUGCCAUCCUAUGAUGUCUGAGUAGAUUUUCGUUGUCCUAUCGGUGGUUGACGAAUUGCUAUGAUUGAUUUAAUUGCUUGUGGUUAUGUUGCUGUCCUUUGGUGCCCAUCAUAUGAUUGCACGCGUGGAUCACACCCUAGGGUUAGCUGUAUGUUGAUAGGACUGUGUAUUGGAGGGCAAGAGUGACAGAAGCUUCAACCUAGCAUAGAAAUUGAUGCAUACGGGAUUGAAGGGGGACCAAUAUAUCUUAAUGCUAUGGUUGGGUUUUACCUUAAUGAACGUUAGUAGUUGCGGAUGCUUGAUAAUUGUUUCAAUCAUAAGUGCAUAGAAUUCCAAGUCAGGGAUGACAUGCUAGCAGUGGCCUCUUCCACAUAAUACUUACUAUCAGUCUAGUAAAGUAGUCAAUUUAUUAGGGGCAAUUUCGCAACUCCUACCACCACUUUUCCACACUCUCUAUAUUUACUUUAUUGUUUCUUUAUCUAAACAGCCCCUAUUUUUUAUUUACUUGCUCUUUAUUAUCUUGCAAACCUAUCCAACAACACCUACAAAGUACUUCUAGUUUCAUACUUGUUCUAGGUAAAGCGAACGUCAAGCGUGCGUAGAGUUGUAUCGGUGGUCGAUAGAACUUGAGGGAAUAUUUGUUCUACCUUUAGCUCCUUGUUGGGUUCGACACUCUUACUUAUCGAAAACUGUUGCAAUCCCCUAUACUUGUGGGUUAUCAGUCAUGUCUACAUAGUUCUCGAACCCGUAGGGUCUGCACGCUUAACGUUCGAUGACGAUUUGUAUUAUGAGUUAUGUGUUUUGGUGACCAAAGUUUAUUUAGAUUCCCGGAUGAGAUCACGGACAUGGCGAGGAGUCUCGAAAUGGUCGAGAGGUAAAGAUUGAUAUAUUGGACGAAGGUAUUGUUUCGGGACGUUUCAGAUAUUUAUCGGGGAACCGAGGGGUUACCGGAACUCCCCGGGGAAGUUAUGGGCCUUAAUGGGCCAUAAGGGAGUAGGAGAGGGUAGGCCACGAGGUGGCGCCCUCCAAGGAAGUCCGAAUUGGACUAGGGGGAGGGGGCGCAGCCCCCUCUUUCCUUCCCCUCUCCCUCUCCUUCCCUCCUUCCCCUUCUUGGAAUAGGAAAGGAAAUCCAACUAGGAUUGGGAAUCCUAGUUGGACUCCCCCCUUUGGCACGCCCCCUAGGCCGGCCGCCUCCUCCCCUCCUCCUUUAUAUACGGGGGUAGGGGGAACCCCAAAGGCACAUCAAUUGUUCCUCAGCCGUGUGCGGUGCCCCCCUCCACAGUUUACCACCUCGGUCAUAUUGUCGUAGUGCUUAGGCGAAGCCUUGCGCGGAUCACAUCACCAACACCGUCACCACGCCGUCGUGCUGAUGGAACUCUCCCUCGACCCUCUAUUGGAUCAAGAGCUCGAGGGACGUCAUUGCGCUGAACGUGUGCUGAACACGGAGGUGCCGUACGUUCGGUACUUGGAUCGGUUGGAUCGUGAAGACGUCGACUACAUCAACCGCGUUACAUAACACUUCUACUUUCGGUCUACGAGGGUACGUGAACACACUCUCCCGCCUCGUUUCCAUGCUUCUCCUAGAUAGAUCUUGCGAGAUCGUAGGAUUUUUUUUAAUUACUACGUUACCCAACACAUACAUGUCCGUCGCGUCGCCCCAUCUUAAGCCCAAAACCCCAGUCGUGUUUGCCUAAGCUGUAGCCCCCAUCCUCCCCUGUCCACUCCCAUCCGUAGGCACCAUUUACGGACCAUAGGACAAUGGCGCCAAUUGAGACCUCGUGGCGGUGAAGGGCGCCAAGGACCUCAUAGUUCAUGUUGACGCCCUCCGUUAGUACUGGGUGGAAACCCAUGGCUCGAACAACCAGGCUCCGUCCCCGCUGUCCCACCAUGACUCGAGCAACAGUGAGCCAUCCCCCGUUGCCCCGAUGGUGGAUUCUCACCCAUUCCUCUCCAUCCCUACCGCGACAAGGGUGGACCGGUGAUGGUGGUCGUUCGAGCUCAUUCGCUCUGUCCUGGCUACCCAGGUGGAACUGAGGCGGUGGCGAGCGAAGCUACUGCGUCUACCAUGAGUCGGUGGCGCGGGGAGCUUAGCUCGCCACGACCCUCUUGUGGGGGUGGAUCUAGCUCGCGAAACACUCGUGUGUUCUCUCCUCCGCGGUGCCCAUGUCAUCUUUGUGCGAGAAGAAGCAGGUGGCUAGUUGCGUCCUCCAGUUCUCCUUGACCAUGAAGGAAUCUGAUGCCGUUGCCUGUGUUGGAAGAACACAAAAGCUCUUUGAGUGGGUAUCAAGGCUUUGUAGUGAGAGGCCGAAGUUGCCGCCCACGCCAAAGCACUCGCCGACGAGCAGGCUUGAGAUGAUUGAGCCCUCAUUGGACCACAGGACCCCGACGACCUCUACGGCCUGCACUUCCACUUCAUAGGAGGAAAACACUGGUGAAAUUUAUCAUUUCGUCCUAUGACCUAUUGCUAAUUUUGUGUUAGUACAUCCUACGUUGUUGGACUAUGUUGUUUUGCUGAACUACGUUCUUUUUAAACUAUUUUUCAACUAUGUCGGUUUGAAUGUCCUAUGUUCGGCUGUGUGUGUGCUAAACUAUGUCCUCAAUUUAAACUAUGUCUAAUGUCAAAAUGUGCCCGAGGUAUGUGAUAUAGGACUGUGCUAUGCACGUUGCAUGGAUUUGGGGAGGAGAAAUAGGAUGACAAAUGGGCUUCACCCUUUGCUAUCCGUGGACAUGCCCACGGACAUAAUGGGUGACAACUUUUGAUACUCUCCCUUGGCGGGGUGCUCCUAUUUCAAGCCUUUUGCGUGCAAUAGAUCCCAAGACAUCCACACAUGGGCUAUGUGGGAUAGACCCAAUAGCGCUCAUUGGCUCGCUGGACUUUGCUCUUGCGCAUGUGUUUGUUUUUUCUCUUCACCUUUCGAAAGAACGUAGACCUGGUAUCAGUAGAAAUAACCACGUGCAAGUUCUAGCUUGGGAAAAACUCUGUUGCGGUUUUCUGACAGAUUAAAAAAUUCUUGAAUUUUAAAAGGUGUUUCACAAAGUUGAAAGAGCUAGUGGACUUUAAAAUAUGUUCACAAAAUUUUAAAAUAUUUGCGUAUUUAAAAUAUUCAUGUUUUUUUCAAAAUGUUCAUGAACUUUAAAAAAUUAUGAAAUAUAAAAAAUAUUCAUGUAUUUUAAAAAACAUUCAAUUUUUUGAAAAUGUUCAUGAAUAAAAAUAAUAAUUAAAAGAAAAAAAAGGAAAGAGCAAAAUGUAAAAAAAAUAAUAUUUUUAAAGAUAAAACCUGUGGAGAACACAAAAAAAAGAAAAAGGAAAGAACCAAACGAAACCUUACCUAAAACUGGGCAAAACCUUUCGAAAACCUGUUAAGGGCAUCUCCAACGGCAACCCCUAAAAAUCCUCCCACAUCUGUCUGCGAACAGGGGUGGACCAGGCCGCGAGCAUGGACGCGGGAGGACACUAUCUAACCGUAGCCGCAUACAUUAUAAACUCUUUCAACAAACCAGAUGAAAUUUACGCAAACAAAACGGAUUUCAUAUAAACAUGACAGAUUGCAUACAAAUCGGAAAGCGGGCAGCUGGCGCGAGGCGAGAUGCGCGCACGGGAGUGAGGGAGUCCUGGAUUAGGGGGUCCCCAGGCAUCUGGGCUAUGUGACGUGGGCCGGACUGGUGGGCCGUGAAGAUACAAGAUAGAAAAGCCCCCCCCCCCAUGUCCGGAUGGGACUCUCCUUGGCGUGGAAGACAAGCUUGGCGUUCGGAUAUGAAGAUUCCUUUCUCUGUAAACCGACCUUGUACAACCCUAGCCCCUCCGAUGUCUAUAUAAACUGGAGGAUUUAGUCCAUAGAGGCAGUCAUAAUCAUACUGGCUAGACAUCUAGGGUUUAGCCAUCACGAUCUCGAGGUAGAUCAACUCUUGUAACCCCUAUACUCAUCAAAGUCAAUCAAGCAGGAAGUAGGGUAUUACCUCCAUUAAGAGGGCCCGAACCUGGGUAAACAUCGUGUCCCCUGCCUCCUGUUACCUUCGAUCCAUAGACGCACAGUUCGGGACCCCCUACCCGAGGUCUGCCAGUUUUGACACCUACAUUGGUGCUUUCAUUGGGAGUUCCUCUGUGUUGUCAAUAAAGGAUUCGAUGGCUCGUUCAAUCAUCCACAAUGAUGCUGUUUCGGGGGAGAAUUUUCCCCUGGGCCAGAAUUUCGUAUUUGGCGGCUUCGCGCUACGUGCCAACUCGAUUGGCCACCUCGAGCAGAUCAACAGCUACACCCUUGGUCAUCAUAUUAGUUUCGGGAACCUAAACUAUGUCGCCGAUAUCCGAGGAGAUUUGAUCUUCGAAGGGUUAGCGGCCCCGGUCACUGCUCUGGCCUUAGAUAUGGAGCAGGAUGCCAGGUCCAAAGAUGAGAGUUUAGAGCCCGCCGGAUUCUCUCCAAUUAUAGAACUUGUUACCGGAGAUUCGGAGGGGACGGCGUCGUCGGCUAACCCGAAGAUGAACCGAACUCCCCUUGUCAUUCAAGCACCGGACACUCCGCCGGACUCUAAGUCUGAACUCUCGAGGUCCGUGUCAAGCGGGCAACGCCAGGAGGCUCCAACUCCAGACAGCCCCACGGACUCUCGCUUCUUUGUCCAACCCUCGCCUUUAAACGAGGCUCUAGACUUAAUGCGAUCACUCGCCAUUACGGUAGGAUCGCUUCCGAAUUAUCCCCAACCCAGACUAGGGGCUGAGAGCGGAGAAUUUUACGUCCCACCCACCACCCACUUCAUAGCCACUAUCAAGGAUCUAACCGACAUGCUGGACUACGCCUCCGAAGACAUCGACGGUAUGGACGACGAUGCCGGAGACGAACAAGGCCAAAACCCUCCGUUUACUGGAUGAUGGAUGGCCACCUCCACAUACGAUGUGUACAUGGUGGACACACCCAAAGAGGAUGGCAACGAUGGCAAGGAGAAUUCAGUUGAGGACAAGCCUGCCGAAGCACCUCCAAAACAUCGACGUGGGCGGUGCCGCUCAAAAUCGCGUUGCCAAAAAGACAGCCGAACACCCCGAAGCCCCUAUUGAGCCAACAUCCGAACAUCAUGAUUGGGAGGAUGGGCAAGUUAAUCCCGACGAUCCUAUCGGUAACGAAGGCUUGAUAACCCACAAGUAUAGGGGAUCGCAACAUUUUUCGAGGGUAGAGUAUUCAACCCAAAUUUAUUGAUUCGACACAAGGGGAGCCAAAGAAUAUUCUCAAGUAGUAACAGUUGAGUUGUCAAUUCAAACGCACCUGAAAGACUUAAUAUCUACAGCAAAGUAUUUAGUAGCAAAGUAAUAUGGAAGUAGCGGUAACAGUGGCAAAAGUAACAGUAGCAGUUUUGUAGUGAUUGUAACAGUGGCAACAGAAAAGUAACUAAGCGAUGAUCAAUAUGUGAAAAGCUCAUAGGCAUUGGGUCAGUGAUGGAUAAUUAUGUCGGAUGCGAUUCCUCAUGCAACAGUUAUAACAUAGGUGACACAAAACUAGCUCCAGUUCAUCAAUGUAAUGUAGGCAUGUAUUCCGAAUAUAGUCAUACAUGCUUAUGGAAAAGAACUUGCAUGACAUCUUUUGUCCUACCCUCCCGUGGCAGCAGGGUCCUAUUGGAAACUGAGGGAUAUUAAGGCCUCCUUGUAAUAGAGUACCAGAACAAAGCAUUAACACUUAGUGAAUACAUGAACUCCUCAAACUAUGGUCAUCACCGGGAGUGGUCCCGAUUAUUAUCACUUCAGGGUUACCGGAUCAUAACACAUAGUAGGUGACUAUUGACUUGCAAAAUAGGAUCAAGAACUCACAUAUAUUCAUGAAAACAUAAUAGGUUCAGAUCUGAAAUCAUGGCACUCGGUCCCUAGUGACAAGCAUUAAGCAUAGCAAAGUCAUAGCAACAUCAAUCUCAGAACAUAAUGGAUACUAGGGAUCAAACCCUAACAAAACUAACGUGAUUACAUGAUAAAUCUCAUCCAACCCAUCACUGUCCACCAAGCCUACGAUGGAAUUACUCACAAACGGCGGUGAGCAUCAUGAAAUUGGUGAUGGAGGAAGGUUGAUGAUGACAAUGGCGAUGGAUUCCCCUCUCCGAAGCCCUGAACGGACUCCAGAUCAGCCCUCCCGAGAGAGAUUAGGGCUUGGCGGCGGCUCCGUAUCGUAAAACGUGAUGAAUCCUUCUCUCCAAAUUUUUUCUCCCCGAACGUGAAUAUAUAGAGUUGGAGUUGAGGUCGGUGGAGCAUCAGGGAGCCCACGAGAUAGGGGGGCGCGCCCCCACCCUCGUGGAUAGGGUGUGGGCCCCCUUGUGUUGAUUCUUUCGCCAGUACUUUUUAUAUAUUCCAAAAGUAUUCUCCUUGAAGUUUCAGGUCAUUUCGAAAACUUUUGUUUCUGCACAAAGAUAAUACCAUGGCAAUUCUUCUCAAAACAACGCCAGUCCGGGUUAGUUCCGUUCAAAUCAUGCAAGUUAGAGUCCAAAACAAGGUCAAAAGUGUUUCGAAAAGUAGAUACGAUGGAGAUGUAUCAACUCCCCCAAGCUUAAACCUUUGCUUGUCCUCAAGCAAUUCAGUUGACAAACUGAAAGUGAUAAAGAAUAACUUUUACAAACUCUGUUUGAUCUUGUUGUUGUAAAUAUGUAAAGCCAGCAUUCAAGUUUUCAGCAAAGAUUAUGAACUAACCAUAUUCACAAUAACAUUUAGGUCUCAUGUUUACUCAUAUCAAUGGCAUAAUCAACUAGCGAGCAAUAAUAAUAAAUUGCGGAUGACAACAUUUUCUCAAAACAAUCAUAAUAUGAUAUAACAAGAUGGUAUCUCGCUAGCCCUUUCUGAGACCACAAAACAUAAAUGCAGAGCACCUCUGAAGAUCAAGGACUAACUAAACAUUGUAAUUCAUGGUAAAAGAGAUCCAGUCACAGUCAUACUCAAUGUAAGCUAAUAAUAAUACAUGCAAAUGACAGCGGUGCUCUCCAACUGGUGCCUUUUAAUAAGAGGAUGAUGACUCAACAUAAAAGUAAAUAGAUAGGCCCUUCUCAGAGGGAAGCAGGGAUUUGUAGAGAUGCCACAGCUCAAUUUUUGAAAUAGAGAUAAAUAAUAUUUUGAGUGGUAUACUUUCAUUGUCAACAUAACAACCGAGAGAUCUCGAUAUCUUUCAUGCUACACACAUUAUAGGCGGUUCCCAAACAGAAUGGUAAAGUUUAUACUCCCCCACCACCAACAAGCAUCAAUCCAUGGCUCGCCCGAAACAACGGGUGCCUCCAACUAACAACAAUCCUGGGGGAGUUUUGUUUGCAAUUAUUUUGAUUUUAUUUGAGCAUGGGACUGGGCAUCCCGGUGACCAACCAUUUUCUCGUGAAUGAGGAGCGGAGUCCACUCCUCUUGAGAAUAACCCGCCUAGCAUGGAGGAUACAGACAACCCUGGUUGAUACAUGAGCUAUUCGAGCAUACAAAACAUAAUGUUUAUUUGAAGGUUUAGAGUUUGGCACAUACAAAUUUACUUGGAAUAUAGGAAGGUAUGGUGGACUCAUGUGGAAUAACUUUUGGGGUUUAUGAAGGUGGAUGCACAAACAAUAUUCCCGCUUAGUACAAGUGAAGGCUAGAAAGAGACUGGGAAGCGACCAGCGAGAGAGCGACAACAGUCAUGAACAUGCAUUAAAAUUAAUCAACACUGAGUGCAAGCAUUAGUAAGAUAUAAUUCACCAUGAACAUAAAUAUCGUGGAGGCUACGUUGAUUUUGUUUCAACUACAUGUGUGAACAUGUGCCAAGUCAAGCCACUCGAAUCGUUCAAAGGAGGAUACCACCCUAUCAUACCACAUCACAACCAUUUUAAUAGCAUGUUGGCACACAAGGUAAACCAUUAUAAACUCCUAGCUAAUUAAGCAUGGCAUGAGCAACUAUAAUCUCUAAUUGUCAUUGCAAACAUGUUUCAUUCAUAAUAGGCUGAAUUAGGAACGAUGAACUAAUCAUAUUUACAAAAACAGGAUAGGUCAAGUUCAUACCAGCUUCUCUCAUCUCAAUCAGUCCAUCAUAUAUCAUCAUUAUUGCCUUUCACUUGCACGGCCGAACGGUGUGGAUAAUAAUCAUGCAAGUGCAUUGGACUAAGCUGGAAUCUGCAAGCAUUCAAUACAAGGGAGAAGACAAGGUAGUAUGGGCUCUUUGUUAGAUCAACAAUAAUGCAUAUGAGAGCCACUCCACAAUUUCAUCAUGGUCUUCUCCUCUCGACCCCCAAAGAAAAGAAAAGAAACAAAACUAUUGUAACAUCCCAAAAUUCUAAAUUUUGGAAUGUUAUAAUAAAUAGAUAGAUUGAUUGAUUGUUUGGUUGUUGUGAGAUUGAUUGAGUGAAAUUCGAAACUUUUGAAAGUUAAAUGAGAGGGAAUAAAAGGACUUUCCCAAACUUUCACCUUUUUCUUUUGAUCACCGUGAAUUCAAAUUCUUUUCAAAUACAAAACCCUAGAGAGAAGAUUACAUGACUUCUUCCAGUAUUUAAAUGACAAGGGGUGUUGAAAAUAUUUGAAUUUCAUUUGGAAAAUAUUUCCAAUUCAGAAACUUUAAGCAACUCAAUGAUUUUCACGAGAGGAGAUAAAAUGACUUCUUCAAAUUAUGAAAUAUGAGUUGGGAGUUUCAAGGAUCAAAAUUCAAAGUCCUUUUGAAAUUAUUCUCAAUUUGGAAUUGUUUGAGUUUUAUUCAAAUUGUUUUUCUCCAAAAAUAAAAUAUAUGGAAAAUAGGGUAACAUGAUUCCCUACAUUAGAAAAUUGGAGAAAAAUUAAUUUGAAAUCAUUUUGGUAUUUUUAAAAUGUUUUUUGCUGGAUUUUAAUAGACCAACAGCACUCUUUGAUUUAUCUGAUUUUGUGAGGAUUUUAUUUGGCAUAUUAAAAAUAUUCAUGGCGUAGAAAAUCUUUUUCUGCAAAUUUUGGUAUAUUAUAUGCCUAUAUAAUAUUUUUUAUUUCUAUUUGUUUUAUUUGUUUUGUUUGUCUGAAAAAUGUUUAAAAAAACAAAUCCCUCUAGACCGACUGGACCGAGCCGGCCUAGCUCGCCAGGCCACGGCCCUGCCGGCCCACGCCAGUGCCCCACCAUCCCCGAGCUCCCGCAGGAGUUCGUCUCCCGCACGGGAGCGCCGCCACCGGAGUCCGGCAGGACUCCGCGACCGCCUUACCCCUGCCGCACGCAAGAGUCGCCGCCUCCUCCCUCCAUAAAUAGCUCCGCCCCGCCCCGCGCCGCUCCUCGCAUCUUGCCGCUGCCGCCUCGCNNNNNNNNNNNNNNNNNNNNNNNNNNNNNNNNNNNNNNNNNNNNNNNNNNNNNNNNNNNNNNNNNNNNNNNNNNNNNNNNNNNNNNNNNNNNNNNNNNNNNNNNNNNNNNNNNNNNNNNNNNNNNNNNNNNNNNNNNNNNNNNNNNNNNNNNNNNNNNNNNNNNNNNNNNNNNNNNNNNNNNNNNNNNNNNNNNNNNNNNNNNNNNNNNNNNNNNNNNNNNNNNNNNNNNNNNNNNNNNNNNNNNNNNNNNNNNNNNNNNUGCCGCCUCGCGAACCACCGCGCCGCCGCCGCAUCCCGCCGGAUCUGCGCAGCCGCCUCGCCGCUGCUGUCGCCCACCAUCGCGACGCCGCGUCGCUGCUGUCGCCCCGCGCCAAGUCCCGCCGCUGUCGUCGCCAUCCUCGCCUCGCCACGGCAAACCUCGCAGCCACCGGACUCGCUAACUGCCGCCGCUGGUUUUCGAUGGAAAACUGCCCCGAACCGGUACAAACCGACCCGGUUUUCUUUUUAGGUUUUUCUUUAGUUCGGUUUUAUUUUAUUAGAUUGGUUUUUCUUUUGCCUAGUUAUUUCGAGAACGUUCGCUGGUUAGGUUUUCACAGCGAACGGAUUCGUUAGUUAGCGUUCGACAGCGAACGUUCGUUAUUUAGUUUUUUCUUUUUCUUUUUAAUUUCGGCCAGGGACCUAUCUAUGAUGAUUUUAUUUACAGUUUAGUCCCUGAACUUCAGACGAUCAUUACUUUUUACUCGUUAGUCCAAAUCCAACAAAACCAACGCCCACAUAUUCGUUAUGAUCUCCUCUAUCCAGUAAUCCAACUCAAACAUGUUUUUGAAAAUUUGAAAAUUUGAAUUAGGUCAGAUUUGAAUUCAAACUUCGUUUGAUCAUAACUUGAGUUUCGUAGCUCCGUUUGAGUUGAUUCUUUUUGCAAAUCGAAGCUCUUGACCUAAACUUUCUGAUAAGGCCAAAUUCACAUAAUUUUGGUACUGUUAGAAAUUGUUUUAUGUUGCAAGAUCUAUUUGCUUGGUUUUGAUGUUUUCCGUAUCGACUUCUUCGAUCUUUCAGGUCUUUUGAGUGAUUGCUUAUGUGUGGUUACUAUUGCUUGAUUACGAUAAAUUGACCGGAGUGUGACGAGUAGAGCUAUCAAGAUUUUUGAGUGCGAAUCAUCUUCAUCAACAUUGCAGGCAAGUUCACACUUUGAUCAUAUCCCUUUCAUACCCAGUUUUUAUGCAUUAGUUUCACGCUCAAACAUUGCAUGAGUAGGAUUUGAUAACAUGUGGGUAUUGGGAAGUAGUUGAUGAGGUAGGAACCUAUUGCCAUGCAUUCAAACCUUGGGAGUUACUAUUACGUUAUGCUUAGAUUGCCAUGCUAUGCUCGUAGACGUGGAUUGGGUUUUGAGAGUAUUCAUGACAGAUGUGAGAUUGUUAAUUAAUGGUUUACUUAAGGUGGCAACUUAAACACACAUCUGGGUGGAUUGAGGCACCUGGGUAUUCCAGGAUUGCCUGUCUAAGCACGUGGGUAGACCAGGAUUGCCUGUUUUUUUAUGGACUGCCACCCAGGCUCAAAGGGAUCAUGAGAUUUUUCAUACUAGAAACUUCCGUGUGCAGCCACAAGCUAUUAUGGGCUCUAGCAUAGUUGAUUAAGUCGUGCGAACUCUUACAGGGUAGACUAGUAGAUGUAGGGGAAAGUAGGUGUAACGGUCUAUCCGUCGUAAGGUGCUAGCGCUUCUGAAAGACCGUGUCUUGGUCAUCCGUCUUCUCAAACACCAUGUAGUGCGAGAAACCAAACGGAGGCGAUCGAGUCUUGUGGGGAAAAGUGCGCAAACCUCUACAGAGUGUAUAAACUAAUCAUGAUUAGCAGUGUCCCCGGUUAUGGACAUAUUGAGUAUCUAGUACCUGGAUUAUCAUGUGAAUCUCAUCACGUUACUUUAAAUGAAUAUUGUUGGGUUUUAAUGAUGAUAUUUAGUUGGGAUUGAGAAUGCUGUCAACCAUUCUCAAUGUUUAACAAUCACCAUGAUAGUUAAAUAAAAUUUAUUCCUUUGCAGUAGGGAAAAAUUGGCUUUUCGCAAAAAACAUUAUAACCCCAGAGCCUUUCCACCAGCCAAAUAUGCAUGUAGUGAUAGCCUUUAUUCAUCAUUAUCCUGUGGUGUGAAUUUGCCAGUACAUUCAAUGUACUGACCCUUUGUGGCUGCAACGUCAUGAGUGAGUGAUACGUUAGGGUUACAAUUUCUACACUCAACUUUGCCGUUGGUGUUGAUGGGAAUCCACAACCUUGUUACUUCCGCUAUUUGGAUUGAGGUAAUAGUAUUUAUGUUACUUAUACAUGUGAUUUACCUCUGUUAUAAAUCCUCGACUACUGUGUGUGUCAGCAUACCGGUCCAGGGAUGACACUUAAGCAUAGAGACUUGAUCCAUUCGGGUCAGGUCGCUACAAGAUGGUAUCAGAGCACAUGUUGACUGUAGGACGUGACCCUAGAAACUGGCAAGCCCAUAGCAAAGAUUUUUCUCUACAACUUUCCCUUUUCAAAAAGAUCUUUUACCUCUCUUCUCUUCUGAGCUUAUUCAAAUAUCCCCUUUUAGUGAGACCAUACCCCCUUUUCCCUUUUGACCACACGAAAAUUCGGCUGAUGAGAUCACUCCAAGAAGUACAAGAUAUUGGACAACCGAGAUCAUUCAGAAUGAAGAGGAUUUUACCAUACAUUAUGAUAAUGGAAACUACAACUGUUGAAGACUCUGAAGACUAGGAGAAUUGGAGGCUCCGAAGAACUUCCAGAUUUGUGUGACCUAGGAAGGCUACCCUUAUGGAACUUGGCAGACUAUGGAAGUUGUCAAUACCCGAGAUUAAGGUGCAUCGGAGAAAGACCAAGCAUGGAGAGUUAAAAACCUCAAAGUUUUGUCAAGAAAACCCUAAGGCAGGAGAUAUCAACUAUGGAAGAUAGCUCAUGGCAAUGACAAGGGAAAAACACGGUUAUCCGUGAUGUCAUCACCCGCUUAUGCUAUUUGUCAUCGGGCUGAGUUAAGCAGGCAUUUCUUCGGAAGGAUUGGAUGGUAGAAGGCUGAUGGAGCAUCUAUCAGCAAAGGAUGCAGUUUUAACCUUAGCUGGUGUAUCACCAGGAUCUGGAGUAGUACAUCAAGAAGUUUAAGAUGGAGCUCCAGGAAACCGUAGUAGACAAGGAAGCAUUUCAUGAAGAACUUAGGUCCAAGAAGCUGAAGCAGCCAAGCUGGAGGAGAAAAACCUCGAGAUACCGGAGAUUCGUCAGGAACUGAAGGACAGUAGGACCCUGGUUCAUGCGAAGGAUGUUGAAACCAGAAGUUUGGAAUGCAACUCCGGAAUAUUAAAGGACGUCAUGAGAGACUUCGCGUCAACAGAGUUGAUCUGGAAAAAUAACUUGAAAAAGGACAAGCACGAUGGGAAGAAGCCAUCGGAGACAUAAACAAGACUUGAAGAGUUUGGUGAUUUUGAAGAUUUAUUGACCUUUAGAAGACCCAACCCCUGUUAUAUGCCUACGUUAUAUGCGACGUUUGUGAGUUGUCAUUUGUUUGAUGUUUUCCCGACGGCCACAAAUAAAAUCCGUCUUUUCAAAACUAUUGUUCGCAUUGUGUGUAUCCCUCUCUAUCUCUCUUAUCUCACCCCAAACCCAUGGACCCAAUAGAGGAUGAAUGAAGGUGGGCUUGUAUUUUCUGGACCGAUGAGUCAGUUGGAGACGAACCGAUGGAUUCAGAACAUGGAGGAUCACAUGAAGAAUAACCCUAUAGUUGGAAAUGAUAUGACCCAGCAUGCUCUUCAGUGCUUUGAAGGAGGUGCUGCUACUUGGUGGAGGAUAUACCAAACCAUGAAUGGAUGGCAAGGAGUAACCACUUGGAGAGAAUUUAAGUUGACUCUGCCAAAGUCUCGGCUUGUGUCCUAGAAGUUGAAACCUUAUGGAAAGGAUAUGAAGAAACCUUGUGCAUGCAAGAUUUGUGAAGAAAUAGGACACACCCAUAAGGAACACAACGAUGAAUGCCCUAACUGUGAAGGAAGUCACCCAUUUGAAGAAUGCCCAACUAGGCAGAUUACUUGUUUCUUGUGUGAAGGGACUACCCACUACCCUACUCAGUGUCACAUUUACCCCAUGGUAUAAUGAACCAUCCAGCAGAAGAAAGAAGUAAAGAAAGGAGCCAUUAUGGGAAUUCUAGAAGAAACUGUGAUGAAGGAAGAGGUGGAGGACACGCCUAAAGAAGACCCGAGUAAACCCUGCACUAAGUCUUGCUAUACGUGUGGAGAAGAAGGACGCAUCUCCCAAAAUUAUUUGAAUGGGGAUCUAGUAGAAUUCCCGACAGAGGAAGUAGAAUAUGACCCACAGGAAAUAGAUGCCCUGAUUGGAAUGGAAAAGUCCAGGAAGAGAAACCGGUUGGAGCCCAGGAGGGACCUGAGUCAUAUCACCUGUCACAGGUGCAAGGAGCCAGGGCACUACCUCAACAGUUGCCCCAAAAGGAAACCUCGAGACUUGUCAUAAGUAAUAUGUUUUAGUUGUAAUGGAGCAGGGCACUUUGCCAGAGAAUGCCCCAAGGAGAAGGAAACUUGUGCUAGAUAGUUGAGUUUGCAACAAAAGAAAUGGAGUAGUAGAGGUGAGAACAUUUUAUUUUAUAUUGAGGUGUUGAGUUGAGACAUGUAAUGGAAAAGCGAGAGAUUGUAAUCACUUGAGAGUGAAUAAAGUUAGCAUCAUUGGUACUGAUAUGGAUUUUAUGAGUUGUUACCCUAUGAAGAAGAAUUUUGACCAUUUCUGAGGAUAUGAGAAAUAUGGUCUAUGGAAGAUUUGUGCAUUUUAAGGGUGGUAGUACCCUGUAAGAACCCUUGGCCCCUGGAAAAGAUAAGGAUACUCCACUAAGUGGAUUUCAGACAAAAUGAAUAAGAGUUUUGUCUCGAUAUGUGUGAUACCCCAAGAGUAUGUGGGAUGAAGUUGGAGACCGUCAGUUGUUUGGACCAAAUGUGAUCAAGGAGUCAGAAGAGAAUGUUAAGUUGAUUCGAGAUAGACUGAAGGUAGCUCAGUCCAAGCAGAGGAGAUAUGCAGACUCAAAAACUCAAGGAGGUAGUCUAUGAGAUUGGAGACAGAGCAGGUCUUCAUCCCCUCUGCGAGGAGUUAAACAAUUUGGAGUUAAGGGACAGUUAGCCCCGAGAUUUGUAGGACCAUAUCGAGUUUUGGAGCAUAUGGGAGAAGUGGCCAACAAGUUGGAGUCAUCCGAAGGACUGUCAGGAGUUCAUGAUGUGUUUCACGUUCCCCAGUUGAAGAAGUGCCAUGCAGAGAUGGACAAUAUUCCCCUGUAAGGAUGCUUGACCCUGGAAAGGAUAAUGAUGUUCCAUGAAGUGGAAUAUGGACUUCAUAAGUAUAAGUUUUUAUCUCGGUAUGAGGGAUAUCCCACGAGGAUGGAGAGAUAAAUUACUAUUGGACAUAAAGGAGGUAUGAUACCGAAAAUAUGGAUCAAUGGAAACUCCAUGAUGAGUCUGAGUAAUCAUGUCUUAGUUUGGUGCCAAUAGAAGGAAGGAAGACAGUACAAUUAGAUGGAUUUAAGAAUACUAGGAAGUUGGAAGUGAACAAUGAUCAGUUGCCCGAUGAUAAGUUCAAGGACUACAAGUGAUGGGAUGGGCCAUAACCCACAGGCUCCAGGACCUGCCAAGAAGCAAGCACACUCUUGCUGAAGGAAAAACCCUAGACAAAGUUACGAUUUUAUCGGUAAGACGAUUUUAUAGGAGUAACGCAAAACCUGAGAGUUGUGAAGGAAUGAUAGAUAUUUGUUUGGCUUGCAGAAUCAAUGGAUUUUUCCGAAUGCAGUUCCUGGAUAAGAGAAAUUCUGCAAUGCUUGUGAGGAUGACCGAGUGUUAGAAUGCGAGAUUCGCUAAACCGUAUACAGGGUAAUGAUUUGGGUGCGGGAUGGAUUGAUCACCAUACCGACUUACUCUUAUUGUUCGCCUUGCUAUAUGGGAUGGUAAAUCUGAGUGACUUACCUAUAGUAGAGCGCCGACGAUCAAAACCUUGCUUAAAACUUAGAAUGGUAUAAGUAUUUUCCCUUGUACAAGGCAGCUUGUGCCAACCGUAGGUUAUACGGUAAGGAUCAACCAGACCCAUUUCCUGCAGGAGAAACCAUAAAUUGUUGACCACCAUGAGAUAUCGAUAGUUGAUUAGUAUUGGCGCGAGACCCGUCAGCUAAGAAGACCCAAUCUUGGAAUAACCUUACCAAGAUGAAAGGACAAAAGAAUUUAGGAAAAGGUUAUGCCACUACCGGAAGAGCCCAGAUAAGGAAUUAUCCUGAAGAUCCAAGAAGACCGACACUGUUAACAAUAAAAAUGGAGUAUAUGAAUUUUGAUGGAACCGUAACCAUGCUUCUAAGGGUGGUAGCACCCCAGACCUCGGAGACGAUUGAUGAAAUUUUGAAGAGACCCCGAACCUACCAUAUUUCUUUCUAGCCUCUCCGAAUCUCGAGGACGGGAUUCAUUUUAAGGGUGGUAGGUUUGUAACAUCCCAAAAUUCUAAAUUUUGGAAUGUUAUAAUAAAUAGAUAGAUUGAUUGAUUGUUUGAUUGUUGUGAGAUUGAUUGAGUGAAAUUCGAAACUUUUGAAAGUUAAAUGAGAGGGAAUAAAAGGACUUUCCCAAACAUUCACCUUUUUCUUUUGAUCACCGUGAAUUCAAAUUCUUUUCAAAUACAAAACCCUAGAGAGAAGAUGACAUGACUUCUUCUAGUAUUUAAAUGACAAGGGGUGUUGAAAAUAUUUGAAUUUCAUUUGGAAAAUAUUUCCAAUUCAGAAACUUUAAGCAACUCAACGAUUUUCACGAGAGGAGAUAAAAUGACUUCUUCAAAUUAUGAAAUAUGAGCUGGGAGUUUCAAGGAUCAAAAUUCAAAGUCCUUUUGAAAUUAUUUUCAAUUUGGAAUUGUUUGAGUUUUAUUCAAAUUGUUUUUCUCCAAAAAUAAAAUAUAUGGAAAAUAGGGUAACAUGAUUCCCUACAUUAGAAAAUAGGAGAAAAAUUAAUUUGAAAUCAUUUUGGUAUUUUUAAAAUGAUUUUUGUUGGAUUUUAAUAGACCAGUAGCACUCUUUGAUUUAUCUGCUUUUGUGAGGAUUUUAUUUGGCAUAUUAAAAAUGUUCAUGGCGUAGAAAAUCUUUUUCUGCAAAUUUUGGUAUAUUAUAUGCUUAUAUAAUAUUUUUUAUUUCUAUUUGUUUUAUCUGUUUUGUUUGUCUGAAAAAUGUUAAAAAAAACAAAUCCCUCUGGACCGACCGGACCGAGCCGGCCCAGCUCGCCAGGCCACGGCCCAGCCGGCCCACGCCAGUGCCCCGCCGUCCCCGAAGCUCCCGCAGGAGUUCGUCUCCUGCACGCGAGCGCCGCCGCCGGAGUCCGGCCGGACUCCGCGACCGCCUUGCCCCUCCCGCACGCAAGAGCCGCCGCCUCCUCCCUCCAUAAAUAGCUCUGCCCCGCCCCGCGCCGCUCCUCGCAUCUCGCUGCCGCCGCCUCGUGAACCACCGCGCCGUCGCCGCAUCCCGCCGGAUCUGCGCCGCCGCCUCGCCGCUGCUGCCGCCCACCACUGCGACGCCGCGUCGCUGCUGUNNNNNNNNNNNNNNNNNNNNNNNNNNNNNNNNNNNNNNNNNNNNNNNNNNNNNNNNNNNNNNNNNNNNNNNNNNNNNNNNNNNNNNNNNNNNNNNNNNNNNNNNNNNNNNNNNNNNNNNNNNNNNNNNNNNNNNNNNNNNNNNNNNNNNNNNNNNNNNNNNNNNNNNNNNNNNNNNNNNNNNNNNNNNNNNNNNNNNNNNNNNNNNNNNNNNNNNNNNNNNNNNNNNNNNNNNNNNNNNNNNNNNNNNNNNNNNNNNNNNNNNNNNNNNNNNNNNNNNNNNNNNNNNNNNNNNNNNNNNNNNNNNNNNNNNNNNNNNNNNNNNNNNNNNNNNNNNNNNNNNNNNNNNNNNNNNNNNNNNNNNNNNNNNNNNNNNNNNNNNNNNNNNNNNNNNNNNNNNNNNNNNNNNNNNNNNNNNNNNNNNNNNNNNNNNNNNNNNNNNNNNNNNNNNNNNNNNNNNNNNNNNNNNNNNNNNNNNNNNNNNNNNNNNNNNNNNNNNNNNNNNNNNNNNNNNNNNNNNNNNNNNNNNNNNNNNNNNNNNNNNNNNNNNNNNNNNNNNNNNNNNNNNNNNNNNNNNNNNNNNNNNCCACGGCAAACCUCGCAGCCGCCGUCGAAGUCCGCUGCCGCCACCGGACUCGCUAACUACCGCCGGCGGUUUUCGAUGGAAUACCUCCCCGAACCGGUACAAACCGACCCGGUUUUCUUUUUAGGUUUUUCUUCAGUUCGGUUUUAUUUUAUUAGAUCGGUUUUUCUUUUGCCUAGUUAUUUCGAGAACGUUCGCUGGUUAGGUUUUCACAGCGAACGGAUUCGUUAGUUAGCGUUCGACAGCGAACGUUCGUUAUUUAGUUUUUUUUUUAAAUUUCGGCCAGGGACCUAUCUGUGAUGAUUUUAUUUACAGUUUAGUCCCUGAACUUCAAACGAUCAUUACUUUUUACUCGUUAGUCCAAAUCCAACGAAACCAACGCCCACGUCUUCGUUAUGAUCUCCUCUAUCCAGUAAUCCAACUCAAACAUGUUCUUGAAAAGUUUACAAUUUGAAUUAGAUCAGAUUUGAAUUCAAACUUCGUUUGAUCAUAACUUGAGUUUCGUAGCUCCGUUUGAGUUGAUUCUUUUUGGAAAUCGAAGCUCUUGACCUAAACUUUCUGAUAAGGCCAAAUUCACAUAAUUUUGGUACUGUUAGAAAUUGUUUUAUGUUGCAAGAGCUAUUUGCUUGGUUUUGAUGUUUUCCGAAUCGACUUCUUCGAUCUUUCAGGUCUUUUGAGUGAUUGCUUAUGUGUGGUUACUAUUGCUUGAUUACGAUACAUUGACCGGAGUGUGACGAGUAGAGCUAUCAAGAUUUUUGUGUGCGAAUCAUCUUCAUCAACAUUGCAGGCAAGUUCACACUUUGAUCAUAUCCCUUUCAUACCCAGUUUUUAUGCAUUAGUUUAAUCCUCAAACAUUGCAUGAUAGGAUUUGAUAACAUGUGGGUAUUGGGAAGUAGUUGAUGAGGUAGGAACCUAUUGCCAUGCAUUCAAACCUUGGGAGUUACUAUUACGUUAUGCUUAGAUUGCCAUGCUAUGCUCGUAGACGUGGAUUGGGUUUUGAGAGUAUUCAUGACAAAUGUGAGAUUGUUAAUUAAUGGAUACUUAAGGUGGCAACUUAAACACACAUCUGGGUGGAUUGAGGCACCUGGGUAUUCCAGGAUUGCCUGUCUAGGCACCUGGGUAGACCAGGAUUGCCUGUUUUUUUGUGGACCACCACCCAGGCUCAAAGGGAUCAUGAGAUUUUUCAUACUAAAAACUUCCGUGUGCAGCCACAAGCUAUUAUGGGCUCUAGCAUAGUUGACUAAGUUGUGUGAACUCUUACAGGGUAGACUAGCAAAUGUAGGGGAAAGUAGGUGUAACGGUCUAUCCAUCAUAAGGUGCUAGCGCUUCUGAAAGACUGUGUCUCGGUCAUCCGUCUUCUCAAACACCAUGUAGUGCGAGAAACCAAACGGAGGCGAUCGAGUCUUGUGAGGAAAAGUGCACAAACCUCUGCAGAGUGUAUAAACUAAUCAUGAUUAGCCGUGUCCCCGGUUAUGGGCAUCUUGAGUAUCUAGUACCUGGAUUAUCAUGUGAAUCUCAUCAUGUUACUUUAAAUGAAUAUUGUUGGGUUUUAAUGAUGAUAUUUAGUUGGGAUUGAGAAUGCUGUCAACCAUUCUCAAUGUUUAACAAUCACCAUGAUAGUUAAAUAAAAUUUAUUCCUUUGGAGUAGAGAAAAAUUGGCUUUUCGCAAAAAACAUUAUAACCCCAGAGCCUUUCCACCAGCCAAAUAUGCAUGUAGUGAUAGCCUUUAUUCAUCAUUAUCCUCUGGUGUGAAUUUGCCAGUACAUUCAAUGUACUAACCCUUUGUGGCUGCAACGUCUCAUGUUGCAGGAUUAUCUUACGAUGAGUGAGUGAUACGUUAGGGUUACUGUCGGUGUCAAAACCGGUGGAUCUCGGGUAGGGGGUCCCGAACUGUGCGUCUAGGCCGGAUGGUAGCAGGAGGCAAGGGACACGAAGUUUUACCCAGGUUCGGGCCCUCUUGAUGGAGGUGAAACCCUACGUCGUGCUUGAUUAAUAUUGAUGAUAUGGGUAGUACAUGAGUAGAUCUACCAUGAGAUCGGAGAGGCAAAACUCUAGAAGCUAGCCUAUGGUAUGAUUGUUGUUCUGUAUGUUGUCCUACGGACUAAAACCCUCCGGUUUAUAUAGACACCGGAGAGGGUUAGGGUUACACAAAGUCGGUUACAAUGGUAGGAUAUCUACAUAUCCGUAUCGCCAAGCUUGCCUUCCACGCCAAGGAAAGUCCCUUCCGGACACGAGACGAAGUCUUCAAUCUUGUAUCUUCAUAGUCCAGGAGUCCUGCUGAAGGUAUAGUCCGGCCAUCCGGACACCCCCUAAUCCAGGACUCCCUCAGUAGCCCCUGAACCAGGCUUCAAUGAUAACGAGUCCGACAUGUAGAUUGUCUUCGGCAUUGCAAGGCGGGUUCCUCCUCCAAGUACUUCAUAGAAGAUUUUGAACACAAAGAUAGUGUCCGGCUCUGCAAAAUAAGUUUCCACAUAUUGCCAUAGAGAGAAUAAUAUUUACACAAAUCUAAUCUGCUGACGUAUUCCGUAGUGUGACAUCGCACCACGGCCAAGCCUUUAUUCGAAUCGUUUUAUUGUCCCACCUCAGCGUGUCAUGCGAGGCGGUUUCCUUGGCACGUCUUGUUAAAGCAGAUAUCGUGUCCCCUUAUUCUGGGAUUCUCAUCAAUACGGGCGUGGGUAACCCAACCGCGCCAUUGAUUACGGCGCUUGGGAGAUAAGCGAGUUUUACCAGGCUGGUGGAGACGCAUAGUCGCGUCCACCCAUAUAAGGGGAUAAGGAUCCACCUUUUCACCUACGCAUUCUUCCUCCUUUACCUAUCCAUUUUCGCGCACUCGAGCUCCAGCGCCCAAGUCCGCACUCCCCACCUCAACCUUCUCCAGCCAUGUCCGGAGCGGGAGGCAAGUGGAUGGUCUCCUCCGUUACGGAGGGACACAUCAAAAAACUAAGGAAGGCCGGAUACUUGCCUAACAACAUUGCGCAUCGGCUUCCCGAAGAGGGGCAGCUCCUCCCCACCCCAAGGCCCCAUGAGAGGGUAGUAUUCCUUCCCCACUUCCUCCGCGGACUGGGCUUUCCUAUCCACCCAUUCGUCCGGGGACUCAUGUUCUACUAAGGCCUGGAUUUCCAUGAUCUGGCCUCGAACUUCAUCCUCAACAUCUCGGCGUUUAUCAUCGUGUGCGAGGCUUUCCUCCGCAUCCGCCCCCAUUUCGGCCUAUGGCUCAAGACUUUCAAUGUCAAGCCAAAGGUGGUGCGCGGCAACCAGGCGGAGUGCGGAGGCGCCAUGGUGGGCAAGAUGCCCAACGUCAUAUGUCUCGAGGGCUCCUUUGUGGAGACCCUGAAGGGGUGGCAAUCGGGGUGGUUUUACAUCACCGAGCUGCGUGACCCUGAGUGGGUCGCAGCCCCCGAGUUCCGGUCUGGACCCCCAACACAGCUCACGUCCUGGAAAGAGACGGGCCUGUCGUGGGGCAGCAAAAGAGAGGUGACUGGACUGCAAACAUGCAUCCAAACCCUGGUGGACAAGCAGCUCAAGCUCGUCAACAUAGUCCAGGUUAUGCUCAUCCGCCGGAUCCUCCCGUGUCAACAACGGGCCUUUAAUCUGUGGGAGUUCAACCCAGCGCAGCACCAAACUCUGAGCAGGCUCUUUGACACGACGUACGAAGAUGCCUGGAAGGUGCUUUUCAAGGGCGCCGAGGCUCCCGCAUCCGUUACCGAGGAUCACGGAUUUAGCGCGCAGCGUCACGCUAGCGUGGUAAGUUGUUUGUACCUUUUACAUGGUAUUAGUUUUUCAUAGUUUAACUCUAUGCGGGAUCUAAGCUCCCUUACCUUUGACAGGAUUGGUAGGCGAAGUCCGGACAGAUCGACUGUCCGGCUCCUUUGCCCGAAGACCCAGCCGAUGCUCGCUUCGCGAAGCUGCUGGUUCUAGCACCCUAUGUGGUGCCGGAGAAGAAGGCCACGAAGAAGGCCACGGGGACUCGAACAAGUGCCCGGCGCCAGGAGGUGUCGGGUUCAUCAUCCGACGGCUCCAAGGCACAUUCCUCCCGUGAAGACGAGGAUGAGGAAGAAGAGACCUAUCCCCUUCCAGCGGGGGGAGAGAAGAAAAGGAAGGUCGCCCUUACUGGGGAGGCCGAAAGGUCCAAGAAGGGGAAAACCCUUCCUCCGGACUGCUCCACCAACGCCGACGACGGCAGAGAGGAGUGGCCGCUCAGGGCCAAGCCCCUGGCGAAAUCGUAAGUAUCCGGAUACCAGAGUAAUUCAUACUAUUCCUUUAUUGCACAACUUUCCCUUAUGUCGAAUAUGAUUAUGCAGCCCACCCAAAGACCGGCUCGACGCGUCGUCGAGCGGUUCACUGGACUUGUCGGAUGUGAAUUUGCUUCCGCCGGCUACCUCCCCCCGCCCUACGGACGACGCCGAAGUGUUGUCUCAACAGGUUCCAAGCCAGGAGGAGGUGGUCCUGGAGGCGCCGCAAGGCGACCUCCCGGACUCCAGGAGUAAAGGGGAUAAAACCCCCCAGGGCUCCAAGUCCGGCUCUAGGUCGGACACCGCUCCGGAACCUUCAAAGGUUCCAGAGUCCGGUGGGCGACCUCCUUCCAAGAGGAGCAAGCCCUCUGUGCCGGUGACCCCCAUCCAACCGGAGGCACCAGACAAUCUGUUGGAGGCGCUCAAAGGCGCCUCCAUCGACGAGGAGCACCGCACCAUUAUGAGUGCAGUGGUCCAGAAAGUUCAGUCCGCCAAGAACGGACUGACUGAAGCUUGUGCUAGCCUUUUAACAGGCUUUGAGGUAAGUAAAGAAUAUGUAAAUAAUAUUACCGCAUAGACAGUAGCCCCUGAUGCUCUGUUUGGCGUUCCGGAAGAAAAGCCGAAUAGAGGAUCAAAUAAAAUUCGCAGGAGUCUAACAAAAAGGAGUCAAUAUGCGUAUGCAGGCUUCUCUGCUGGCGUCCGCCGCACUGACUGUGGAAGUGGACACGCUAAAGCAGAACCUCGAGUAGUCCGAGCAAGAGCUCAGACGUGCCAAGAAGCAGCUCGAGGACAAGGAAGGUAAGAAAUACCUUGUUUAAAUAUAUAUAAAAAAGGUGCAAUUGCAAAAAAUGAUAGGAUUAUCAUGGCUAUUGUAGGUGCCACGUCUGAGGUGGCGACCCUUAAGCAAGUGCUGCUCGAGGCCGAGAAGAGGGCGGCCAUGGAGCGCACCGAGCGGGAGAAGUAUGAGGCCGAGGUUGGCAAGGUGCGGCAAGAGCUCCAGGCUAUCAUGGAAAAACAUGAGAGUUUGGAGCUUGACUCAAAGACGCGAGCGUCCGAGCUCGCGGUGGCUAUUGAAAAUGCCAAGUCUGCCAAGGCCGAAUCCCAGAAGACCCUCCAGGAGUUGGAUGAGGUGAAAACGAUAGCGGCGGGUAAGGCAUUCUUUAUGCAAAGCAAACACAUAAACAUGAGUUACUUGUUACUUACCCAAAACCGGAGCUCUCCAGGAGCAUUUGCAGAUCUUCCCCGUAGCGUGUCCGAUGCCACUGCAUUCUAUCGAGCCGAGGAGGGCAGCUCGACAGAGAAGGUGUUCUGGUCUUAGUAUGCUGAGGCCGGACACCCCGUGCCCCUGAGCGACCAGCUGAAGCAACUGGUCGAGCUCCACAAGGCGGCGAACAGGCCAUGAAGGGCCUCAUAGUUCGGCUAUGGCCUGGAGAGGCUCUGCCUGGGAGCUAUUUUGGGCUGGUGCGGCGGCUGGUGGGGGCCUGUCCAAGGCUCGAAGUCAUCAAGUGCUCCGUCUGCAUUGAAGGUGCCCGUAGGGCCCUUGCCCGUGCUAAGGUGCACUGGGGCAAGCUGGAUGCUGAGAAGCUUGUGAAAGACGGGCCACCACCGGGGAAGGAGCAUCGCAAGCCCGAGAAUUAUUAUAAGGAUUUCUGAAGGGUGCCCGCCUUAUGGCGGAUGAAUGUUCCAGGGAUGUAAUUUUUGAGUAAAACUCGCUCGUUUUGUCCUGUGCGCUGAAAACUUGUUCAUAUGCGCUAAGCAAUGCUGUUGGAAUUUAAAAUAUUACCUUCUGUGCGGCUGUUUAUCAAUUCUGAGAGAUGGUGAGUCGUCGGCUUCUGCCCCCGUGCUGCUAGUGCUGGGGUGUUCGGGGAUAAACCUGAGCGCUCUUUUUCCCAUGUUUGGGUCCUUCGAGGGAGGCGCUCAGCACAAUGAACAAGGCAAUCGGACUAUAAUGCGUGAACACUCUCACUUAGCCAUAGAGUUCUAUAAUUUUAAAUUUCGGCGAAGCCCCUGGUAUUCGGAAGACCGAUUUCGAGGCGCUAUCCACGCCUUGGCCGGACAGAGCCGACUCCUCGCUCUAAGCGGCAUAAGUCUUUAGGGACUCGAAAAACCUCUCGAACAGCGACCAGCUCUCGCUUCAUCAUGACAGUCAGUUUUAGCUUUCUCUACUAAGGUGCUCGACCCAGCUCAACUGGGGCACAAUCGCAGUAGUUCUCCUAGUGCUACCUUAACCGAUAUAGCGGAACGUAAGGCACCAAAACAUAGGAGCCAGGCAAACCCAACUAUUGACCCAAGACAUGAUUCAGAGCCGAUGCAUAUAAUGCUAUAAGUUCGGGGUGCCGCACUUGUUAAAGUGUUCGGACUUCUCACACCAUAUUGAGGGGUACUAAAGCCCCUGGCGUAUUUUGGCCGUACCAAAGUGUACGGGUGCAACACGUCGUUAAGGAACAUAUAUUUGUAAAAAAAGAGUAAUGCAAAAAUAGACAAAAGCUAUGCAUUGUUUAUUAAAAAGGGCUGCGAUCAAAGCAGAACGAUACAAAUAAUGCGAUAAGCAAAACGUUGGACUAUUUAACAUGUCCGUUCCAGGGGCAGGCUGUGGAAUGGUAUGCGAAACAGGUAUACUGCUCGUGAUAGAGACCACCUGGGAGUUCCGUAAUGCGGCAUGGCUUGUCUGCUUCCCUGUUUCUUGCAUCGUUUGUGCGGCAAUUGAACUACCGAACAGGCCUUCCGAAGAAUGGAGUCCUGAAAGUAAGAGAAAAUUAAAAAAUCGGCAGCCCCUGGUGCGGUUUAAGCUGUGUUUCGGGCGUGCCGUGAUAGUGCCCCUCCCCCUGUACCCAUGGUAUUUCUAGAGCGUAGUUAUGUACGCGAAGCACUGGUGUCGCAUGUUUGCGAGGGCUGGGGUUGGGGCCGCAUUGCUAUGCCUGCUCGGAACGUGCCAGACGGUCUUGUUGUAGGAUACUCCGGGCGCGCUUGACGGUGUCUGGAUGUUUAAUGGCCGGACUGGAGAACUGCCUGGAGAGGCUGCUUUGUACUUCCGCUGCAAGGGCCACCGUGUGCUCCUCCGUUCGGAGGGAGCGUUCGGUGUUUCCAUUUACCGUAAUUAGUCCUUGAGGGCCCGGCAUCUUGAGCUUAAGGUAUGCGUAGUGCGGUACCGCAUUGAACUUGGCGAAUGCGGUUCGCCCGAGCAAUGCGUGAUAACCACUGCGGAAUGGGACUAUGUCGAAGAUUAACUCCUCGCUUCGGAAAUUAUCCGGAGAUCCGAAGACCACUUCAAGUGUGACUGAGCCUGUAUAGUUGGCCUCUACACCUGGUAUUACGCCUUUAAAGGUCGUUUUGGUGGGCUUAAUCCUCGAGGGAUCUAUGCCCAUUUUACGCACUGUAUCCUAGUAAAGCAGGUUCAGGCUGCUGCCGCCGUCCAUAGGGACUCUAGUGAGAUGAAAUCCGUCAACAAUUGGGUCUAGAACCAAUGCGGCGAAUUCGCCAUGACGGGUGCUAGUGGGAUGGUCCCUUCGAUCAAAGGUGAUCGGGCAGGAGGACCAUGGGUUGAACUUUGGGGCAACUGGCUCUACCGCGUAUACGUCCCUUAACGCGCGCUUCCGCUCCCUCUUGGGGAUGUGGGUUGCGUAUAUCAUGUUCACCGUCCGCACUUGUGGGGGAAAACCCUUCUGUCCACUGUUGUUCGGCGGUCGGGGCUCUUCGUCGUCAUCGCUAUGCAGCCCCUCGUCUUUGUUUUCGGCAUUUAACUUGCCUGCCUGCUUGAACACCCAACAAUCCCUGUUGGUGUGAUUGGCCGGCUUUUCGGGGGUGCCAUGUAUCUGGCACAAGCGGUCGAGUAUUCGGUCCAAACUAGACGGGCCCCUAGGAUUUCUUUUGAAUGGCUUUUUCCGCUAACCGGAUUUAUAGCCUCUGAAUCCGGCAUUAACUGUCGUAUCCUCAGCAUUGUCACCGUUAAUGCGGCACUUUUGCUUGUUGCGACGCGACCUGCCACUACUGUCCCUGGUAUCCGAAUUACCAGGGUUUUUGGUCAUAUUGUUGCUACGAGCAAGCCAGCUGUCUUCUCCCGCGCAAAAGCGGGCCAUGAGUGUCGUGAGUGCUGCCAUAGAUUUCGGCUUUUCCUGUCCAAGGUGCCGGGCAAGCCACUCGUCACGGAUAUUGUGCUUGAAGGCUGCUAGGGUCUCUGUGUCCGGACAAUCGACUAUUUGAUUUUUCUUUAUUAGGAACCAUGUCCAAAAUUGCGUGGCCGAUUCCUCUGGCUGCUGAAUUACGUGGCUUAGGUCAUUGGCGUCUGGUGGUCGCACAUAAGUUCCCUGGAAAUUGUCGAAGAAUGCGGCUUCCAGGUCCUCCCAACAACUGAUUGAUCCUGCUGGCAAGCUGUUAAGCCAAUGCCGAGCUGGUCCUUUAAGCUUGAGUGGGAGGUAUUUGAUGGCGUGGAGAUCAUCGCCGUGGGCCAUGUGGAUAUGAAGGAGAUAAUCCUCGAUCCUUACCGCAGGAUCUGUUGUGCCAUCAUAUGAUUCGAUGUUUACGGGUUUGAAACCCUCGGGGAUUUGAUGAUCCAUGACUUCGUUUGUGAAGCAUAGUGGGUGUGCGGCGCCUCUAUACUGGGCUAUAUCACGACGUAGCUCCAAUGAGCUUUGUCUAUUGUGUUCGGCCCUACCGGAUUUGUGUCCAGCGUGACGGUUAUCGUCUCGAGUCGUGGGGCGCCCACGCGAUCCGUAGAUCGAUCUUGUUUGCCUUGCCUUGUCCUCCAUCAUGUCUCGCAGGUCUAGCGCAUUUUCCCGUGCCUUGGUACGAGGUGCGGCUUGAGUGGAGGGCCGAGAGGCCUCUCUAUCGCGGCCACGAGGUGGCCGGUUGGCCGUAUCAGGUGCUGGUGAUGUAGGUUUAAGUGCUUCCUCCUCUAAUCGGGGUAGCAACGUGCGCUUUGGGUAGCUCUUGGAGGGGCGUUCGAGUUUAUGCUCUUCGGCCGCAAGGACUUUAGUCCAUUUGUCGACUAGCAAAUCUUGAUCAGCUCUAAGUUGUUGCUGUUUUUUCUUGAGGCUUCUUGCCGUGGCCAUAAGCCUGCAUUGAAAACGCUCUUGCUCGACGGGAUCCUCUGGCACAACGAAUUCGUCGUCGUCGAGGCUUGCCUCGUCUUCAGAGGGAGGCAUAUAAUUAUCGUCCUCGACCUCUCUGUCUGUCGCUCUCUCAUGAGGGCUGACUUCUCCAUCCUCCUGUGCUGAAUCUUGUUGGAGGGGUUUUCUUCGGCACUCUCCGGAGUAUUAUUAUCUCCCAUGCUGGAAUCACCGUAUUUCCUUUGGCGGGAUUUUGAGCGGCGCCGCUGACGCUGGCGCUUAGGCUGUUUCUUGGAGGGGUCAUCCUCCGCCGUUCCAUCGCCAUCUCCUUCUUUUGGGGUGUCCACCAUGUAUAUGUCAUAUGACGAGGUGGCUUUCCAGGGCCCAAUAGGCGCUGGUUCUUCAUCGCCUCCUGCAUCGGCGUCCAUACCGUCGAUGUCUUCGAAGUCAAAGUCGAGCAUGUCGGUUAAAUCGUCGAUAGUGGCUACAAAGUGGGUGGUGGGCGGGCUUUGAAUUUCUUCAUCGUCCGUAUCCCAACCUUGCUGACCGUAGUCCGGCCAGGGCUCUCCUGAUAAAGAGAGAGACUUUAGUGUCUUCAGAAUAUCACCGAAAAGCGAGUGCUGAAAGAUGUCCGCGGCAGUAAACUCCGUGAUCGGCGCCCAAUCGGAUUCGAUCGGCAGGGGCGUGGAGGGUUCGGAGUCCGGAGAGGAGUCCGGCUCCUUGGAGUCACGAGUCUCGCGGAGUGCGGGGCUGGUGUUCGGCUCGAUCGCCAUUGGGAUCGCAGCCCCCGAGGCGGCGUCCAACCACCCAUCCUCGAUCGGCACAGUUGGCUCCGAAUUAAGGGUCGAAGCCGAUGCGGGUGCGGCCUCCAGGGCACUGUUCGGUGGCAGAGCUAGAUCAUGCUCGUCGUGACAGUGCGGCGCGCUCGGCAGUGGCUCGAAUCCGUCGAGGAUCAAGUCCCCGCGGAUGUCAGCCGUGUAGUUUAAACUUCCAAAUCUGACCUGACGGCCAGGGGCAUAGCUUUCGAUCUGCUCCAGAUGGCCAAGUGAAUUGGCCCGCAGUGCGAAGCUGCCGAAGACGAAGAUCUGUCCGGGGAGGAAGGUAUCACCCUGGACUGCAUCGCCAUUGAUGAUCAUAGAAGCCAUCAAGCCUAACGGCGACGACACAAAGGAACUCUCAAUGAAAGCACCAAUGUUGGUGUCAAAACCGGCGGAUCUCGGGUAGGGGGUCCCGAUCUAUGCGUCUAGGCCGGAUGGUAAUAGGAAGGGAUACGAAGUUUUACCCAGGUUCGGGCCCUCUUGAUGGAGGUGAAACCCUACGUCCUACUUGAUUAAUAUUGAUGAUAUGGGUAGCACAAGAGUAGAUCUACCACGAGAUCGAAGAGGCUAAACCCUAGAAGCUAGCCUAUGGUAUGAUUGUUGUUCUGUAUGUUGUCCUAUGGACUAAAACCCUCCGGUUUAUAUAGACAGCGGAGAGGGUUAGGGUUACACAAAGUCGGUUACAAUGGUAGGAUAUCUACAUAUCCGUAUCGCCAAGCUUGCUUCCACGCCAAGGAAAGUCCCUUCCGGACACGGGACGAAGUCUUCAAUCUUGUAUCUUCAUAGUCCAGGAGUCCGGCUGAAGGUAUAGUCCGGCCAUCCGGACACCCCCUAAUCCAGGACUCCCUCAGUUACGAUUUCUACACUCAACUUUGCCAUUGGUGUUGAUGGGAAUCCACAACCUUGUUACUUUUUCGCUAUUUGGAUUGAGGUAAUAGUAUUUACGUUACUUAUACAUGUGAUUUACCUCUGUUAUAAAUCCUCGAGUACUGUGUGUGUCAGCAUACCGGUCCAGGGAUGACACUUAAGCACAGAGACUUGAUCCAUUCGGGUCGGGUCGCUACAACUAUGUACACGGGAAAGCUCCCAACAAGCAAAAGAAGAAUGAGAAAUCCUAUUGAGUUUUCUUUUAAUUACUACUACUACAUGCAUGGAAAGUAAACUAGCUAAAAGCUACAACUAAUUUUUUUGGUUUUUCUUAAGGUUUUUCAAACACACAAGAAGAAUGCUAGAAAAGAAAAUAAACUAGCAUGGAUAUUACAAUGAAAAAGUAUGAGCACCGACAACUGGCAUGAGUGUGUGAACAUGAAUGUAAUGUCGGUGAGUGAUACGUACUCCCCCAAGCUUAGGCUUUUGGCCUAAGUUGGUCUAGGGCCAUGGCUCAAAGCCGCCCUCUUCGGUGUACGGAGGAGUGUCCGCUGGGUGCCACUAGUUGGCGAUCUCCUAUGGAUCCCACUGAUAAAUAGAUUGACGGUAUGGAUCAAGUGGUGGCUCCGGCUCAAGAUCUGGAGCUGAUGUCAGGAUCCAGUAUGCAUGAACGGCCUCCGGUAAAACAAGGUACGUGCCUGAAAAUAUGUUAAACAAAGAGGGAGCAGGCAAGGUAAUAGUCUCGAAUUAAUUUUUAUCAAAUAUCAAUCUAUAUUUAAGCAUCUUCUUCUUAUCCUUAACAAUAAAAUCAUGUGCUACCAUACUCAUAUAAUCUAGAAAAAUAGGAGGCAGCAACUUUUCCUCUUUCUCAUAAUGCCUAAUAGGUAUGUUAAAGUGUGCAGCAAGGCACGAGGCGAAGAUGCCUCCAAAAAUGGGACCCUUUGUACGGUUCUGAUUUAACUAUUUAGCAACAAUAUCGCCUAAACUGAAAGUGGUAUCAUGAAACAAAACAUGGCGCAAAAUAACAAUAUCAGGGGCACUAAGGUUUCCAAUGUUCCCGCGACCAAUUAAGCAUCUACUAGCAAAUAUUGCAAAGUAACAUAGAAUAGGAAAAUGUAUGCUAGUAAUUCUUGCAUCGGAAACUUUCCUUGUUUCCCCUACAGUAAUCAUAUCAAUAAAUCCCUCCACAUCAUUACGAUGUGGUUCAUCUAUGCUGCCCGCAAAGGGUAUCUUACAGACCCGACAAAACUCAUAUGGCGACAUCUCCUUAACCUCAUCAUAUAAAUGAAAUUCCACUGAAGGUGGUGAUUUCUUAGCAUGAAAGUAAAAGUUUUGCACGAAAAUAUUAGUGAGGAGGAGAUACUGUUCGCGCUGGUCGCGGAGGAAGUCGACGAGGCCUGCAUUCUUAGCCAAAUAACAAAAGUCAUCAUAAAUCUCGGCUGCUCUCAACAACUCAUCACAAGUCCAUUCGCACGGGCGAACCUCCGCAGUACGAGGGAGAUUAUAUUUGGGCUUCUUAUUCUCUUCACUUUGCUUAUCCUUCGAGUUUCGGCUCGAAGAGCCCCUCAACAAUCUCUUCAUCAUUUUCUUUCUCUGAAAAAAUUCUGAAAUUUUUAGUGACUCAAAAUAAAAGUGAAUUAAACUCAGCAAGAUUGAUAGCAACUACUCCUACAAGUACCUAGAGGCCAUAUCAUGCAUUAAAACUACUUUUGACCACAUAAAUUUGACAUGCAAGCUCAAGAACAGGGUCACCUAAGCAGAAAAAAAUUGCGAUAAAUAAAGCACUAGAACAAAAACUAAUUGGACCAUUGGAGGAGUCACAUACUGAAGAACAAUCCCCCAAAGCAGUUUUGUGAAUGGAGCUUUGAGCAAGGAGAUCAGAAAUGGCAGCAAGAUGAGCUAGAACUCGGGUUCGAGCUGGUGGAGGAUUUUUUCUGGAGGAAGACGAAGUGUGUGGGUGCAAGAAUAAGUGGAGGUGGGCCACGUGGGGUCUACGAGGCAGGGGGGUGUGCCUUAGGGGGUGGGCGCGCCCUGGACCAUCGUGGCCAGGUGGUGAGGGCCCCAGGUGUGUUCUUAGUGCCAAUAAUUCUUAAAUAUUCUAUAAAAAAUCAUAUAAAAUUUUCAGGGCAUUUGGAGAACUUUUAUUUUCGGGGUGUUUUUUAUUGCAAGGAUAAUUCAAAAAACAGACAUAAAAUACUAUUUUUGCUUUAUUUAAUCUAGAUAAUAGAAAGUAAAAGGAGGGUACAGAGAGUUGUGCUUUCUAACUUCAUCCAUCUCAUGCUCAUCAAAAGGAAUCCACUAACAAGGUUGAUCAAGUCUUGUUAACAAACUCUUUCCGAAUCGCAUGAAACUGGAGAAUUUUCAAAUAACACUAAGUUACCUCAACGGGAUAUGAACAUCCCCAACAAUAAGAAUAUCAUAUUUCUUCUUGAUAGUAGGAAGAGGGAAUUCAAAACCUCCAAUAGUAAUCGUUGGAAUUUUCCCAAUAGAAUUGAUACUGUGGACUUGAGGUUGUUUCCUCGGAAAGUGUACCAUAUGCUCAUUACCAUUAACAUGACAAGUGACAUUGCCUUUGUUGCAAUCAAUAACACCCCUGCAGUAUUCAAAAAGGGUCUACCAAGGAUAAUCGACAUAUUAUCGUCCUCGGGAAUAUCAAGAAUAACAAAGUCUAUUAAAAUAGUAACGUUUGCAACCACAACAGGCACAUCCUCACAAAUACCGACAUGCUGUACCAUUAGUUGAAUUUCUUGAUGAACAACUUGCUAGGGUUAGAGAGAAUGAAAUUAUUGAGACAGAUAAUAUUGAUGAAAGUGAUGAUGAAGAUUCUCCCCCUAAAUACGAAUUGCCUGAUGUGCCUGAGGGUUAUGUUAUGGGUGAAGAAACUGCUAGAGACCUUUUUGCUUACAAAGAUAGAUAUGAUCUUAAGAAACUGUUAGCUAAGCUGAAAGAAAAGUCUUUGAAUGCCAAAGAAAAUCUACGCGCCAAACACAUCGUCAUUGAAGCCUGGUUCAGGGGCUACUGAGGGAGUCCUGGAUUAGGGGGUCCCCGGGCGUUUGGGCUAUGUGACGUGGGCCGGACUGGUGGGCCGUGAAGAUACAAGAUAGAAGGCUUCCCCCUGUGUCCGGAUGGGACUCUCCUUGGCGUGGAAGGCAAGCUUGGCAUUCGGAUAUGAAGAUUCCUUUCUCUGUAAACCGACCCUGUACAACCCUAGCACCUCCGGUGUCUAUAUAAACUGCAGGGUUUAGUCUGUAGAGUCAGUCAUAGUCAUAUAGGCUAGACAUCUAGGGUUUAGCCAUUAUGAUCUCGAGGUAGAUCAACUCUUGUAACCCCUAUACUCAUCAAAGUCAAUCAAGCAGGAAGUAGGGUAUUACCUCCAUUAAGAGGGCCCGUCCCCUGCCUCCUGUUACCUUAGAUCCUUAGACGCACAGUUUAGGACCCCCUACCCGAGAUCUGCCGGUUUUGACACCGACAGGGAGGGGAAAGGGUUUUUUGAUGGGCCAGAGCGGUCAGAAGCAGGCUUGGGAUCAAUCCGGACUCCUGCAAACCUCCCCAGUUUCGUCUCCAAUUUCUAGGAGGAAUCGCGUCCGGACCACGUCAUAGUCCGAUACAUGCUCGCGUUGGAUGGCUUCCGCAUUCUGGAUAGCGUGAUCCGAAUGGUUGCGGGAGAUUUGCGGGUUCGCCUUGAAAAUGCCCUAGUAACCACGUAGUACAUGGAUUUUUCUUUUUGAGGGGUGGUAGUACAUAGCUAACCUCCUCUAGUUGGGGGAGGGGGCAUGUGGAUCGCCCAUGUGAAAGAAGGCUUGUGCAUUUUCUGAUUUAGAGCAUCUAUAAUAGAUCUGCUAAAAUCCCAAACCGUAAAACUAGUUUCCUGUAUCUUUGAAAACUGGUUUUACAGGCUACAAAAUCUUCAGCCAGAACAGAUCCCUUAAACGGUACUGAAUAAUUUGAAAAAUUAUUUGGCGCAAGAAUUUGUUUAGAGAUCAUCACACGAUAGUUCAUCACAGACACAGUGCACACAAACGAAGACGAGUUUAUCAAACAUACCGAAAGGAUUGCAUAAGAAACCUAACCCUAACUCACUCGUCACAGCCGAGGUAAUACUCCAUGGUCGACUUGCGCAGUGCCACCACGAGUUGUCCUCGUUCUUGGAAGCUUUGAGGUGGACCGAAGCUUCUUCUUCGUCGUUGGCCAAAACACACUCAACGACUGAUGACCCACAAGUGUAGGGGAUCUAUCGUAGCCUUUUCGAUAAGUAAGAGUGUCGAACACAACGAGGAGCAGAAGGAAAUGAUAAGCAGUUCUCAGUAAGGUAUUCUCCGCAAGCACUGAAAUUAUCGGUAACAGAUAGUUUUGUGAUAAGGUAAUUUGUAACGAGUAGCAAGUAAUAAAAGUAAAUAAGGUGUAGCAAGAUGGCCCAAUCCUUUUUGUAGCAAAGGACAAGCCUAGACAAACUCUUAUAUGAAGGAAAGCGCUCCCGAGGACACAUGGGAAUUAUCGUCAAGCUAGUUUUCAUCACGCUCAUAUGAUUCACGUUCGGUACUUUGAUAAUUUGAUAUGUGGGUGGACCGGUGCUUGGGUGCUGUCCUUACUUGGACAAGCAUCCCACUUAUUAUUAACCCCCAUUGGAAGCAUCCGCAACUACAACAGAAGUAUUAAGGUAAACCUGACCAUAGCAUGAAACAUAUGGAUCCAAAUCAGCCCCUUACGAAGUAACGCAUAAACUAGGGUUUAAGCUUCUGUCACUCUAGCAACCCAUCAUCUACUAAUUACUUCCAUGCCUCUCUCUAGGCCCAAACAAUGGUGAAGUGUCAUGUAGUCGACGUUCACAUGACACCACUAGAGGGAUGACAACAUACAUCUCAUCAAAAUAACAAACGAAUACCAAAUUCACAUGACUACUUAUAGCAAGACUUCUCCCAUGUCCUAAGGAACAAACGUAACUACUCACAAAGCAUAUUCAUGUUCAUAAUCAGAGGGGCAUUAAUAUGCAUAAUGGAUCUGAACAUAUGAUAUUCCACAAAAUAAACCAACUAGCAUCAACUACAAGGAGUAAUCAACACUACUAGCAACCCACAAGUACCAAUCUGAGGUUUGCAUACAAAGAUUGGAUGCAAGAGAUGAACUAGGGUUUGAGAUGAGAUGGUGCUGGUGAAGAUGUUGAUGGAGAUUGACCCCCUCCCGAAGAGAGGAUCGUUGGUGAUGAUGAUGGUGAUGAUUUCCCCCUCCCGGAGGGAAGUUUCCUCAGCAGAAUAGCUCCGCCAGAUCCCUAGAUUGGUUCCGCCUCGUGGCGGCGGAGUUUCGUCCCGUAAGCUUGCUUAUGAUUUUUUUUCUCGGACAAAAGACCUCAUAUAGCAGAAGAUGGGCAUCAGAGGGACACCAGGGGGCCCAUGAGGCAAGGGGACGCGCCCCCCACCCUCGUGGCCAGGGUGUGGCCCCGCUUUGGAACUUUCUUCGCUCAGUAUUUUUAUAUAUUCUGGAAAUAACUUCCGUGAAGUUUCAGGACUUUUGGAGCUGUGCAGAAUAGGUCUCUAAUAUUUGCUCAUUUUCCAGCCCAGAAUCCCCGUUGCUGGCAUUCUCCAUCUUCAUGUAAACCUUGUAAAAUAAGAGAGAAUAGGCAUAAGUAUUGUGACAUAAUGUGUAAUAACAGCCCAUAAUGCAAUAAAUAUCGAUAUAAAAGCAUGAUGCAAAAUAGACGUAUCAACACCCCCAAGCUUAGACCUCGCUUGUCCUCAAGCGAAAGCCGAAAUCGAAAAAUUUGUCCAUAUGUUUGGAGAUAGAGGUGUUGAUAAAAAUAAAAUACGGACAUGAGGGCAUCAUGAUCAUUCUUAGAGCAGCAAUAUAUAUAUAUAUAUAUAAACACUAUUCUGAUCACGGGAUGAGAAUAAUAUUCUGAUCACAACCUAACCUGCCCCGCUAGUAGUACGUUGAACUUCCCUGUGAACUAGGUUGCACUUCCGCCAACAUUGCCCAAAUGGGGCUUGCGAUAUACCGUUGGAAAGCUAUGGACACCAGCAUCAUGACCCAACUUAAAAUUUUGACAAAAUGCAAGCAGUUUAAGAGCAAUUUUGAAAACCUUUUUUUCUUCACACAAAAAACAUGAAUCAUAUUUUCGAUCGCAUUUCUAAACCGUUUAUCGGAAUGAGGCAUAUAAUAUGGCGUUGGAAAGCUGCUGCAAAACCACUCCUUCCACAUGUUGAAAGUUUUCUCUAAUUCCCUAUGGUUAAAGAGUAAUUUGAAAAAAUGUAAAAUUUCACAAACCCAACACCCGAGUUCAUAUUUUCGAUGCCAUUUCUAAAUGGCUAAUCCAAUUGAGUCAAAUAAUAUGGCGUUGGAAAGCUUAUGAAAAUGCGCUACUUUUUUAUGUUAAAAGUUUUUUCUAAUUUUAAACGGUUUAAAAGUAAUUUAGAAAAUGGUACAAGUCCUACCGAGUUCGUAUUUUGGAGCUCAUUUUUAACCGUGCGUCCGAAUGCAGCAAAUGAUAUGGCGUUAGAAACCUUGAACAAAUGCGAAACUUUUUUGUAUGUAUUGUUUCUCCCAAUUCCCUACGGUUUUAAGUCAGUUUUGAAAAUGGAUAAAAACGUAUUUUCCCCGUAAUUUCUACAAACUUCAUCGGAAUGAGGCAAAUAAUAUACCGCUGAAAAGCUACGGAAAAUGCAAAACUUUUUCAUGUUGAUGGUUUUCUCUGAUUCCUAGCCGUUUUCAUGUAAUUUCGAAAACGGCGAGAUCAUUUAUUUUGCCUUUAUUGCGAAACAGAUUCUUCGAAAAUGCACCGCGUGAAGAACCUGAACUUCUCGUCGCGUGUACCUGAACUUCACUCUGCUUUUCAUGUGCUUUUUUUGCUCGUAGAUCUCCAUCCACUACUUGUAGCUCUCCAUCCACUCAUCGAAAUUGAGCAAGUGAUAUACCGAUGGAAAGCUGCUGUAAGCACACAACUUUCCCGUGUUGAUCAUUUUUUCAUACUCGCGACGGUUUUAAAAGAUUUUCAUGUGAAAUUCAUUCAGUGUAGUAGUUGAACUUCCUGCUGUUUUCAUGUUGAACUUCUGUGACGUAUUUCCGUUUGUAAUUUACCUCAUCCAUUCGUUUGUGUUACACAAAUGAUUUUCCUUUUGUACAAACCCUUCUCACAAUAUUUUUUUAACUUCCUCCGACCAGGGACUUGAACUUACACAAAUGAUAUUCCUGUCGUUUUGAAGUAAAUUAGAAAAUGACAAGAUCAUGAUUUCUGCCUUCAUCGCGAAUGGAAAUGCACCAUGUGAAGUAGUUGAACUUCACGGGCAUGUCUUUUUGAACCUCACUCUGUUUUGUUGUUUUUUGCACUGUGUGAAGUAGUUGAACUUCUGGGGCAUGUCUGUUUGAACUUCACGAUGUUUCACUUAUAUUGUAUUUUUCUUCUGUGAAACACACAACAUGCAGUACGUGAACUUCUGGAUGUUAUCACUUUGAACUUCUCUCUGGUUUGAGUGAAUUAUUUUAAAACACAACAAACAACAUCUUUUUAUGUAUUUUGGACAUCUAAACACACGGUGAACCUCUCUCACAAUUUUUUUGAACUUUUCCUCGCCGAGCACUUGAACUUCUAGCAACCAUUUUUUUCAUUUAUGAGAUUGUUUUCAAAAGUGCAAAAAAUGGUGUUGUGCUUUUUAUUUUUUUGAAAAGGUAAAUCCUAGGUUUUAAUAAACUCCGAACUUCUAUGUUAUUUCAAUUUGAACUUCACCUUUUUAUAUUUUGAGUAAAGAAUUGUAUUCGAUUUUUAUACGGAAAAAAUUGAACAUGGAAAUACAAGAUGAGCCUCUCUCGUAAGAAUUUUUGAACUUCCCCGGACAGAGCACUUGAACUUCUUUCAACAAACCUUUUAAGCUUUUAAUUUUCUAUACUUUUAUUCUCAUUUGAAAUGCAUUCCUUGCAGUAGUUGAACUUCUUGUUGUUUUCACCUUGAACUUCUGUCACGUAUUUUUGUUCAACCUCUCACAAGAAUUUUUGAAUUUAUCGGGCCGAGCACUUGAACUUCUAGAAAAAAACUAUUUAGCCUUUGCUUUUUAUUCUUUUUUUCAUACAAAAUGCACACUGUGUAGUACGUGAACUUCUGGCAGUUAUCAACCUGAACUUCUCUCGGUUACGUGAGAAUAUCUAAGUUUUUUCAAUUUUUGAACCUCUUUUUGUGUAUUUUCUAAAAAUGUGAAAAAUUGGAGUUUUUUUAGUAAUUUGACAUUCCCGAACACAACUUUUUGACCUUUGCAUAAACAAAUAUUAAAGUAAAAAAAUGCACAGUAGAACAACAUUUUUGUUCUAUCCAUUUUUUGAGAUGAUAUCUUCAUUCACAAAAAACUUUAUAUUUUUGCCGAUGCUAUUGAUGAAAACAUCAAACAAAGAGUAGUAUCAGAGAGAUAGAGCUUGGGUGGACCAGUGCAGGGAGAUGGCGAAGUGGCUACAGGGGCUCGUCGGAGCAGGACUCCCUAGUGGACUGCGUCGCGUGUUCUGUGCUGGGGCAUCAGUUGGCGGCGUCGUUUUUUCAACAGCGCAGUGCAUUCUAUCAGGUUCAUGGACGAACAAAAAAUUCAGUGAGGCAUGCCGCCGGACUGCUCCUGCGCGCGAGUUGGACUGCAUGCUCGAGAUGGAUGGUUGGGCAGCCGGCACGGGCAUGGCAAGGAGGCAAAACAGGGAGGGACACGGGUGGGGCAAAGCAGAGAGACCGCAACCCACGGUGGUUUGUUGGCCUUCCUCACCACGGCGAGCACCUGGACAACCCCAAUCGAGAUCCUCGUUGUGGAGUAUCGUCUUGGAGGAGAGGUGACCGACGUGGUCGGGAGGCUUGGCUUGGCGGCGAUACUUCUAGGAGGAUGCACACCGUGGGAGAACCACCCGAUCUGCAUGCGCUCCAGUCGCACGAUGCGCCGGUGACGAGAAGAGGCGGGGGAAGGAGAGGCCGAGAGCUGGAAGAGGAGGAUGGGUGGUGGCGGCGGAUCUGGAGGAUGGGGGCACUACAGCAGCGGUCGCCGGUCGGACCCGGCGGUUGGGGCCAGGGAGGGCUCGGCGGGCACUAUGGGGGAGAGGCGCGGUGCGUGGUGGUGGGCGGCGGCUACAACUGGGGAGUGGGGAGGAGGCCUAGGGUGGUGCAGGGUCUAGGCCGCCGGCGGCGGAUCUCGUGACUGGGGUGGCAACUCCGGUGGCCGGCAGCGUGGGGGUGGGUGUCACGGCUCCGGUGGCUAACAGCGGGUGGGCGUUGGGGUCGGGUGAGAGGCGGCAGGGGGUCUAGCGGGGCCAGGGCGGCGGCGGGGGUGGCACGUUGGGUCUUCUUAUCUUUGGACCUUUUGAAAGGCCCAACCAUAUCCAUCCCCCAAGUCGCAAAUGGCCAACUAAUUGGAAUCAUUCUCAACUCCUGAGCUGGUACAUGAGCACGUCUUGAGAACUUUUGGCAACCAUCACAUCGUCUGACCAGAUCCUCUGCAUCAGCAUGAGCAGUUAACCAAUAGAAGCCAUGGCAAAACGCUUUAGCCACCAGAGAUUUUGAGCCGACGUGGUGACCACAAUCUCCUGCGUGGAUCUCACGCAAAAUUUCACGGCCUUCUUCAGGAGACACACAGCGUUGAAAUACUCCUGACACGCUGCACUGAUGCAACUAGCCGUUGAUAAUAGUCAUGGACUUGGAUCGCCGGAUUAUCUGUCUGGCCAGAGUCUCAUCCUCUGGUAACUCGCCCCGGUUCUUGUACGCCAAGUAGGGAAACGUCCAAUCCGGAAUAACAUGAAGAGCUGCAACCAAUUGAGCCUUCGGAUCAGGAAUAGCCAAAUCUGCUUCAACAGGGAUCUUGACUCACGGGUUGUGCAGCACAUCCAGAAAAACAUUGGGCGGAACCUGUUUACGCUGAGAGCCCAGCCGGCUUAAAGCGUCCGCCGCUUCAUUUUUCCCCCGGUCCACGUGGUCCACCUGAUAGCCUUUGAAAUUACCUGCAACAAUAUCCACCUCACGACGAUAUGCUGCCAUGAGUGGAUCCUUGGAGUCCCAAGUGCCAGACACUUGCUGAGCCACGAGGUCCAAGUCACCGAAGCACUUAACCCGACUUAGAUUCAUCUCCUUAGCCAUCCGAAGACCAUGGAGCAAGGCUUCAUACUCAUCUGCAUUGUUAGUACAAGGGAACAUUAAGCGGAGAACAUAACAAAACUUAUCACCUCGUGGGGAAGUUAAUACGACUCCAUCCCCCGAACCAUCCAAUUGCCUGGAUCCGUCAAAAUGGAUGGUCCAAUAUGUGUGAUCCGGCUUUUCUUCAGGUGCCUGCAUUUCCGUCCAAUCAUUGAUAAAAUCAACCAGUGCUUGAGACUUAAUCGCCGUCCGAGGCACAUACUUCAAAUCGUGCGGCCCAAGCUCUAUAGCCCACUUGGCAAUCCGGCCAGUUGCUUCCCGGUUCUGGAUGAUAUCCCCCAAAGGAGCAGAACUGAACACCGUAAUUGGAUGCCCUUGGAAGUAUUGUUUAUGCAUCUGGCUUGCCAUAGAAACUCCAUACACCAGCUUCUGCCAAUGCGGAUACCUUUGCUUGGACUCAAUGAGCACCUCGCUGAUAUAAUAGACCGGACGUUGAACCGGAUGCUCCUUACCUGCCUCCUUUCGCUCCACCACAAUAGCCACGCUGACCGCUCGAGCAUUAGCAGCAACAUAUAGCAGUAACGGCUCCUUGUCAAUGGGAGCGGCGAGCACAGGCGGAUUGGCUAAUUGCCGCUUUAAGUCCUCAAAUGCUUCAUCAGCAGCAGAACUCCAGACAAACUGAUCCGUCUUCUUCAACAUAUGAUACAAAGGGAUUGCCUUCUCACCAAGACAACUGAUAAACCGGCUUAACGCGGCAAUCUGGCCUGCCAGGCGCUAAACAUCAUUGAUACACUUCGGUUUAGCGAGGGAGGUGAUGGCUGUGAUCUUCUCCGGAUUAGCCUCAAUUCCCCUAUUGGACACCAGGAAGCCUAAUAACUUGCCCGCCGGUACACCAAAGACGCAUUUGUCCGGAUUAAGCAUCAUCUUGUAUGUCCUCGGGUUAUCAAAAGUUUCCUUUAAAUCACCAAUCAGAGUCUCCUUCUCCCUGGAUUUAACCACGAUAUCAUCCACGUAGGCGUGUACAUUACGGCCAAUCUGUUUGUGUAGACAAUUUUGCACACAACGUUGAUAAGUUCCCUGGGCACUCUUGAGCCCAAAGGGCAUAGACACAUAGCAGAAGGCUCCAAAGGGAGUUAUGAACGCCGUUUUCUCCUGGUCCUUAACUGCCAUUUUGAUCUGAUGAUAGCCAGAAUAUGCAUCCAAAAAACUUAAAUGCUCACAACCCGCCGUAGCAUCAAUAAUUUGAUCAAUACGGGGGAGGGAAAAAGGAUCCGCUGGACAAGCUUUAUUAAGAUCUGUGUAAUCCACACACAUGCGCCAGGUGCCGUUUUUCUUAAGGACCAGCACCGGAUUGGCAAGCCACUCAGGGUGAAAAACUUCAACAAUAAAACCAGCUGCUAAGAGCCUGGCUACCUCUUCUCCAAUUGCCUUGCGUCUUUCUUUGUUAAACCGGCGGAGGAACUGUUUCAUCGGUUUGUAUUUAGGAUCCACAUUAAGGGUGUGCUCAACGAGUUGCCUCGGUACACCUGGCAUGUCAGAGGGCUUCCAUGCAAAAAUGUCCCGAUUCUCACGGAUGAACUCGAUGAGCGCGCUUUCCUAUUUCGGAUCCAAUUAGCACUGAUGUUGAACUGCUUGGACGAAUCGCCAGGUACAAAGUCAACAAGCUUAGUUUCUGCUGCCGAUUUGAACUUCAGGGUCGGACCAUGCUCCGUAGUUGGCUUCUUUAAUGGAGUCAUGUCCGCCAGAUCAACAUUGUCCUUAUAAUGCUUCAGCUCCUCGGUGGCACAAACCGACUCUGCAUAGGCCGCAUCACCUUCCUCGCACUCCAAAGCAAUUUUGCGGCUCCCGUGAACCGUUAUUGUCCCCUUGUGACCCGGCAUCUUGAGCUGCAAAUACACAUAACAGGGUCGUGCCAUAAACUUGGCGUAGGCCGGUCGCCCAAAUAGGGCGUGAUAAGGACUUUGGAUUUUCACCACUUCAAACAUCAAUGUCUCCGACCUGGAAUCAUGAUCAUCCCCAAAGGCCACUUCCAGAGCUAUCUUACCAACAGGAUAUGCUGAUUUGCCAGGCACUACACCGUGGAACACCGUAUUAUACGGUUUAAGAUUUUUGUCUGUCAGACCCAUACGACGGAAGGUCUCAUAGUACAAGAUAUUAAUGCUGCUACCUCCAUCCAUGAGAACCUUGGUGAACUUGUAACCUCCCACCUGAGGCGCCACCACCAGAGCCAACUGACCCGGAUUAUCGACCUGGGGAGGGUGAUCCUCUCUGCUCCAUAUGAUUGGCUGUUCAGACCAACGUAGAUAACGGGGUAUGGCCGGUUCAACAGAGUUGACCGCCCGCCUCUGAACCUUCCAGUCUCACUUGUCCAAGCUAGUAGUGAAGAGAUGGUACUUCCCACUGCUCAACUGCUUUGGGUUGCUCUGGUAACCUGAUUGUUGCUGCUGUUGGUUGUAACCACCCUGGUUGUUCUGACUAUUUUGACCAUUAAGUCCGCCCGGAUUACCAUUAAAUCCUGAACCGGAACUUCCUCCACCGUAACCCGGCCCGGAUCCUGAGCCACCGCCAGAUUCGUGAUCAUACCGGAAAUUAUUAGAAUUCUUGAACUCCUGCAUAAUAAAGCAAUCUUUCCAAAGGUGGUUUGCUGGCGCCUCCUUCGUCCCAUCUCUUGGACAGGGCUGGCUUAGCAGAUAGUUUAGGCGGUCUUGGUUAGGGUUGGGCGCCCCAUUAAGAUUUUUCGGUUUACCCUUGCGUCGCUGGUCAUUGCCCUGUGCGUUUGUAUUAGCCACAAAGUCCAUGUUACCAUCUGCUUUACGCUUGCCUCCACCACCAUUGCCUGCCCAGUGAUGCUGCUGACCUUUGGAGUUGCUGUUCCUCCUUCCCUUCCCUGUCUUGUCAUCAUCAGAUUCGGGAUCCUUGGUACUAUCAGAAUCAGCAUAUUUCACCAAAGCGGCCAUGAGGGUCCCCAUGUCAGUGCAAUGACGCUUCAUCCGUCCCAACUUCAGCUUCAGGGGCCCAAACCGGCAGUUGCCUUCUAGGGUUAAUACUGCGGUGUCAGCGUUGAUGCGGUCUGAUGAGUGCAACACUUGUGAAACCCGGCGCACCCAAUGAGUCAUUGAUUCUCCUUCCUCCUGGACGCAUGCAGCUAAGUCCACUAUCGACAUAGGCUGUUUACAUGUAUCCUUGAAAUUGUUGAUAAACCGGGCUCGUAAUUGGGCCCAUGAACUGAUGGAAUUAGCCGGCAAGCUUUUUAACCAAGUACGGGCCGUUCCUUCAAGCAUCAUGGUGAAGUAUUUCGCACACGCCGUGUCAUCCACAUCAAGCAUCUCCAUGGCCAUCUCAUAGCUCUCCACCCAAGUCUCUGGAGGCUGAUCCUCCGUGUAAUUUGGUAACUUGCGUGGGCCCUUAAAAUCCUUGGGCAGGCGCACAUUGCGUAAAGCGGGGAUAAGGCAAGGCACCCCCAAAGAACUAGAAGUAACACCAGGUUCGAUCGAGAUGGUUGGACGAACCGGUGUGAGCAGCCGAGCCUGAUGCUGUGUGGCUAACUCGGCCUCCCUGCGCGCUCGGGCCCGGUUCACCACUUCUUGAGCGUUAUCAGCACCACCCGUCGGGUUGUUGCCAAGGGGUGCUCCACGUCGUUCGUUACUCGACACUACCGGUUCAUCCAUAUGUCUGCUAUAGCUCCGGCUUGGACGGGGGGUCGAGUGGAUCCGGUCGCGGCUGUACGAGUAUGCUUCCUGUUGGACCAAAGCUGUCCUCAGAAGCUCCUUAACCAGUCGCGUCUCUACUGCCUGCGGUGAAUCACCUUCAAUUGGGAUGGCCUCCAGCCAUGCAGCAGCGGCAACGAGAUUGUCCAUCGGGUUGGAGUAGUGACCCGGAGGUGUUAAAAUAGCCUGAGGGAUAACGGUGUUUUGACGAGGCGGGUCCAUCUGAUGAGGCUGAACCGGUGCACCGGUCCCGGGAGCUUCCGCCUGAUUUCCCUCCAGCGGAUUGCCGGUUCCUACUCCUGGAGUGUUGAAAAGGUCUCUGGCCUCAAAAACCGGAGGCAAACGGGAUCGGUACUUCCUCCUCAUGACUUCAUGCGACUCACUCUGGUCCAACAUGAGCCUGUAGGCUUGUGCGUCUAAAGCGGCUCGCUCCGUGGCCAUCCUGGUGUCCUCAGCUGCCAGAUCUGCCUUGGCCUGGGUGAUCUGUUCCUUCACUUUUGCAAUCUCGGUGUUGUGAACAUCCUGAUCCGCCGGAUUAGCCUCCGCCAUAAGCACAGCCAAUGCAUCAAAUAGCUCUGAUAGAACUUGAGCCGGCGGGCGCACAGGGCCUCCUGCCCCGGCAGUCGUCACUGCUGCUGAACCGGAGGUUGUUGCCGCAGCGGUCGAAGAAUGAAGCGCUGCUUGUGUGCCAGUCAUGAAUAUUCCAACCCGGUUGGGCAGAUCAGAGGGGUCCGGAAUACUGUCGCCAUUGGAACAGCCCCCAAUCCGGCCGUCUUGUAGCUGAUAAAGAGAUUCGGUUUCUCCGGUCGAUGACUCGUCAUCGGAACAAAUGGCAGUAUCACCGCGAGAUUCCGAUCCAUCCUCAUAACUUCCUCCAUGGAUGACUCCCACGAAGGCACGCUUCAUGGCCGGUUUAACCCGGGCGGAUCACGCAUGCUGAGCCGUCUCGACGAGGUCGGUGCAGAUGUCCGGCUCAGGGCCCGGUUCACCGAUCUUGCCAAUGAAAACAUGAAUGCCACCAAAGGGGCCCGGUACCCGUACUCAAUUGAGCCGGCCUCGGGGCCCCAGCCUGCUUCGUCGAUGUAGGACUUGCCGCGAUGACUCUUAGUCAUCCGGCCUACAUCGUAGCCCUCGAGUCCUUCAAAGCGGCCCCUCCAAGAACCGGAAACCAUCGUGCGAUAGCCCCACGGUGGGCGCCAACUGUCUUGGCUUUGUCACGGCAGAUGUCCUAGAGAAAGGACUUAGUCGUGGAGCCAUCGCGACGGGUUAGCUUGAAGGGGUUAAAGCGGACACAGGGAUGCAAGAGAGUUUAUACUAGUUCGGCCCCUUCGAUGAAGGUAAAAGCCUACGUCUAGUUGUGAUGGAAUUGAUGGGGUUUCGAUGACUAGGGAGCAAACAAGCUUCGCCUAUGUCUCGAGUUGUUGUCUGUUGUCCUUGAAACGCCGCCGGGUCGUCCCCUUAUAUACACGGGUGACUCCCGUCGGUUUACAGAGUCCCAAUACCGGCUCAUAGAUGUGUCCGGUUUGGUCUCUACUUAUUCCUAACUCACAAUACAAGUUAACUACUAACGCCGGUUUACGGCUACAGGCCUUAAACCGACCAUGGGCCUUGAGCCCUCAUCUGCCUUCUUGGGCUUUAAUAUACUUAACUACUGACGAAGUUAACCCGGCCCAGAUAGGCCGGUUUACGCCCAGUAGUAAUAACCCCAACAUUAGGCCCCAAAUUGAUUUGAACGGGUUCAUGUCAAUCCUUUAACAAAAGCUUCAUCUUUAACAUCUUCUCAUAAAUUGGUAAAUCGCCAUGAUGUCAUCUUCUCUGAUUGGUGUAAACCAGAGUGACGUCACCUGCCAUAACGAAGCUAUCCAUUAUGCUUCUUUGUUUAAUAGAUCUGCGGAAAUUGAGGCGACAGCUCCGUUUCAUGGCCCCUUGAUUGUCGCGCCCGACACCUGUUCUUUCGCCUUAAAUAGGACCAAAGGGUCAUUUCUUUUCUCCCCUUCGUGCCUUUCUUCUUCGUCUUCCUCGCGUCGCCAGCCUCGGAGCUUUGCCACCGCCGUCGACCUCUGCCUCGACCUUGGCCGUUGCAUCAACCUGGGCGCACCAGAGCAUCGCGGCAACCUUCCGCAUCUUCCUCAGCUCCGGUAAAUCUUCUAUCCUUUCCCCCACAGAUCUGACCUAGGGUUUCACAGUUCUUCAGUGUUCAUCGUCUGCCUCUUGCUCAUACGAUAGAUUUUUUAGAUGACUUCGCAAAUCUUUAUUCUGUGCAAUGGUAGCUGUUUACCCUUCGCCUUCACUUACACAUCUCAAAACCAUAGAUCUGUAUGUACGUCUUGCUCAUUGAUUCGGUACUGCUCCUUUUGGACCUCUGAAUAUUUAUCUUUUUUCUGAACUUGCUUUAGAUCCAUCGCUGUAGAGAAAUCUUACGAAAUCUGUUUUUAUAAACUUACUCAUCUGCUUCAAUGUUUAAACCAGGCGGUUUAACCUUGUAGGAAAAAAUUGCUAAACCUGUAUACACCAUUAGUCCCCUUGUUGAACCGCCAGAUAUUGUUGCUUCAUAAAACUCCGGUUCAGAUAGUUCUGUCUCCGGUUUAACAUUGCAUAUACCAAUGUACCUUGAUCAAAUGCAUUUUUGAACCGGGAUCUUCUACCUUGUAGAUUCCAUCAUGGCCAAGCAAGUAUAUGAGUGCAAUUGGGUUCCUUCUCGCAUCACAGAGGCUCAGCUGGACGAUCUAGUCCUGAUCGGCGCUUUAGGCAGCAAAGAUACCAUCCAUUGGAGGGCUCCUGGCAAAGAAUGCCCUCCCACUCCUCAAGAAGGAGAGGUUGUUGUUUUCGUAGACCACUUAGCUCGGGGCUUUAAGCCGCCCCGUUCUAAAUUUUACCGGGAUGUUUUGGCCUAUUUCCAACUCCAUCCACAAGACACUGGCCCUAAUUUUGUUACAAAUAUGUGUCACUUCCAAGUGCUCUGUGAGGCGUUCUUUCAAGAGGACCCCACAGUGGAAUUGUUCAGAGACCUUUUCCAUCUAAACCGCCGUACUGAAUUUACUGACAGUUCCAAUACGGAGUUGGGUGGCGUGGCGAUCCAGAAAAGGAAAGAGGUCACAUACCCUCACGCCAAACUGCACAGCCACCCCAAAGAGUGGAAUCAGACAUGGUUCUAUUGCAAAGACACCUCCCCUGCUGGUGAGAAUCCCUUGCCUGGCUUUCGUCUGGAGCGGCACAACAAUACACACCCUUUUCCGCAAAGAUUGACUGCCCAGGGGAGAAGCAAAUAUGCUCCUCAACUGUCGAAGCUCAGAGCCUUUAUGGCCAACAGUUUGACAGGGGUUGAUCUCGCUCGCUGUUGGAUAUCAUGGAGCAUACUGCCCCUUAGUCAGCGCUCCAGUUUGACGUGCGAGUAUACCAGCAGUGUUGAUGACCCACUGCCACAUUCCAAAAUCCAGCUCACCGAUGAAGAAAUUACAGAGGCUGUGAACAAGAUGCUGAAUGAACCGGAACAUAUCUGUGCUAAAAACGGCCUGCUUCCCUUCUGUGCCAUCAACAAACCGCCAGCUGUAAGACCUUGAUUUUUCCUUUUGCUGAAUCUGUUAUUGACAUAUCUGGUCAUUGUUUAAUAUCAGUGUCUGUGUAAUCAGGGCAAUGAUCCAUUUUGGAGCAAGAAAUUGCCGCAGGAGAAACCAUAAAAACUAGACAAACCGGAAAGAGCAACCCGGCAAAAGACUAAAGCUGUAAAGAAGACUGCCCAUAGGAAAAGAACUACUGCAUCUUCUAAUCCGGCCCCUGAUGAUGAUGCGGAUAAUCCGGACCUUGAGGUAGAGCUUGACUCACUUGGCUUAUUUUUGAUGCGUCUUAUUGAUGAUGAUAUUUGUCAGGAUGAUGCCGAAGCCAGCCACGCUGAUGCUGCAGAGGUAAUUAUUCUCUCUUCCGAUUCAGAACCUUUGCCUUCACUAAAAAUCUGUCAGGCAAACCGGAAAGUUAAAUUUUCUCAUCCUCUUGCUUAUUUGGAUCCCAAAUUUCUUAUGAAGACCCAACAGCACGAAGCUCGUCGCACAACCCGGCACAGCGGCCAGGUAGUUACCUCCGCCGGUUUACCGAACAGUCCGGUUCAGAAACGCCGUUCAGAGGUCUCUAAUUUGCUUGUCAGUGAUUGUCCUAAAGCGGUCUGCUUUCGUCAACCUCUUAAUCCAUCUGACUCCGAUUACCAGGUUACUUCCCACUCAUCUUCUGGCGAGUCAUCGGCUACUCAGCUGCCACCGCUCAAAAUGGUGCUUGGGUAAGCUAUACUUAUUAUGAUAUUUGCAGCACAUCACCUUGGAACAUAUGCUGUAUUUGAUUUUGUUAUUCUUUUCAGGGCCAAACCUAGGCAAAGCAAGAAGGCCCGCCUGGACAAAGCGGCUGAAGAAGAUGGCGUUCUUGAGCCAGGCAAGACACCUGAUCUUGAAGCGGCUAUUCCUGAGGAUAUGCCCAACGAUCCACCGCAGCAAGACGACGAUCUUAUUGCUGAAGAGAGACCUAAUGAUGCCUCAGGUCCUGUCAAUCAGCCCACGGGCUCCAUACGGAUUGAGAGAUCCACCGGUCCAGCAAAACCUACUGACAAACCAACAGCCCCAGUGCAUACCGGCGAUACUCAGGAGGAUGAGGUUGUCAUUACUGGCACUGGCCAUACCGAGCCAAGCAAUCCUGUUGCUUUGUCCAAACAUUCUGCCAAGGAAGAAUUUGCUGCUUUUGGUAAAGGCAAGUGGAAUGCUGAUCUGGCAACCUACGCUGCUCUGAACGCACAAGAUAUCCAUUCCGGCUACCUGAACCGGCUGUAUACCAGCCGUGACUAUGAAGCCGGUCUGGUUAAUAUGAUGAAGGAUAAAUACGAGGUAACUUCCAUAUGCUCUUUCCUGCUUGUAUGCUUCAAUGCUUGCUGACUCUCCUAGCCCCCAAGGGUCGGUUUGUAAUUCUCUUUCAAACCGGGACUUACUAAUAUAAAUCUUAAUAUUUUGAAAUUCGCCGAUGUAGCCCCCAAGGGCCGGUUCAACUUAGCGUAGUUAAACCGGUACUUUAAGUAAUUGAGAUUGCCGCAUCAAAAUAUAUAUACGAGCAAAUAGCCAUUAGCCCCCAAGUGCCAAGUUAAAUACUUGUAUUGAUCUUGGGACUUUGCAAGCAAUUGAAAGACGAAGAUCAAAUAUGCAUUAGCCCCCAAGUGCUAAGUGCAUAACUUGUUAUGUGGUUGGUACUUCAAUCCUUGUCCCGUUUUGUUGAAGCAUAUAACUGUCUGCAUGCAGGCGGAGCUGAAGACGAAAGAAAGCCAAGUCGCUGAUCUCCAAGAAAACCUGAAAACCCAACAAGCCGAAACCUCCAAAGCAAAAGAGGAAUUAACCAACGCUUUAAGCGCCAUGGAACAGCUUAAGGAGAGCUUCAAGAAGAAGUGGGCGGAUUGGGGCACUGAAAAGUCCGCUUUAAUCAAACGAGCAGAGGAUGCCGAGGCUGCACUAAAACCAGUGGCGGAUGAACUGACCAGCAUAAAGCGGCAUGUGCAUGCCAUGACUACUGCUAUCUUUGGUUAGUCAGUUUGACUUCUGAAUUGGCUCUGCCUUCUUACAGAAUUGCCGGUUUAUUAACCCUUUAUGGUAUUCCAGGGACACGUAUUGGUCACUUGGGGUCAGAUGUGCGGAAGAAACUGAAAGCCGCCUAUACAUUGGUUGAGCAAUUGUAUACUGGUGCCCAGCGGAUCAUCUAUACCGCAUCCCAUAACAAACCGGCGCCCACUUUGAUUCAAGACACUCUGAUGAAACUGUCGAUGCUUCCUGCCCGGGUUGAAGAGCUGAAGAAAUCUGCUGCUCGAACCGGUGCGAUCAAUGCCUUAAUCCGGGCAAAAGCCUGGGUGCCGGAUUUUGAUCCUAUUGAAGCGGCUCAGGGCUAUCCCAGCUUGAAGGAAGACGGGUUAGAGUUUGGUGAAGCGGAUCCGCGAGCAAUAAAUUGGGAGGUACGUCCGCUAGCUUGUCAAUUGGCUGAAGAAGCAGACUUGUCUCAUUAUCAAGCCCAAUAUGACAAUCAGAACAAGCGAAUAGCUGCACCAAUCCAUGAAUCAGAAAAUCUGAUCCCUCCAAUCCGUAAGCAUACUUACGCUCCCGAUAUUGACCCGUCAUUGCUGAUCCAUGAUGAAGCUGUUUUUCAAGCAUUAAUGGGAAUCGACUAGACAACUAUUGAUUUCCAGCCACUGGGUAGAGAAACGGAGGCCGAAGCGGCGCAGGAUGACCCACAACCAUCAGGCCAGGCUGGUGACCAAGCUUGAACCGGAAGUCGGUUUUAAAACUGCCUCUCCUUUGUGAAAAACAAUGAUAUUAUUAUGGGCACCGUGUUGCUUUGUAAUAAGCUAGCUGAUACUUUUGAUGUUGAUAUGCCUUCGUGCAUAAUUUGUUCUUCCUAUGGUGAUGAACUUUCCAAAGCACUUUCUGCAAUAAGAAACUCUUCAAGUGCCACCGCGGUUGUACCGUCAGGCGGAAUAUGAUGUCUGCAUAUAUGAAGUCAAAACAUCCAAUUUUUUUUAAGUAUAUGACCAAAAUUUUGAGAUACAUAAUACCUGCCAUCGUUGAGCGUGAAGUUGGCUUGGCCAAUCUUGAAGUGGAGUUUUGCAAACCCACACUGUUGGAGGAGAUAACAGCUCCUGUAUAUAUAUGACGCUGGUUUACCAUGUAAACCGUGCCGGGUUAUAAUAAACACCAUGUUACUCCAUAAGAGGAUGUUAACAACAAGGAUCAAACCGGGCAAAUAGUCUCCGGAUUGAUGUGAACUGUGUUCCAUCAAUUGAUUGGUUGAAAACUUUGUCGGUUUAAAAAAGAAACACAAUAAAAAAGAAAAAAGUAUCUUGCAAAGAAAAGUUCAAAGCAAAAGCAAUGACAAAACCAUUUGCAAAAAAGGUUUAUUUGAGCUGAUCAAAUGGCGUUACCAUGGCCGAACACGACCAAGCUCCCGUUAGGUGUAACUAUGGUUCUAGUCAGCCAGGUCCCCAAAUGAAACCGUGGCAUUUAUGCCGACCAAGUGGCAUGGCGAUGGUUCGGGUUCGACCAAGCCCCCAAGUGAUUCUGUGGCCUUAGGCCGAUCAAGAGGCAUGACUGGUUCAGACGUGACCAAGUCCCCAAGUGAUCUGGUGGCUCUCGCCUAUCAAGAGGUAUGGUAUUGGUUUGGACACGACCAAACCUCCAAGUGAUAUAACAUGAUGCUUUUAAAAAGCAAACUCAAGGGGUAAACCGGAGGCCGCUUUAGAACAACUCCGUGUAACCACACAUGAUGUAAAAGAACAGAUACCCCGCUUUAGCUGAGGUUCCAGUUUAUUAUAUUUAAUCAUAAUAUAUACAUCGUUGUAAUAUGUACAUAAGUAGAACAAAUGGCUCAGGUAUAAUAAGGCCGAAGAUGAGCUAUGUUCCACGGCCUGUUGGUCUCCUCCUCUGAUGUACAUGAGUCCUUAUGCUCUCAAAUAUCGAUCAGAUAGUAUGACCCGUUGUGCAGAUUCUUGCUGACCACGAAAGGCCCCUCCCAAGGUCGGGAUAACUUAUGCAUAUCAGUCUGAUCUUGGAUGAGCCGAAGCACCAAAUCUCCUUCCGGGAAGGUUCUGGUUCUGACUCGGCGACUGUGAUAACGACGAAGAUCCUGUUGGUAAAUCGCCGAUCGGGCGGCUGCUAUGUCACGCUCUUCAUCCAACCGGUCCAAGGCAUCUUGCCGUGCUGUCUCGUUGUCCGCUUCAAUAUAAGCCGUCACACGAGGUGAAUCAUGACGGAUAUCACUGGGGAGAACCGUCUCCGCUCCAUAAACCAUGAAGAAUGGUGUGUAUCCUGUUGACCUGUUGGGUGUUGUAUUAAUGCGCCAUAACACAAAUGGUAAUUCUUCUACCCAACAACCCGGCGUUCUCUGCAAAGGAACCAUGAGUCGGGGCUUGAUGCCUCUCAAGAUCUCUUGGUUAGCUCUUUCUGCUUGACCAUUGGACUGUGGGUGUGCCACUGAUGAAACGUCGAGCCAGAUGUGCUCCCGUUCGCAGAACUCCUUCAUGGCACCUUUGGACAAAUUGGUACCAUUAUCUGUGAUGAUACUGUGUGGAAAGCCAAACCUGAAAAUCACUUUUUUAAUGAACUGAACCGUCGUGGCCGCAUCACACUUGCUAACAGGUUCUGCCUCCACCCACUUUGUAAACUUGUCAACCGCCACCAGGAGGUGGGUCUUCUUAUCUUUGGACCUUUUGAAAGGCCCAACCAUAUCCAGCCCCCAAGUCACAAAUGGCCAAGUAAUUGGAAUCAUUCUCAACUCCUGAGCUGGUACAUGAGCACGUCUUGAGAACUUUUGGCAACCAUCACAUCGUCUGACCAGAUCCUCUGCAUCAGCAUGAGCAGUUAACCAAUAGAAGCCAUGGCGAAAUGCUUUAGCCACCAGAGAUUUUGAGCCGGCGUGGUGACCACAAUCUCCUGUGUGGAUCUCACGCAAAAUUUCAUGGCCUUCUUCAGGAGACACACAACGUUGAAAUACUCCUGACACGCUACAAUGAUGCAACUCGCCGUUGAUAAUAGUCAUGGACUUGGAUCGCCGGAUUAUCUGUCUGGCCAGAGUCUCAUCCUCUGGUAACUCGCCCCGGUUCUUGUACGGCAGGUAGGGAAGCGUCUAAUUCGGAAUAACAUGAAGAGCUGCUACCAAUUGAGCCUCCAGAUCAGGAAUAGCCAAAUCCACUUCACCAGGGAUCUUGACCGACGGGUUGUGCAGCACAUCCAGAAAAACAUUGGGCGGAACCGGUUUACGCUGAGAGCCCAGCCGGCUUAAAGCGUCCGCCGCUUCAUUUUUCCGCCGGUCCACGUGGUCCACCUGAUAGCCUUUGAAAUUACCUGCAACAAUAUCCACCUCACAACGAUAUGCUUCCAUGAGUGGAUCCUUGGAGUCCCAAGUGCCAGAAACUUGCUGAGCCACGAGGUCCGAUUCACUUAGAUUCAUCUCCUUAGCCAUCCGGAGACCAUGGAGCAAGGCUUCAUACUCAGCUGCAUUGUUAGUACAAGGGAACAUUAAGCGGAGAACAUAAAAAAACUUAUCACCUCGUGGGGAAGUUAAUACGACUCCAGCCCCCGAACCUUCCAAUUGCCUGGAUCCGUCAAAAUGGAUGGUCCAAUAUGUGUGAUCCGGCUUUUCUUCAGGUGCCUGCAUUUCCUCCAAUCAUUGAUAAAAUCAACCAGUGCUUGAGACUUAAUCGCCGUCCGAGGCACAUACUUCAAAUCGUGCGGCCCAAGCUCUAUAGCCCACUUGGCAAUCCGGCCAGUUGCUUCCCGGUUCUGGAUGAUAUCCCCCAAAGGAGCAGAACUGACCACCGUAAUUGGAUGCCCUUGGAAGUAUUGUUUAAGCUUCUGGCUUACCAUAAAAACUCCAUAUACCAGCUUCUGCCAAUGCGGAUACCUUUGCUUGGACUCAAUGAGCACCUCGCUGAUAUAAUAGACCGAACGUUGAACCGGAUGCUCCUUACCUGCCUCCUUUCACUCCACCACAAUAGCCACGCUGACCGCCCGAGCAUUAGCAGCAACAUAUAGCAGUAAUGGCUCCUUGUCAAUGGGAGCGGCGAGCACAGGCGGAUUGGCCAAUUGCCGCUUUAAGUCCUCAAAUGCUUCAUCAGCAGCAGAACUCCAGACAAACUGAUCCGUCUUCUUCAACAUCUGAUACAAAGCGAUUGCCUUCUCACCAAGACGACUGAUAAACCGGCUUAACGCGGCAAUCCGGCCUGCCAGGCGCUGAACAUCAUUGAUACACUUCGGUUUAGCGAGGGAGGUGAUGGCUGUGAUCUUCUCCAGAUUAGCCUCAAUUCCCCUAUUGGACACCUGGAAGCCUAAUAACUUGCCUGCCGGUACACCAAAGACGCAUUUGUCCGGAUUAAGCAUCAUCUUGUAUGUCCUCAGGUUAUCAAAAGUUUCCUUUAAAUCACCAAUCAGAGUCUCCUUCUCCCUGGAUUUAACCACAAUAUCAUCCACGUAGGCGUGUACAUUACGGCCAAUCUGUUUGUGUAGACAAUUUUGCACACAACAUUGAUAAGUUCCCUGGGCACUCUUGAGCCCAAAGGGCAUAGACACAUAGCAGAAGGCUCCAAAGGGAGUUAUGAACGCCGUUUUCUCCUGGUCCUUAACUGCCAUUUUGAUCUGAUGAUAGCCAGAAUAUGCAUCCAAAAAACUUAAACGCUCACAACCCGCCGUAGCAUCAAUAAUUUGAUAAAUACGGGGGAGGGCAAAAGGAUCCGCUGGACAAGCUUUAUUAAGAUCUGUGUAAUCCACACACAUGCGCCAGGUGCCGUUUUUCUUAAGGACCAGCACCGGAUUGGCAAGCCACUCAGGGUGAAAAACUUCAACAAUAAAACCAGCUGCUAAGAGCCUGGCUACCUCUUCUCCAAUUGCCUUGCGUCUUUCUUUGUUAAACCGGCGGAGGAACUGUUUCACCGGUUUGUAUUUAGGAUCCAUAUUAAGGGUGUGCUCAACGAGUUGCCUCGGUACACCUGGCAUGUCAAAGGGCUUCCAUGCAAAAAUGUCCCGAUUCUCACGGAUGAACUCGAUGAGCGCACUUUCCUAUUUCAGAUCCAAAUUAGCACUGAUGCUGAACUGCUUGGACGAAUCGCCAGGUACAAAGUCAACAAGCUUAGUUUCUGCUACCGAUUUGAACUUCAGGGCCGGACCAUGCUCCGUAGUUGGCUUCUUUAAUGGAGUCAUGUCCGCCAGAUCAACAUUGUCCUUAUAAUGCUUCAGCUCCUCGGUGGCACAAACCGACUCUGCAUAGGCUGCAUCACCUUCCUCGCACUCCAAAGCGAUUUUGCGGCUUCCGUGAACUGUUAUUGUCCCCUUGUGACCCGGCAUCUUGAGCUGCAAAUACACAUAACAGGGUCGUGCCAUAAACUUGGCGUAGGCCGGUCGCCCAAAUAGGGCGUGAUAUGGACUUUGGAUUUUCACCACUUCAAACAUCAAUGUCUCCGACCUGGAAUCAUGAUCAUCCCCAAAGGCCACUUCCAGAGCUAUCUUACCAACAGGAUAUGCUGAUCUGCCAGGCACUACACCGUGGAACACCGUAUUAGACGGUUUAAGAUUUUUGUCUGUCAGACCCAUACGACGGAAGGUCUCAUAGUACAAGAUAUUAAUGCUGCUACCUCCAUCCAUGAGCACCUUGGUGAACUUGUAACCUCCCACCUGAGGCGCCACCACCAGAGCCAACUGACCCGGAUUAUCGACCUGGGGAGGGUGAUCCUCUCUGCUCCAUAUGAUUGGCUGUUCAGACCAACAUAGAUAACAGGGUAUCGCCGGUUCAACAGAGUUGACCGCCGGCCUCUGAACCUUCCGGUCUCACCUGUCCAAGCUAGUAGUGAAGACAUGGUACUGCCCACUGCUCAACUGCUUUGGGUUGCUCUGGUAACCUGACUGUUGCUGCUGUUGGUUGUAACCACCCUGGUUGUUCUGACUAUUUUGACCAUUAAGUCCGCCCGGAUUACCAUUAAAUCCUGAACCGGAACUUCCUCCACCGUAACGCGGCCCGGAUCCUGAGCCACCGCCAGAUUCGUGAUCAUACCGGAAAUUAUUAGAAUUCUUGAACUCCUGCAUAAUAAAGCAAUCUUUCCAAAGGUGGUUUGCUGGCGCCUCCUUCGUCCCAUGUCUUGGACAGGGCUGGCUUAGCAGAUAGUUUAGGCGGUCUGGGUUAGGGUUGGGCGCCCCAUUACGAUUUUUCGGUUUACCCUUGCGUCGCUGGUCAUUGCCCUGUGCGUUUGUAUUAGCCACAAAGUCCAUGUUACCAUCCGCUUUACGCUUGCCUCCACCACCAUUGCCUGCCCAGUGAUGCUGUUGACCUUUGGAGUUGCUGUUCCUCCUUCCCUUCCCUGUCUUGUCAUCGUCAGAUUCGGGAUCCUUGGUACUAUCAGAAUCAGCAUAUUUCACCAAAGCGGCCAUGAGGGUCCCCAUGUCAGUGCAAUGACGCUUCAUCCAUCCCAACUUCAGCUUCAGGGGCCCAAACCGGUAGUUGCCUUCUAGGGUUAAUACUGCGGUGUCAGCGUUGAUGCAGUCUGAUGAGUGCAACACUUGUGAAACCCGGCGCACCCAAUGAGUCAUUGAUUCUCCUUCCUCCUGGACGCAUGCAGCUAAGUCCACUAUCGACAUAGGCUGUUUACAUGUAUCCUUGAAAUUGCUGAUAAACCGGGCUCGUAAUUGGGCCCAUGAACUGAUGGAAUUAGCCGGCAAGCUUUUUGACCAAGUACGGGUCGUUCCUUCAAGCGUCAUGGUGAAGUAUUUCACACACGCCGCGUCAUCCACAUCAAGCAUCUCCAUGGCCAUCUCAUAGCUCUCCACCCAUGUCUUUGGAGGCUGAUCCGCCGUGUAAUUUGGUACCUUGCGCGGGCCCUUGAAAUCCUUGGGCAGGCGCACAUUGCGUAAAGCGGGGAUAAGGCAAGGCACCCCCAAAGAACUAGAAGUAACACCAGGUUCGAUCGAGAUGGUUGGCCGAACCGGCGUGAGCUGCCGAGCCUGAUGUUGUGUGGCUAACUCGGCCUCCCUGCGCGCUCGGGCCCGGUUCACCACUUCCUGAGCGUUAUCAGCACCACCCGUCGGGUUGUUGCCACGAGGUGCUCCACGUCGUUCGUUACUCGACACUGCCGGUUCAUCCAUAUGUCUGCUAUAGCUCCGGCUUGGACGGGGAGUCGAGUGGAUCCGGUCGCGGCUGUACGAGUAUGCUUCCUGUUGGACCAAAGCUGUCCUCAGAAGCUCCUUGACCCGUCGCGUCUCUACUGCCUGCGGCGAAUCACCUUCAAUUGGGAUGGCCUCCAGCCGUGCAGCAGCGGCAACGAGAUUGUCCAUCAGGUUGGAGUAGUGACCCGGAGGUGUUAAAACAGCCUGAGGGAUAACGGUGUUUUGACGAGGCGGGUCCAUCUGAUGAGGCUGAACCGGUGCACCAGUGCCGGGAGCUUCCGCCUGAUUUCCCUCCAGCGGAUUGCCGGUUCCUACUCCUGGAGUGUUGAAAAGGUCUCUAGCCUCAAAAACCGGAGGCAAACGGGAUCGGUACUUCCUCCUCAUGACUUCCUGCGACGCACUCUGGUCCAACAUGAGCCUGUAGGCUUGUGCGUCUAAAGCAGCUCGCUCCGUGGCCAUCCUGGUGUCCUCAGCUGCCAGAUCUGCCUUGGCCUGGGUGAUCUGUUCCUUCACUUUUGCAAUCUCGGCGUUGUGAACGCCCUGAUCCGCCGGAUUAGCCUCCGCCAUAAGCACAACCAAUGCAUCAAAUAGCUAUGAUAGAACUUGAGCCGACGGGCGCAUAGGGCCUCCUGCCUCGGCAGCCGUCCCCACUGCUGAACCGGAGGUUGUUGCCGCAGCAGUCGAAGAAUGAAGCGCUGCUUGUGUGCCAGUCAUGAAUAUUCCAACCCGGUUGGGCAGAUCAGAGGGGUCCGGAAUACUGUCGCCAUCGGAACAACCCCCAAUCCGGCCGUCUUGUAGCUGAUAAAGAGAUUCGGUUUCUUCGGUCGAUGACUCGUCAUCGGAACAAAUGACCGUAUCGCCGCGAGAUUCCGAUCCAUCCUCAUAACUUCCUCCAUGGAUGACUCCCACGAAGGCGCGCUUCAUGGUUGGUUUAACCCGGGUGGAUCACGCACGCUGAGCCGUCUCGACGAGGUCGGUGCAGAUGUCCGGCUCAGGGCCCGGUUCACCGAUCUUGCCAAUGAAAACGUGAAUGCCACCAAAGGGGACUCGGUACCCGUACUCAAUUGAGCCGGCCUCGGGGCUCCAGCCUGCGUCGUCGAUGUAGAACUUGCCGCGACGACUCUUAGUCAUCUGGCCUACAGCGUAGCCCUUGAGUCCUUCAAAGCGGCCCUCCAAGAACCGGAAACUAGCGUGCGAUAGCCCCACGGUGGGCGCCAACUGUCGUGGCUUUGUCACGACAGAUGUCCUAGAGAAAGGACUUAGUCGUGGAGCCAUCGCGACGGGUUAGCUUGAAGGGGUUAAAGCGGACACAGGGACGCAAGAGAGUUUAUACUAGUUCGGCCCCUUCGAUGAAGGUAAAAGCCUACGUCUAGUUGUGAUGGAAUUGAUGGGGUUUCGAUGACUAGGGAGCAAACAAGCUUCGCCUAUGUCUCGAGUUGUUGUUGUUGUCCUUGAACCGCCGCCGGGUCGUCCCCUUAUAUACACCGGUGACUCCCGUCGGUUUACAGAGUCCCAAUACCGGCUCAUAGAUGUGUCCGGUUUGGUCUCUACUUAUUCCUAACUCACAAUACAAGUUAACUACUAACGCCGGUUUACGGCUACAGGCCUUAAACUGACCAUGGGCCUUGAGCCCUCAUCUGCCUUCUUGGGCUUUAAUAUACUUAACUACUGACGAAGUUAACCCGGCCCAGAUAGGCCGGUUUACGCCUAGUAGUAAUAUCCCCAACACAGGCCGAGGGCGGGAGGAGACUCACCGGAGGGAGAAGUGGGGGACGGGAAGAGCAGCGGCGGCCGGUGGUGGAGGCGCGAGGCGGCCGCAAGAUCCGGUGGCGCACGUGGGGGUUCCGGAGAGGGCGCACGGCAGCGGGUGGAUCCGGUUAGGGGUGCGCCGACGGGGUCUCAGGGGACGGGGCGCGGCGGCGGGGGUUUCCAGGGAUGGGGCUGUUGGGGAACGUAGUAAUUUCAAAAAAAUUCCUACGCACACGCAAGAUCAUGUGAUGCAUAGCAACGAGGGGGAGAGUGCUGUCUACGUACCCAACGCAGACCGACUGCGGAAGCGAUGACACGACGUAGAGGAAGUAGUCGUACGUCUUCACGAUCCAACCGAUCAAGCACCAAAACUACGGCACCUCCGAGUUCGAGCACACGUUCAGCUCGAUGACGAUCCCCGGACUCCGAUCCAGCAAAGUGUCGGGGAAGAGUUACGUCAGCACGACGGCGUGGUGACGAUCUUGAUGAACUACAGCAGCAGGGCUUCGCCUAAACUCCACUACAGUAUUAUCGAGGUAUAUGGUGGCAGGGGGCACCGCACACGGCUAAGGAAUAGAUCACGUGGAUCAACUUGUGUGUCAAGAGGUGCCCCCUGCCUCCGUAUAUAAAGGAGCCAAGGGGGAGGGCUGGCCGGCCAAGGAGGGGAGGCGCAGUAGAGUCCUACUCCCUCUGGGAGUAGGAUUCCUCCCCCCAAUCCUAGUCCAACUUGGAUUCCUCGGAGGGGAAGGGAGAGAGGGGGGCCGGCCACCUUCUCCUAGUCCUAAUAGGACUAGGGGAGGGGGAAGUGGCGCAGCCACCUUGGGCUGCCCCUUUCUCCUUUCCACUAAGGCCCAUGAAGGCCCAUAUGGCUCCCGGGGGGUUCCGGUAACCCUCCCGGUACUCCGGUAAAAUCCCGAUUUCACCCGGAACACUUCCGAUGUCCAAACAUAGGCUUCCAAUAUAUCAAUCUUUACGUCUCGACCAUUUCGAGACUCCUCGUCAUGUCCGUGAUCACAUCCGGGACUCCGAACAACCUUCGGUACAUCAAAAUGCAUAAACUCAUAAUAUAACUGUCAUCGUAACCUUAAGCGUGCGGACCCUACGGGUUCGAGAACAAUGUAGACAUGACCGAGACAUGUCUCCGGUCAAUAACCAAUAGCGGGACCUGGAUGCCCAUAUUGGCUCCUACAUAUUCUACGAAGAUCUUUAUCGGUCAGACCGCAUAACAACAUACGUUGUUCCCUUUGUCAUCGGUAUGUUACUUGCCCGAGAUUUGAUCGUCGGUAUCCAAUACAUAGUUCAAUCUCGUUACCGGCAAGUCUCUUUACUUGUUCCGUAAUAUAUCAUCUCACAACUAACAUGUUAGUUGUAAUGCUUGCAAGGCUUUAUGUGAUGUGUAUUACCGAGAGGGCCCAGAGAUACCUCUCCGACAAUCGGAGUGACAAAUCCUAAUCUCAAAAUACGCCAACCCAACAUCUACCUUUGGAGACACCUGUAAUGCUCCUUUAUAAUCACCCAGUUACGUUGUGACGUUUGGUAGCACCCAAAGUGUUCCUCCGGCAAACGGGAGUUGCAUAAUCUCAUAGUCAUAGGAACAUGUAUAAGUCAUGAAGAAAGCAAUAGCAACAUACUAAACGAUCGUGUGCUAAGCUAAUGGAAUGGGUCAUGUCAAUCAGAUCACUCAACUAAUGAUGUGACCUUGUUAAUCAAAUAACAACUCAUUGUUCAUGGUUAGGAAACAUAACCAUCUUUGAUUAACGAGCUAGUCAAGUAGAGGCAUACUAGUGACACUUUGUUUGUCUAUGUAUUCACACAUGUAUUAUGUUUCCGGUUAAUACAAUUCUAGCAUGAAUAAUAAACAUUUAUCAUGAUUAUGAGGAAAUAAAUAAUAACUUUAUUAUUGCCCCUAGGGAAUAUUUCCUUCAGUCUCCCACUUGCACUAGAGUCAAUAAUCUAGUUCACAUCGCCAUGUGAUUUAAUAGCAAUAGUUCACAUCACCAUGUGAUUAACACCCAUGUGAUCAGAACCCAAAGGGUUUACUAGAGUCAGUAAUCUAGUUCACAUCGCUAUGUGAUUAACACCCAAAGAGUACUAAGGUGUGAUCAUGUUUUGCUUGUGAGAUAAUUUUAGUCAACGGGUCUGUCAGAUAUAGAUCUGUAAGUAUUUUGCGAAUUUCUAUGUCAACAAUGCUCUGCACGGAGCUACUCUAGCUAAUUGCUCCCACUUUCAAUAUGUAUCCAGAUUGAGACUUAGAAUCAUCUGGAUCAGUGUCAAAAACUUGCAUCGAUGUAACCCUUUACGACGAACCUUUUUGUCACGUCCAUAAUCGAGAAACAUAUCCUUAUUCCACUAAGGAUAAUUUUGACCGCUGUCCAGUGAUCUACUCCUAGAUCACUAUUGUACUCCCUUGCCAAACUCAGUGGUAGGGCAUACAAUAGAUCUGGUAUACAGCAUGGCAUAUUUUAUAGAACCUAUGACUGAGGCAUAGGGAAUGACUUUCAUUAUCUUUCUAUCUUCUAUCGUGGUCGGGCUUUGAGUCUUACUCAACUUCACACCUUGUAACACAGGCAAGAAACCUUUUCUUUGACUGUUCCAUUUUGAACUACUUCAAAAUCUUGUCAAGGUAUGUACUCAUUGAAAAAACUUAUCAAGUGUCUAGAUCUAUCUCUAUAGAUCUUGAUACUCAAUAUGUAAGCAGCUUCACCGAGGUCUUUCUUUGAAAAACUCCUUUCAAACACUCCUUUAUGCUUUGCAGAAUAAUUCUACAUUAUUUCCGAUCAACAAUAUGUCAUUCAUAUAUACUUAUCAGAAAUGUUGUAGUGCUCCCACUCACUUUCUUGUAAAUACAGGCUUCACCGCAAGUCUGUAUAAAACUAUAUGCUUUGAUCAACUUAUCAAAGCUUAUAUUCCAACUCCGAGAUUCUUGCACCAGUCCAUAGAUGGAUCGCUGGAGCUUGCAUAUUUAGUUAACACCUUUAGGAUUAACAAAACCUUCUAGUUGCAUCGUAUACAACUCUUCUUCAGUAAAUCCAUUAAGCAAUGCAGUUUUGUUUAUCCAUUUGCCAGAUUUCAUAAAAUGCGGCAAUUGCUAACAUGAUUCGGACAGACUUAAGCAUAGAUACGAGUGAGAAAAUCUCAUCGUAGUCAACACCUUGAACUUGUCGAAAACCUUUUGCGACAAUUUUAGCUUUGUAGAUAGUAACACUACUAUCAGCGUCCGUCUCCCUCUUGAAGAUCCAUUUAUUCUCAAUUGCUUGCCGAUCAUCGGGCAAGUCAACCAAAGUCCAUACUUUGUUUUCAUACAUGGAUCCCAUCUCAGAUUUCAUGGCUUCAAGCCACUUUGUGGAAUCUGGGCUCACCAUCGCUUCUUCAUAGUUCGUAGGUUCAUCAUGAUCUAGUAGCAUGACUUCCAGAAAAGGAUUAUCGUACCACUCUGGCGCGGAUCUUACUCUGGUUGAUCUACGAGGUUUAGUAGUAUCUUGUUCUGAAGUUUCAUGAUCAUCAUCAUUAGCUUCCUCACUAACUGGUGUAGGUGUCACAGAAACAAUUUUCUGUGAUGUACUACUUUCCAAUAAGGGAGCAGGUACAGUUACCUCGUCAAGUUCUACUUUCCUCCCACUCACUUCUUUCGAGAGAAACUCCUUCUCCAGAAAGUUUCCGAAUUUAGCAACAGAAGUCUUGCCUUCGGAUCUGUGAUAGAAGGUGUAUCCAAUAGUUUCCUUUGGAUAUCCUAUGAAGACGCAUUUCUCCGAUUUGAGUUUGAGCUUAUCAGGAUGAAACUUUUUCAUAUAAGCAUCGCAACCCCAAAUUUAAGAAACGACAGCUUAGGUUUCUUGCCAAACCAUAGUUCACACGGUGUCGUCUCAACGGAUUUAGAUGGUGCCCUAUUUAACGUGAAUGCAGCUGUCUCUAAAUGCAUAACUCCAAAAUGAUAGUGGUAGAUCGGUAAGAGACAUCAUAGAUCGCACCAUAUCUAAUAAAGUACGGUUAUGACGUUCGGACAUGCCAUUAUGCUGUGGUGUUCCAUGUGGCAUGAGUUUGUGAAACUAUUCCACAUUGUUUUAAUUGAAGACCAAACUCGUAACUCAAAUAUUUUACCUCUGCGAUCAUAUCGUAGAAACUUUUAUUUUCUUGUCACGAUGAUUUUCCACUUCACUCUGAAAUUCUUUGAACUGUUCAAAUGUUUCAGACUUAUGUUUCAUCAAGUAGAUAUCCCCAUAUCUGCUCAAAUCAUCUGUGAAGGUCAGAAAAUAAUGAUACCUGCUGCAAGCCUUAAUAUUCACCGGACCACAUACAUCAGUAUGUAUGAUCUCCAAUAAAUCUGUUGCUUACUUCAUUGUUCCGGAGAACGGCGUUUUAGUCAUCUUGCCCAAAAGGCAUGGUUCGCAAGCAUCAAGUGAUUCAUAAUCAAGUGAUUCCAAAAUCCCAUCAGCAUGGAGUUUCUUCAUGCGCUUUACACCAAUAUGACCUAAACGGCAGUGCUACAAAUAAGUUGCACUAUCAUUAUUAACUUUGCAUCUUUUGGUUUCAAAAUUAUGAUUAUGUGUAUCACCACGAUCGAGAUCCAACGAACUAUUUUCAUUGGGUGUGUAACCAUAUAAGGUUUUAUUCAUGUAAACAGAACAACAAUUUAUUCUCUUACUUAAAUGAACAACCGUAUUACAAUAAACAUGAUCAAAUCAUAUUCAUGCUCAACGCAAACACCAAAUAACACUUAUUCAGGUUCAACACUAAUCCCGAAAGUAUAGGGAGUGUGCGAUGAUGAUCAUAUCAAUCUUGGAAUCACUUCCAACACACAUCGUCACUUCACCCUUAACUAGUCUCUGUUUAUUCUGCAACUCCCGUUUCGAGUUACUAAUCUUAGCAACUGAACUAGUAUCAAAUACUGAGGGGUUGCUAUAAACACUAGUAAAGUACACAUCAAUAACAUGUAUAUCAAAUAUACUUAUGUUCACUUUGCCAUCCUUAUUAUCUGCCAAUCACUUGGGGUAGUUCCGCUUCCAGUGACCAGUCCCUUUGCAGAAGAAACACUUAGUCUCAGGCUUAGGACCAGACUUGGGCUUCUUCACUUGAGCAGCAACUUGCUUGCUGUUCUUCUUGAAGUUCCCCUUCUUCCCUCUGCCCUUUUCUUGAAACUAGUGGUCUUGUCUACCAUCAACACUUGAUGUUUUUCUCGAUUUCUACCUUCGUCAAUUUCCGCAUUACGAAGAGCUUGGGAAUCGUUUCCGUUAUCCCUUGCAUAUCAUAGUUCAUCACGAAGUUCUACUAACUUGGUGAUGGUGACUAGAGAAUUCUGUCAAUCACUAUCUUAUCUGGAAGAUUAACUCCCACUUGAUUCAAGCGAUUGUAGUACCCAGACAAUCUGAGCACAUGCUCACUAGUUGAGCGAUUCUCCUCCAUCUUUUAGCUAUAGAACUUGUUGGAGACUUCAUAUCUCUCAACUCGGGUAUUUGCUUGAAAUAUUAGCUUCAACUCGUGGAACAUCUCAUAUGGUCCAUGACAUUCAAAACGUCUUUGAAGUCCCGAUUCUAAGCCGUUAAGCAUGGUGCACUUAAACUAUCAAGUAGUCAUCAUUUUGAGCUAGCCAAACGUUCAUAACGUCUGCAUCUGCUCCUGCAAUAGGUCCGUCACCUAGCGGUGCAUCAAGGACAUAAUUCUUCUGUGCAGCAAUGAGGAUAAACCUCAGAUCAUGGAUCCAAUCCGCAUCUUUGCUAUUAACAUCUUUCAACACAAUUUUCUCUAGGAACAUAUCAGAAUAAACAUAUGAAAGCAACAACGCGAGCUAUUGAUCUACAACAUAGAUAUGCUAAUACUACCAGGACUAAGUUCAUGAUAAAUUAAAGUUCAAUUAAUCAUAUUACUUAAGAACUCCCACUUAGAUAGACAUCCCUCUAAUCCUCUAAGUGAUCACGUGAUCCAAAUCAACUAAACCAUGUCCGAUCAUCACGUGAGAUGGAGCAGUUUCAUUGGUGAACAUCACUAUGUUGAUCAUAUCUACUAUAUGAUUCACGCUCGACCUUUAGGUCUCCGUGUUCCGAGGCCAUAUCUGUAUAUGCUUGGCUCAUCAAGUAUAACCUGAGUAUUCCGCGUGUGCAACUGUUUUGCACCCGUUGUAUUUGAACGUAGAGCCUAUCACACCCGAUCAUCACGUGGUGUCUCAGCACGAAGAACUUUCACAACGGUGCAUACUCAGGGAGAACACUUCUUGAUAAUUUAGUGAGAGAUCAUCUUAUAAUGCUACCGUCAAUCAAAGCAAGAUAAGAUGCAUAAAAAGAUAAACAUCACAUGCAAUCAAUAUAAGUGAUAUGAUAUGGCCAUCAUCAUCUUGUGCUUGUGAUCUCCAUCUCCGAAGCACCGUCAUGAUCACCAUCGUCACCGGCGCGACACCUUGAUCUCCAUCGUAGCAUCGUUGUCGUCUUGCCAAUCUUAUGCUUCCACGACUAUCACUGCCGUUUAGUAAUAAAGUAAAGCAUUACAUUGCGAUUGCAUUGCAUACAAUAAAGCGACAACCAUAUGGCUCCUGCCAGUUGCCGAUAACUUGGUUACAAAACAUGAUCAUCUCAUAUAAUAAAAUUCAGCAUCAUGCCUUGACCAUAUCACAUCACAACAUGCCCUGCAAAAACAAGUUAGACGUCCUCUACUUUGUUGUUGCAUGUUUUACGUGGCUACUACAGGCUUAAGUAAGAACCAAUCUCACCUACGCAUCAAAACCACAACGAUAGUUUGUCAAAUAGACUCCGUUUUAACCUUCGCAAGGACCGGGCGUAGCCACACUCGGUUCAACUAAAGUUGGAGAGACAGUCGCCCGCAAGCCAUCUAUGUGCAAAGCACGUCGAGGGAACCGGUCUCGCAUAAGCGUACGCGUAAGGUUGGUCCGGGUCGUCUCGUCCAACAAUACCGCCGAACCAAAGUAUGACAUGCUGGUAGGCAGUAUGACUUGUAUCGUCCACAACUCACUUGUGUUCUACUCGUGCAUAUAACAUCAACAUAAAUAACCUAGGCUCGGAUGCCACUAUUGGGGAACGUAGUAAUUUCAAAAAAAUUCCUACGCACACGCAAGAUCAUGUGAUGCAUAGCAACGAGGGGGAGAGUGCUAUCUACGUACCCAACGCAGACCGACUGCGGAAGCGAUGACACGACGUAGAGGAAGUAGUCGUACGUCUUCACGAUCCAACCGAUCAAGCACCAAAACUAUGGCACCUCCGAGUUCGAGCACACGUUCAGCUCGAUGACGAUCCCCGGACUCCGAUCCAGCAAAGUGUCAGGGAAGAGUUACGUCAGGACGACGGCGUGGUGACGAUCUUGAUGAACUACAGCAGCAGGGCUUCGCCUAAACUCCACUACAGUAUUAUCGAGGUAUAUGGUGGCAGGGGGCACCGCACACGGCUAAGGAAUAGAUCACGUGGAUCAACUUGUGUGUCAAGAGGUGCCCCUUGCCUCCGUAUAUAAAGGAGCCAAGGGGGAGGGCUGGCCGGCCAAGGAGGGGAGGUGCAGGAGAGUCCUACUCCCUCUGGAAGUAGGAUUCCUCCCCCAAUCCUAGUCCAACUAGGAUUCCUCGGAGGGGAAGGGAGAGAGGGGGGUCGGCCACCUUCUCCUAGUCCUAAUAGGACUAGGGGAGGGGGAAGUGGCGCAGCCACCUUGGGCUGCCCCUUUCUCCUUUCCACUAAGGCCCAUGAAGGCCCAUAUGGCUCCCGGGGGGUUCCGGUAACCCUCCCGGUACUCCGGUAAAAUCCCGAUUUCACCCGGAACACUUCCGAUGUCCAAACAUAGGCUUCCAAUAUAUCAAUCUUUACGUCUCGACCAUUUUGAGACUCCUCGUCAUGUCCGUGAUCACAUCCGGGACUCCGAACAACUUUCAGUACAUCAAAAUGCAUAAACUCAUAAUAUAACUGUCAUCGUAACCUUAAGCGUGCGGACCCUACGGGUUCGAGAACAAUGUAGACAUGACUGAGACAUGUCUCCGGUCAAUAACCAAUAGCGGGACCUGGAUGCCCAUAUUGGCUCCUACAUAUUCUACGAAGAUCUUUAUCGGUCAGACCGCAUAACAACAUACGUUGUUCCCUUUGUCAUCGGUAUGUUACUUGCCCGAGAUUUGAUCGUCGGUAUCCAAUACCUAGUUCAAUCUCGUUACCGGCAAGUCUCUUUACUCGUUCCGUAAUACAUCAUCUCACAACUAACAUGUUAGUUGUAAUGCUUGCAAGGCUUUAUGUGAUGUGUAUUACCGAGAGGGCCCAGAGAUACCUCUCUGACAAUCGGAGUGACAAAUCCUAAUCUCGAAAUACGCCAACUCAAUAUCUACCUUUGGAGACACCUGUAAUGCUCCUUUAUAAUCACCCAGUUACGUUGUGACGUUUGGUAGCACCCAAAGUGUUCCUCCGGCAAACGGGAGUUGCAUAAUCUCAUAGUCAUAGGAACAUGUAUAAGUCAUGAAGAAAGCAAUAGCAACAUACUAAACGAUCGUGUGCUAAGGUAAUGGAAUGGGUCAUGUCAAUCAGAUCAUUCAACUAAUGCUGUGACCUCGUUAAUCAAAUAACAACUCAUUGUUCAUGGUUAGGAAACAUAACCAUCUUUGAUUAACGAGCUAGUCAAGUAGAGGCAUACUAGUGACACUUUGUUUGUCUAUGUAUUCACACAUGUAUUAUGUUUCUGGUUAAUACAAUUCUAGCAUGAAUAAUAAACAUUUAUCAUGAUUAUGCGGAAAUAAAUAAUAACUUUAUUAUUGCCUCUAGGGCAUAUUUCCUUCAGGGGCGCGGCGGCGCGGGUCUCCAGCGAGGGGGCGCGGCGGCGCGGGUCUCUGCGAAGGGGCGCGGCGGCGUGGGGAUCCGGGGAGGGGCGUGGCGGCGUGGGCAUCCAAGGGAGUGAAAGCAGCGUGAGGAUCGGGGGAGGGGCUCGGCGGUUGGGAUCCGGGGAUGCGAGCGGUUGCGGGGUGGAGUGCGUGAGUGGGGAAGAAGAGGGUUUUCCCCCUGUUUUAUCGCGUGGGCUGCCGCACCGGUUCGGGAGGAUCUGCUCGACUCUUAUAUAGGGCGCGCCGUGAUCCAAAUAGCUAUUCUAAUCCCGGGAUUAGAAUAGUGCUACUAUAUAUAUAUAUAUAUAUAUAAACACUAUUCUGAUCAUGGGAUCAGAAUAAUAUUCUGAUCACAACAUAAACUUCCUGAGUUACAUGCCUGAACUUCCCUCUGUAGGAACCCGACCUUCGGUCUAUCUUCUCAACCGUGUCUCCCCACGGAAAUUUUUAUGAUUAGUCGUGUUCUAUAUGAUGUUAGUGUAAUCUAGAAACAUUUUUUAGCAACUAAAUACCCGUUUUAAAUAGGAAUCUCGCUCGUUGGCGGAUUUUGCACUCGGGUCGUGAUGAACUCGCGUUUUUUGCAAUUUUACUGCCUGAGUUGUUUGACCUGAACUUCCCCGUGUGCUAGGUUGAACUUCCGCCAACAUUGCCCAAAUGGGACUUGCUAUAUACCGUUGGAAAGCUGUGGACACCGGUAUCAUGUCCCAAGUUAAAUUUUUGGCGAAAUGUAUGCGGUUUAAGAGCAGUUUUGAAUCGCUUAUCAGAAUGAGGCAAAUAAUAUGGCAUUGGAAAGCUGCUGCAAAACCGCUCCUUCCACAUGUUGAAAGUUUUCUCUAAUUCCCUACGGUUAUAGAGUAAUUCGGAAAAUCGUAGAAUUUCGCAAACGGAACACCCGAGUUCAUAUUUUCGAUGCCAUUUCUAAACGGCAAACCCAAUUGAGGCAAAUAAUAUGUAGCUGGAAAGCUUAUGAAAAUGCGCUACUUUUUCAUGUUAAAAGUUGUUUCUAAUUUUGAACGGUUUAAAAGUAAUUUAGAAAACGAUACAAGUUCCACCGAGUUCGUAUUUUCGAGCUAAUUUUUAACCGUACGUCCAAAUGCAGCAAAUGAUAUGGCGUUGGAAAGCUUGAAGAAAUGCGAAACAUUUUUGUAUAUAUUGUUUCUCCUAAUUCAUUACGGUUUUAUGUUAGUUUUGAAAAUGGCUAAAAACGUAUUUUUGUCGUAAUUUCUACAAACUUUAUCUGAAUGGGGAAAAUAAUAUACCGCUGAAAAGCUACGGAAAAUUCGAAACUUUUCAUGUUGAUGAUUUUCUCUGAAUCCUGGCUGUUUUCAAGUAAUAUCGAAAAUGGCGAGAUCAUGCGUUCUGCCUUUAUCACGAAACAGAUUCUUCAAAAAUGCACCACGUGAAGAACUUGAACUUCUCAGUGUGUGUGCUUGAACUUCACUCUAUUUUCAUGGGAUUUUUUGCUCUCAGCUCUCCAUCCACUCACCGGAACACUCACCGUAAUUGAGCAAGUGAUAUACCAAUGGAAAGCUGCCGUAAACAUGCAACUUUCCCGUGUUGAUCAUUUUUUCAUACUCGCGACGGUUUUAAAAGUUUUUCAUCUGAAAUUCAUUCAGUGUAGUUGGUGAACUUCCUGCUAUUUUCACGUUGAACUUCUGUGAUAUAUCUUCGUUUGUAAUUUUCUCAUCCAUUUCGUUAGUGUUACACAAAUGAUAUUCUUUUUGUACAAACAUCUCUCACAAUAUUUUUUCACUUUCUCUGACCGAGGACUUGAACUUACACAAAUGAUAUUCCUGUCGUUUUGAUGUAAAUUAGAAAAUGACGAGAUCAUGAUUUCUUCCUUCAUCGCGAUUGGGUAACACACUGGGUGAAGUAGUUGAACUUCUCGGGCAUGUCUGUUUGAACUUCACUAUGUUUUUGACAUGCUAUUUUUUGCACUGCGUGAAGUAGUUGAACUUCUGAGGCAUCUUUGUUUGAACUUCACUCUGUUUCACUUUAUUUGUAUUUUUUUCUUAUAUGAAAUACACACCAUGUAGUACGUGAACUUCCGCUUGUUAUCACUUUGAACUUCUCUCUCGUUUGUGAGAAUUAUUUUAAAACACAAAAAACAA
rnacentral:lncRNA from 1 species